AGUAACAACAAUGAUUUCAGAACUAGUUGCAAAAUCUCAAUAACUCAAAAGAAAUAUGAAUUACAAUUCUCAGGAUCGUUUGGUGGCUACAACAAAAACCUAAUAAAAAUAAAACUAGAUCCCUUGGGCAAUCCAAAUGAAGCCUAUUUAUAACAAUGUUUGGGAAAACCUUAAAACAUAAAACGACAACGUAAAAGCGGUUCAAAGGUUGUUUUGACUAAGUUGGUCGAGUGAGCAUCUCGAGUGACCAUCUUCUCUGCUUUGCUCGAUCGUGUCACUCGAGUGAGUGUGUCGAGUGACCUGUAAAACCAUCAGCUACUUCUUUGCUUUGCUCGAUCAUGUCACUCGAGUGAGUGCAUCGAGUGACAGGUAGUUCUGCUUCGCUUCCCUUCUGCUCGAUCUGCCACUCGAUCGUAUACGUCUGCUGCUCACUCGAACGUCAAUGUAACUGCAACGCAUCCUUGCUCCUCACUCGAUCGUCCCACUCGAUCGUUUGCAUGUCGAGUAACGCUUGUUCCUCUGCUUUGCUCUGCAUGUCUCCUAAGUACCUGAAACACUCCAAAUAUGCACAAUGUAUGCAAGAUAUGCAUGAUAUGCAUACAACCUACCUAAGUAUGUAAAACAUGCAGAAAGGGAUCAAUAUGAUGCGAAUCAACAAGUGAAUGAUGCUGAAAAGAUGAUGAAUGCAUGCUAGAAAAGCGAUGAAAUACAGACUUAUCAAUAUAUCAGAAAUGAUUAAGUCAAGCAAGUAUAAAUGAUUUUUGGUUUUCCGUGAUCCUAAGCGAACAUGUUAAACAUGCGAUAAAUGUAAGGCUGUAAAACAUAGACUACCAUGCAUAAGCUAAAACGUAACGAUUAUUGAUACUGGCAAGAAAACAAAGCAGAACAAGUAAAUAACUAGAGAAUUAAACAGAAACCACAAAUGGAUAGAAGAUCCUGAGGAUGAGGUUAUUGAUGUAGGUGGAGUAUGCUAAUCUACUUCGAGUGUUUAUCAAACUGCAAACAUUCUAAUCCCUAGACAAUGAACUUCUAAUACUAGUCAAUCCAAUCUCUUGGCAGAAACUAUCAAGUUUACAACACUUCCUAAUCUCAAUUCUCAUUGAUGAAACAUGUAGUAAAAAGGCAUAAAGAAACAGCUCAUUAAUGUCAAUAAACAUCUUAGACAACCAAUCUCUUGGGCUAAGCAUGUAAAUCUCUGGCACUAGUUGGUUCAGACAUUUCAUCAUAUACCUUUCGGGUAUGAAAUGUCUAUGACCCAGUUCCAAUUGAUCAGAGAAGAACUAGCUAAUAAAACUCUAAUCCAUAAGAGAAACCAAACGAGUCUAACAUAAACACUCUAGCAAACUAACAUCCUCCACCUAAUAUAUCCCAUCCUCAAGAACCCUAACACUACUCAGACGCAGAAAUCAUGUUAAACAUCAUGAAACACGAAUCGUUCAAAACAUACAUAUUAAUAAAGAUGACAGGAAGAGUAACAAAAAUGAUUCAAGAACUAAUUGCAAAAUAUCAAUAACUCAAAAGAAAUCACGAUUACAAUUCUCAUGAUCGUUUGGUGGCUAACAACAAAAACCUAAAUAAAAUAUAACUCUAUCCCCUGGGCAAUCCAAAUGAGACCUAUUUAUAACAAUGUUUGGGAAAACCUUAAAACAUAAAACGACAACGUAAAAGCGGUUCAAAAGUUGUUGUGACUAAGUUGGUCGAGUGAGCAUCUAGAGUGAGCAUCUUCUCUGCUUUGCUCGAUCGUGUCACUCGAGUGUGCACGUCGAGUGUGCACGUCGAGUGACAGUUGUUUCGCAUUCCUUCGGUUCACUCGAUCACCCUACUCGAUCAACUGCUCGAUCCGCUACUCGAUCACCCUACUCGAUCACGUCCAUCGAGUGAAGUAUGUUCCCGCAACGCAUCCCUGCUUCUCACUCGAUCGUCCCACUCGGAUCAUAUGCGUGUCGAGUAACGCUUGUUCCUCUGCUUCGCUCUGCAUGUCUCCUAAGUACCUGAAACACUCCAAACAUGCAGAAUGUAUGCAAGACAUGCAUGAUAUGCAUGAAACCUACCUAAGUAUGUAAAUCAUGCAGAAAGUGAUCAAUAUGAUGCGAAUCAACAAGUGAAUGAUGCUGAAAAGAUGAUGAAUACAUGCCCAAAAAGUGAUGAAUUACAGACUUAUCAAUAGUAUACUUGGCAUGUGUGACCAUGCAUUCUCCUAUACUUGGUGAAGCUAGCCAUCUUUUUUCCUAACUUAAAAGCAUUAAAAGUUUUUGUUUCUACUUUGGAUAGAGAAUUAAGGUCAGACUUAACUUGUUUGAAUGUAAAAUUAUAUUUCAACGGAAAACCCGUUUUGACGACCAGUGCGACAAUAAGAUUUUUUAAAAAGAGCUUAAUAAAUCAAAUAGAGUAGUAAAAAUGUGUGAUCAUUUUUUCAAAUGAGAAAUGAGUUUUGAUGGGGAGGAACUUAAUGAUGCAAAGUAAAGUGAAAGGAAGAGAAGGUCAACUUUUUAGAAAACUUCAAUCUUGUAUACUUUAUAUUACUGUUAAUACCGGAGAACCAAAAUUCCAUAUCACAAUAAACGUAAGUCCAAUAAAAAAAAAUUCGAGUAAGUGGAGAAGAAGAUGAAGAUGUAUCUUUUGGGUAAGCAUAUUAGUGAGAUUAACGCUAAAGAGUAUCGCUACUUGCGCAUCGGUUAGCAAGCAAUGGAAAUCAAUUCUGGAAACUCUGUUUUUUUACGAGCUUUUCGUGUCUCAUCAUAAAAACUCUCAUUCCUCAUGGUCACUCAUGUGCAGGGACUCUCCAAAAAAAAAUUCAUAUCUUACUUUGGAUACAGUAUUUGGGAAUUUUCACGAUCUUUAGGAUCGUACAUCUCUUGUUUCAUAGUCGAUAAGUUCGAGUAGUCAAAGGAUCGGUGACUUUCCGGGAACUGGUUGUCGGAACUGUGUGAGUGAGGCCAUAACAAAGGAAAAUAUCAUGUGGUGAUUUGUAGGGUCGGUAAACAAGACUUUAAGCCUCCUCAACGUAGCUAACCGGCCGUUGGAUAUUAAUGGGCUCAUGGGCCUAGUGAGAGGACGUGAGCCUCACUAAGAGAGGUGGGCCCAUGGGCUGGUGGUGAACAUGGGCCCCACUGGAGAGAUGGCGGUCGCCCCCUAUUUCACGAUAAUGUCUUGAGAUCCCUCCUAAUCCUUAUCCUAAUUUUUAUCCUUCUCCUAGAGAAUAUGAUUUAUAUAGACACUUUGGCCUGGUAACACCUAUCAAAAACAUGGUAAUUUUAGGCUACAAAGUUGUUUACAUGGAUAAAAGCAACUUAAAUGAUACAAAGUUGCAUAUAUAUUCAGCUGAGACGGAUUUGUGGAGUUUCAAAACCCAUUUGAGGCUAGUACUAUAUACAUGUAGAGCAGGAUAAAUAAAUGUUUAGUAUCUGCUAAGUUCAAUGAAGGCAAGCUUUGGAUUCACAACAACUUGGAGCAUGGUAGUAGCCAUGGUAAUAUUUUGAGCUUUGCUAGAGAACUUAACCCAUUUUAAGUUCUCUAUGACAUACAUUAUAUAUACCCCGUUCGUUCCGCGUUGGCUAUAUCAGAUCUCUUCCUAACAAUCAUGAGCAAAGGUGAGGAAAUGUUUCCUUAUUGCUUCUUAUUUAUUUCUUCGUUAUUGUUUUUUUUCUUUAGAUGAAGAUAUAUUGGUAACUUUGAUUUGGUUAUGGGUUGAUGAUUGUUAACGUUUAAAAAUGAUAUAAGAGUAUAGGGAUUCAUACGCUACAUAACCCAUAGAAAUAAUAGAGUGAAAUAAACAGAGGAGAAGAGAGCAAAUAAUAAAGAAGAACUCAUGAAACCUAAUAACAUGAUGUUUAUUUUGGUGAGAACUUUUUUAUUAUUUCAAACAAGAUGAAGUAUUUCGAAUACGGGUCGGGUUUGAUACUGGUCUUUUUUUGUCAACAAAACACCAAAAUUAGUUCAACUGAGCCAAUUGGGUGGACAAUUGCUUACAUACAUAUUUGACGGUUUGAUUCCGGUCUAAUAAUAUAUUUUUUUCUAAUCAUAAUUUUAGGAUACACUAAAAUUGAUUAAAUAAAAAAAUCAGAAUAGAGAAAUUUCAAUGGAUUCGUUUUUCUUUCUAAUUCUUUAUUUUUGUAAAGAUGAAAUCUAACAUUUGGUUCUGUUCAAAAUAUUCCUUAUAUAUAUCAUAUCAUAUGUUAGGUAUAAUAUGAAUUGCAUGUUUGGAAUAUUUAAAUUUGAAAGUCUAGAACUGUACUGCUUAAAAAUUAUCUUAGAAGUUGAGAAAAUUUUACCAAAUCAUCCAAAAUAUUUGUCUUGAAAAAUUAUUAAAAAUUUGGUAAAUAAAUUGUUUAUAUCAUUAAUGUUGGCAAUUUGUUACCGUUGGGAUGACGGAAAAAAGAAGAAAAGAAAAAAAAAACAUAAACAAAAUCUCUUAAUUUCCCUAAAAAUAUAAUAAAUCUGACCGUUAUGAGAUUAAUUUAAAUUUCCUUAUUGUUUUUAACUUCAUAAUUAAUAUGUUUAUUCUCUCUCUCCCAAGACAACGCUUCUUCUUCAAAACUUCUUCUUCUUCCUCUUCUAAACCCUAAAACGAAUAAUAGAUACAGAGAGGAGACGAUGAUAAUGCGUAACGGUAAGAUUGGAAAUUUAAUGAUUGGUCAGAAUCGAUCUCCAUCGAUCCUCUCUUCUUCUUCUUCGUCAGUCUAAAUCAAUAUCGAUUUCACUUCGACGAAAUCCAAAAGUGAAGAGAAGAAUCGAGCGAGAGGUAUUCGUAAUAGUCCUCUGUUUUCUUGAUUUUGAAUUUGAUAUUCUAGACUUUAUUAUUAAUUAUUAGGAAUGAUUUAAUUAUUAUUAAUUAUUAGGAAUGAUUUAAGAGAUCAUGAUGUUUAGUGUCUAGAGAAUGAAUAGCUAACUGUAAGCUUAGGUCUUCUGAAACAAGGGUUUGAAAAUAGACCUGAUCUUAAGUUGGUUGUGAUAUGAUCACACAUGUGAAUCUGAAAAGUUUCAGGAAUAUAUUUUAGCGGUGGUUCUCUGAUGAAAGGCUUUAUCUAGUUGAGAUCUUUUACACUCAGGAGCCUGAGAGGGGACUAUCUUGAGGCUCCUAUUAGGACUGUUGUUCAGAUCCACAUGUGUGAGCCACUUGGUGAAAAUGCCUGCUGCAAAAUCAAACCUUGCAAACUCAGUUCUGAGUGUUCUGACCUUGAUGACUCAGCUCCUAGAAGUUUUGAAUUACUUGAUAAUGAAGGUAACUUGACAAAGACACGUGAAAUAAUGAGUGAGUUUCCCUUGGAUCCAAAGAUGGCGAAGAUGCUCAUAGUCAAUCUUGAAUUCAACUGCUCAAGCGAGGUUCUCUCGGUUUCAGCAAUGGUCUCUGAAAAUGUAUAGAGAAACGCACAGACAGUUAAGCUUGGAACGCGCCAAGCAAACGCUUUUUCCUUCGAUCUUUAUUAACAAAAUUUAUCUUUUCCUAGGAUACAAUUUUGUCUCGGCUCUUACUCAAUCUAUUCCUACCAAUAGAAUUGAACCCGACUAAAGAACGAGCACUAAACCUAUCUCUCCUACACCCGUGUAGUCCCAAGAGAAAACAAACACUCACCUUCUCAGCUUUUUGUUUUGCUAGCUUCGAAGUAUACAAUCACGUACAAAGAGUCUAAAGUGUUCAAAAUGGCUCGUGGCCAAACCCUAGACUAUUUAUACUCACUAGUCGAAACCCUAACCCUAGGAUCUUCGAGGAUCUCACGGAAACGGAAUAUACUUGCUUGUCAAGCUUAUCCUUUCCUUAUUUGAUGUGAAGAAUAUUCACNNNNNNNNNNNNNNNNNNNNNNNNNNNNNNNNNNNNNNNNNNNNNNNNNNNNNNNNNNNNNNNNNNNNNNNNNNNNNNNNNNNNNNNNNNNNNNNNNNNNUCAAACUCAUCAAGGUGAUCCAGGGGGUCUUCCAUAGGCAGACCAUGAAAUUUAUUCUGCUGGACCAUGGAGAUCAGACCACUCUUGAUCUCAAAGUUGUUGUUCGCCACGGCUGGAGGCACUAUACCCUGACGAUGGGUAUGGUUGCGUGGAGCAUCACCAGCUCCAAUCCGUGUAGGUGCCCGUGGUGGGGGUGGGGGUGGUGGUUGAAUGUUUUCCAUCUCNNNNNNNNNNNNNNNNNNNNNNNNNNNNNNNNNNNNNNNNNNNNNNNNNNNNNNNNNNNNNNNNNNNNNNNNNNNNNNNNNNNNNNNNNNNNNNNNNNNNGUUGCGUUGCUGUCGUGAUGCAGGUACCAAGCGAUCAAUACGGUCGGAGGGCUGGAACAAGUUCUCUGUGCCUUGCGACCGUGUGUGCAUACAACUCAAAUCAGCUUAUCCCUCUUAUCGGUUGAGUGUGUCAGUCGAGUAGGAGCAGUUGAGCAAGAGUUGUACCUGAAUCAAUAGACAAACAGAAGGAACAGAGUGAGUAACUUUAGUGAAUGUUGAGUAAAAACUUUAUCUCAGCAAGUCUGAAAUCUCAAAUGUAACACACAAACACCCAAAUGGCAGCGGCGCCAAAUUGAUACUAGGAUUUUUCUAUCAAUUACCCUAGAGUACUAUCAUGUCAUUGCAGUACAAUAGGUAUCAAUCCAAUCAGGUGUGAUGCUAGCAAUCAAGAUAUAUCAGAGAUGAUUAAGUGAAGCNNNNNNNNNNNNNNNNNNNNNNNNNNNNNNNNNNNNNNNNNNNNNNNNNNNNNNNNNNNNNNNNNNNNNNNNNNNNNNNNNNNNNNNNNNNNNNNNNNNNAAACGUAACGAUUAUUGAUACUGGCAAGAAAACAAAGCAGACCAAGUAAAUAACAAGAGAAUUAAACAGAAAGCACAAAUGGAUAGAAGAUCCCGAGGAUGAGGUUAUUGAUGUAGGUGGAGAAUGCUAAUCUACUUCGAGUGUUUAUCAAACUGCAAACAUUCUAAUCCCUAGACAAUGAACUUCUAAUACUAGUCAAUCCAAUCUCUUGGCAGAAACUAUCAAGUUUACAACACUUCCUAAUCUCAAUUCUCAUUGAUGAAACAUGCAGUAAACAGGCAUAAAGAAACAGCUCAUUAAUGUCAAUAAACAUCUUAGACAACCAAUCUCUUGGGCUAAGCAUGUAAAUCUCUGGCACUAGUUGGUUCAGACAUUUCAUCAUAUACCGUUCGGGUAUGAAAUUUCUAUGACCUAGUUCCAAUUGAUCAGAGAAGAACUAGCUAAUAAAACUCUAGUCCAGAAGGGAAAGAAAAUGAAUCUAACAUAAACACUCUGGCAAACUAACAUCCUCCACCUAAUCUAUCCCAUCCUCAAGAACCCUAACAUUACUCAGACGCAGAAAUCAUGUUAAACAUCAUGAAACAAGAAUCGUUCANNNNNNNNNNNNNNNNNNNNNNNNNNNNNNNNNNNNNNNNNNNNNNNNNNNNNNNNNNNNNNNNNNNNNNNNNNNNNNNNNNNNNNNNNNNNNNNNNNNNCUUGUCAUUAAGGAUAUAGCACAUACAUCCGAACACAUGGAAAUAGCUGACUGAUGGUGUUUUUCCUUUCCACAGCUCAUAAGAGAUCUUGUUGGUUCCUUUCCUCACAUAGACCCGAUUGAUGAUGUAACAUGCUGUGUUGAUUGCUUCAUCCCAGAAAUGUUGAGCGACUUGAUUACCAUGCAGCAUAGCUCUAGCUAUUUCUUGCAGCGUUCUGUUCUUCCGCUCUACNNNNNNNNNNNNNNNNNNNNNNNNNNNNNNNNNNNNNNNNNNNNNNNNNNNNNNNNNNNNNNNNNNNNNNNNNNNNNNNNNNNNNNNNNNNNNNNNNNNNGAAUAUUGAUGAGUUAUCCCUUGAGCAGCACAAAACUGAUCAAACAACUCAUUCUGGAAUUCACCACCAUGAUCACUUUGUAUUGUCUUGAUUCCCCAUUUUUCACUCUUGAGUUGCAGAGCAAGAAUUCUGAAACUGUCAAGAGUAUCCGAUUUCUCUCGUUGAAAACGGACCCAUGUGUAGCGCGUAAAAUCAUCAACCAUAACAAGAAUAAAACGCUUACUUGUCAGACUUUGGACAAGCAUUGGUCCCAUUAGGUCCAUGUGAACCAAUUCCAAAGCAUGAACAGCACGAACAUCAGGAACCGAUUUGUGAGCAACCUUCACUUGUUUGCCCUUGUUACACGGUCCGCACACAAAAUAAGGAUCAGCCUUUAGCUUUGGCAUUCCUCGAACAACCUCCUGAUGUGCAAGUCUCAACAUCGUACGAACAUUCAUAUGUCCUAAUUUCUUAUGCCACAACUCAGUUUGAAAAUCUACAGCUGCUUGAAAGCAAGGGUUACCAGAACUCCACAUGUAACAAUUGUUGCCAGACCGCUGUCCCUCGAGCUGAACACAUCCUAGUCGAUCCACAGCCUUGCAGUUGGCCUUGGUAAAAGUUACAUUCAGACCCUCAUCACACAGUUGGCUGAUGCUAAUCAGAUUGGCCUUCAGUCCAUCAACAAGAAACACAUCAUAUAAUCUUGGUUGAGAUUCACCACCUGUGGUACCUUUUCCUUUGAUUUUUCCUUUUGCACCAUCUCCAAAAGUAACUCUGCCUGCUGAAACCUGUGUAAACUCUGACAGAUUGUCUUGAGCUCCAGUCAUGUGUCUUGAGCAUCCGCUGUCAAAAUACCACUUCUCCUGAGUUGACUCCUGUUCAUCAGCAGUGUAAGCAACAUUGCAGUACAGANNNNNNNNNNNNNNNNNNNNNNNNNNNNNNNNNNNNNNNNNNNNNNNNNNNNNNNNNNNNNNNNNNNNNNNNNNNNNNNNNNNNNNNNNNNNNNNNNNNNGAUUUUCGGACAUGAGCUGAUUGUUCCUGAUUAAAUGAGGACACAGCACGUCUCUGAUUUUUCUGAGGAACAGACUUCCUUUGAGUAGCUUCUGAUGACUAUGGAGCUGCCUUAACAAACUUAGUUGUACCAUUGAAAUUUCCACCUUGAUACCCUAGACCCCAGUUGGCAUUAGCCGUUCGUCCCACAGUUAGGAGUUUGUCCAGAUCUUUAGUCCCUUUGCUCAGCAUCUUGAUGUUCCUGAGUUGAUCCUCCAACUGCCUCUCAAGACCUUGCGACUUGACUUUCUCAGCUUCAAGAUCCUUGGAUAUCACAGAAACUUUCAAUUGAAGUUCAUUUCUUACGGUGGUUAGAUCAGAGAUCUCCUUUGUCUUGCUCAUCAGACUCCUGAUCAAGAGAGCAACUUGUUCUUCAUUAGGAAGAUUUGCUUCAUCAUCCUCUGAUUCAUCACCAACUACCUGAUUGACAUCGUCUUGAGCUGUCACACCAACACUCUCAUCGCCUUCCUCAAUGAUGCCCAGAAAUGCCACAAAAUUGUUUAGCACUUCUCCUUUUCCUUCAUCAUCAUCAGUAUCACUCUCACUCCAAGUCACAUACGAUUUCUCUUUGGAGUCUCUCCCUAGGCAUUCAGCCUUGGUGUGACCAUAGCCCUUACACUCAUAACAUUUCAGUGCAUUUUUCUUCUUCAUAUUCGGGCAUUCAGCCUUGUAGUGUCCAUAGCCUUCACACUCAAUACACUGUUUCUCAGACUUAUCAUUCCUCUUGAAUUCUUUCUGCUGCCCUGAUCUGUUGUUAACUGCAGACCCACGUUGCUGACCUCGCUCCAUUCUCUUGAAGUACUUUCUCACAAGCAUACCAACUUUAUCAUCAUCUGCAGACUCCUGAGUGUCAACAGUAUUCAGUGCGAAAGUUUUUCCACUUGCCUGCUCCUUUUUCUUAACUUGUAGCUCAUAUGCCUGCAUCAUCCCAACUACUUGAUCAAAUUUCAACUCAUCAGAAUUCAACGAGACAUCAAUUGCAGACCUAUGUGGCUGAAACUUCUCCGGCAGACUUCUGAGAAAUUUUUUAACCAACUUCUUAUCUUUAUAGCGUUUUCCCAACACUAUAGCCUCUUGAGAGAUAUUACUCAGCUUGCUGCUGAAUUCCUCAAUAGUCUCACUAUCUCCCAUAGUCAAGUUCUCGAAAUCAGACGCUAAGAUGUCAAGUCUGGUUCUCUUCACAUUGCUGGUUCCUUCAAAGGUGACCUGAAGAAUAUCCCAUGCCUCUUUUGCAGAUUCACAUCCCUGAACUCUGGUGAACUGAUUUACAGGCAACGAUUUGAAGAUUAAGGACAUAGCUGUUGCAUUGUGUUUUGCUGCAAGUUUCUCCUCUGCAGUCCAAUCCUUCUUGGGUUUUGAAACAGCAUCUCCAGCCUCAUUUGUUUUCACAGGGGCUGUCCAUCCAUCUUCAUUAGCUAUCCAGGCAUCAAGAUCAGCACUCUGAAUAUCCUGUCUCAGUUGCACCUUCCAGAACCCGUAAUGUUCUGGAUCCAACUUAAACGGCUUAGUUAUAGCAACGUAUUGCUGUGAUUUCUCCAUACCCUCUGUUGCACGAUCUCACCUGUUGAAAAGACAAACAGAUCUUUUAUCAGGCGUCCGCUCUGUUACCAAAUGAAAAUGUAUAGAGAAACGCACAGACAGUUAAGCUUGGAACGCGCCAAGCAAACGCUUUUUCCUUCGAUCUUUAUUAACAAAAUUUAUCUUUUCCUAGGAUACAAUUUUGUCUCGGCUCUUACUCAAUCUAUUCCUACCAAUAGAAUUGAACCCGACUAAAGAACGAGCACUAAACCUAUCUCUCCUACACCCGUGUAGUCCCAAGAGAAAACAAACACUCACCUUCUCAGCUUUUUGUUUUGCUAGCUUCGAAGUAUACAAUCACGUACAAAGAGUCUAAAGUGUUCAAAAUGGCUCGUGGCCAAACCCUAGACUAUUUAUACUCACUACUCGAAACCCUAACCCUAGGAUCUUCGAGGAUCUCACGGAAACGGAAUAUACUUGCUUGUCAAGCUUAUCCUUUCCUUAUUUGAUGUGAAGAAUAUUCACCAUAUCUUCACACGCAAUUCGUCUCUAUCUUUGCUGCCAAGCAAGAAAUCUUCCUUAGCACGUCACUCCAUCCACUUAAGCUUUGCCACGUCAUCUCACGACUCCAUGUCAGCAACUUCAAGUGUCUGAUGUGAUCCCAGGCGUCUGAUGUGGUCUCAGGCGUCUGAACAGAUGCGACUUCCUGAUCUUCACAGCAAGCUGUUCUGGAACUGCAUCUUCAGUCUCAGGUGCGCCUUUACUUUUUUUUUUUUUUUUUUUAAUUCUUGGUAACUUUGGUUAGGUUUGUAGUUAAGGGUAGGCUUAAUUUUGCUACCAAUUUCCAUUAUGCAACUAGUCUAAUGUGCGUUAUUAAAACUCAUAUUUUUUCUUUCAUAUGUAUGAUUAUUGAUUAUCAUUUAGAAUUAAGUAUUAGUGUUAGGUUAUCAUCAGCAGUCUCUAGUUUCGAUUCUGCAUAUAGAUAAGUAUCAGUGUUUGUUGCAGCUUCUCAGUUAUUCUCUCUCUCAUGAAGCUAAUGGUAUCAGUCUAAUCGCUUCUAUGCAUCUGCUGACCUCUUCCAUAAGCUCUUCUGUUGUAUAUACCAAUUCUUUAUCUAGUACCGAACUGCUUUAUUCGGCCUAGAGACUAGAGAGGCUUAGAAAGCAGCAGAUGAAGCUGAAGCUAAGUUUGGACACAUUGAUGGAGAUGACCUCACACUGUUGAACUAGCUGUUGUCCAAUAGAUAAAGAUCCCAAUCGGUGCUAUGAAAACUUCAUCAAACAACAGAGCGCGUUGAAAUCUGCAGACAACGUUAGACAUCAGCUAGUUCAGUCCGGAUAAAGUCAAUAUCAACAUAAGGAAGGCCAUGCUUGCCGGUUAGUUCACGCAAGUGGAAACUUAGAAUGCACUGGCCAUUACUUGAUAGUCACAGACAACUAACCAACUAAUUCAGUUUAUAUUGUUGUUUCCAUUUAAACAUUAUUCUCUCAUGGUUAAAAAGUCUUCGUUGGCAGGUACUGGUUCAUUUGCAUCCAUCAAAUUGCCUGGAUCACAAACCUGAGUGAGUUAAUCUACAACAAAUAUUUUUUUGACUAGCCAGAAUUUCAUCAGAAUUUUAACAGAUAUUUGUGGUGAAUGGUAAGCUCUUACAUUUCAUGUUCUUUUUUUCUUUGGUUAAUAUCCUUCGAAGUUAAGAGGAUUAUAUUACAUAGUGAAUUGAGGUAUUAGCAGGUUUGUAAAAGUUGUCAUCUUUUAAUCUUAUUUGGAGAAUUAACCAGUAGUUGCUCUCUCUCGUUUGUUGUUUCAAAUUACAGAACAAACCACCAAGUCACCUCAGGACGCUCAAGACAUCACAACCUUGCAGGUAUACUAUAUAUUUUCUUCCCAUUUUUUAUAUUUACAAUUGAGAAUAAUGAUUUUGAUCUAAUAAUAUACAAAAAUGAAGCAUACUCAUGGACAUGUGCUUAGACAGAGGUUUUGAUUGCGGAUAAUCAAGGAAAAUCCCAAGACAACCAGCCCCGUCGGUGGACGGUAUUAUCGCAAGGGCUAUAGGACAUUCGUGCUUUAUUGAUGGUUCCUGAAAGGCUGAUAAUAAUUUUGCCGGAGUAGGAAGGUAUUGCACCGCACCGAGAGGCUCAUCAACAAUGGGUGCAGCUAAUCUACGAAGGAGUUUUUCACCCUAACAUACGGAGGUCGAAGAUUUGGUUUGGGCGAUGAAGUGUAUGCUUGACGCAUCUCGAAGUGAAGUGGCUUUAAUUACAGACUGUUCAGAUUUGGUGGAGAUGGUGUCUUCCCCAGCAGAAUGGCUAGCGUUCACGACAUAUCUAGAGGAGAUUCAAACAGAUAAGGAAGUGUUUUCUUUUUUCUCUUUAGUAAAAGCUCCUCGUUGUUCUAAUGUUAAGGCGGAUAAGUUAGCACGCCAAGCGCGUGCUGAACCGCUACUUUGUCUUUAUGUAAACGAUGUUCUUUCCUCUUGGCUCAUUUGAGUCUUAUAUGAAAGCUGUUGACAAAAAAAAAAGAUACAAAAAGCUUUUUUUUUUUAACUUCUUAUUUUUAUGAUUUAAAAAUUAAAACUAAAUAUCAAAGUUUUUACUAAAUAUCAAACUAAAUAUCAAAUGUUUUAAAUUUUAAUUUCACCAAAAUGGUUUUUUUUUUCCUUUUAUUGAAGCUAAGUGUUAAAUUUAAAAAUGAUCAAAACAAACCGGACCUAGCAUCCAGUCCAGUUGUAGUCCGUCAGUUUAUUUUAAAAGUUCAACAUGUUUUCAUGUAUUGUAAAUUUAACACUUAGAAACUUCAAAGUAUUUUUAUAAAUAUGAUUUUAUAUACAUUAUCUUAAUUUUUAAUUAAAAAUUAAAAGUUAUAAUUUAUUGAAAAUAGUUAAGUUUCAUGGACUCGGUCGUUUUAGAUAUUUUGUUAAAUUUAAGUUAACAAAGAAUAACGACAUUGUCGUUUUCAAAAGUAUAAAAACAAAAAAAAUUGAUACAACAUAGAGUCAAAUUUGCCAACGUUAAGUUUGUCUUGGAAAUAAAAUUUAACUCUUAUUAAAAAGAGAAUAUUUGUUACCGUUGCAAUGAAGAAAUAAUAGAAACGAAAUCUUUUUUAAUAUCCUUAAAAAUAUAUUUAACCUGAUCAUUGUGAAAUGAAACAUAAAAAUUCCUUUUCUUUCAAACUUCUUAAUUUAUUAGACACUAGGUAAGGACCCGGGCUAAAGCGCGGAGAAAAAGUAUCUGUUUUUUUUUAGUCUAAAUAUUAUUAUGUUAAGAUUGAUUAAUGGUGUUCUAUGUAGAUGUGUAUAUAGUUUUUGAAAGAAGGUAUGUGAUUAAAAUCGUAACGGAUUUGAGGAAAAUUGACAAAUAUAGGCCUUGGUUAGUUGCUGCUGUAGCUUUAUAUUUUUGUCUGUAGAUUUAGAGCGGUGGAAUUUUUGUCUAUGACUAUAGAUUUGUUAUGUAGUAUUUGGGCUGUAGGAAUUAAUUUUCUGGAAAGCUGAAAAUAUGUGCUUUAGGAAAAAUGGCUUUGUACAGCCAAAGAAAAAUAAUUAAGGAAAUAUUUUGGCUGUGAAUCAAAAAAGGAAAUACAAAAUUUAUAAAGUUUGAUUGAUGUGAAUUUGUAGCUUUGGAAAACAUAUGGCUGUGGAAAGACUUUAAAGCAGCAACCAAUCAAAGCCAUAGUGUAAUUUUAGAGUUUAUACGUGUAUACUAACCAAAAAAAUAGAAUUUGGACGUAUAUAAAAUAACAAAUGCUUUGUUAUAUUAACACUACUAUUUAUUUAGUAUUAGAAAAUGUGAUAUCUAAAAAUAAGGUAACUGUUUUUAGUAUAUUUGAAAAAUUGUUUCAUAAUGUUAAAUUGAAUUUUUUUUUAUUUAGUCAUCUAAUUUAAGACCCGUAAUUUACUAAAAGUGAAUAAUUUUCUAUGUAAUUUAAAAUUAUAUUUAUGUAACAUUUGGUAUUACAAAGUAUUUGUUUGUAAAACUUGAGUGGUGUGUAUCAUGGUCUGACCCGUUGCAAUAUUAUUUUAUAUAUUUAUAAUAUUUGAACCAUUUAAAAGUUUUAAUAAUUAUAAUAUAUGAACAUUCUAAAACUUUCAAUAUUAUAAUAUUUUGAAUCUAUUUAAAAUUAUUAAUUUGUUCAAACUUAAAACCAGAUUAUAUCAAAUAAAAGUUUUAAAUUUGGAUGCAUGAUAAAUCAAGUUUACUGCUCAUUUGUAGUUUGAAGCAUGUUACCAUGUUGGUCUUACACCUUUUUCUAUCAAUAAAGUAUAAUAUGAAAUUUCAUGAAAAUAUUUAACCAACCCGCUUAGAUUUAGGAAAUAUAUUUAACCAACCCGUUUUAGAUAUCCAAACUUUAUUUUAACAAGAUUUUAAGUUUAUAUUAAUAUUUUCAUUGUCAAUUGAGUAAUAUAUAUAUCCUUUUUGAAAAAUUCAAAUUUGCAACAUAUUCAAAAAAAAAGAAGAAUUUUUAUUAUAUUAAUAUUAUAUAUACUUACAAAUAAAUGUGAAUGGAGAAUAAUUAAUGUUUUAAAUUUAUUAUUUUAAAUUAGUUAUAGAAAUAUUAGGAAAUCCAAAAUCUAGAUAGGUAAAUAAUAUAAUUUGUUGGGAAAGUAUCCGAUUUAUAUCCAAACUCAAUUAAAUAUCUUGAAGUAUCCAGUUGUUUAAUUUUAGGUUAAUUUUUAAUUUUAAUCUGACCCAUCAACCCAUGUAAAAGUGUACUUUUAUUUUACUUUAUAAUAGGUAGUAACCCGUGCCACGGCACGGGCGAUUUGGUGUAGUUAAUUUAUGUGUAUAUGGAAUGUAUUUGAAUAUUAUGUAUGUUUGGGAUUUCCUACAAAUACCUCGGGCCAACUUACACUAAAAUGUUCUUGAGACAGUAAACACUCGGUCCGUUGGACUCAAACUCUCCGGCAAUGCUGUAGCACGGAUUGUAUGGACGUGGUAAGAAAAUUCAUCUAACCUUUUCAAAUAUAUAAAAAAGUUAUAACAUUUAAAAUUUAAAAUUUACAAUAGGGUUUUAGAAAAGCUAAACAAAAACUUAGUUACAUAUAUUAAACAUAAAUACAUUAUAUACAAUACAUACAAAAAUGAAAUUGCUAAAUAGUGUAAACAUUGAAUAUAGCAUUGGGACUACAAUUUAUGAAGAACUUGUUGACCUUGCUUAUUCGUCCUGGUUGUUUCUGAAAUAAUACCUUGCAGCGAACUCGGAUCUGAGAUAUAAUUUUGAUAUUAAGUGAUUACUAGGUUAUUUAACCUGAUAUCUUAACCGAAGUAAAGUAUAUGUGGGAUCGAUCACAAGGAGCAAUGGUACACUAAGGACUUGCGGGCCUCGUUCUUAGCUAAAGCGGAAAGGGUUUUUGUUUGGUUUUCAGUUUUGUAAAUAAAAAUACAAAUAAAAGAGAGAUUUAAACUUAUGAAUUAAAGACAUUGGGCUGCAGGGUAUUUUCAGAGAAUCAAUGAAUAACAAAUAAAAGCAAUAAGAAGUUCAAACUUGAAGAACCAUUCUUGAACAUGAACAGAAAUUUAGACUAAUUCUCUCUCAAAACAUUAAUCACUAAAUUUAACUAUUCAAUUACUAAACUCUCAUUUGUAAUUUCCUAGCCAAAUUCACAUUAUUAAACAGGUUCAUUUGGUUCAUAAAGCAUUCUAACAUCCACUCUCGCAGGUUAGAAAUACAAUGCUCAAUUUACAAUCAUUCAGGCCUUUUAUCGAACAUCUUUGAAACACAUAAAAGCCUAAGUUCUAAAACAGGGUGAUCAAUCCUAUUCUAGCAUUGAAAACAUGUAAAUUGAAGAACCUAAAGAUUAAGAAUUCCCUAAGACAUCUAAUCUAUCAAAUCAUUGAAAUCUCCUACUUGGAACCAUAAAACCCAAGUAAGAGACUACUCAGACAUAACAAUUGAAACAAAGCAAAUAGAUUAAAAAAAAAACAUGAUUCAAUAUAUUAGAAUAAGAAAAAGGUUAGAAAUCUUCUCCAAAUUGUCAAAGAGGAAUCAAUCUCUAUCCCAAAUGUUGCUUACAAGUCUAAAACUCAGAAAACUGCUGUAAAGAAAAGGGUAGAUGAAAAACAGGUCUUUUUGGGUUUUAAUACCCAUUACAGAAGAAAAUAGAUAUUAAUUCCGGUUAAGGAAACCGAAAUUGGAAUGGACCGAUCGGUCUGAAAGAUGGACCGAUCGGUCUGAAAGAUGGACCGAUCGGUCGUUUGGCUCCUGGUCUUGUCCGGGUGAAAGCAUCGAUCGGUCCAAAGUGAGGACCAAUCGGUCUCUGCGUUCUGAUCAGGGCCGGGUAAAUGAAUCGAUCGAUCCAUUGUGGGGAUCAUAAGUAUAGUAGAUGCUUUGACAAUAAAUCCAAAAAUAAUGACUUUUCCGGUUCCAUUCUUUCUCCUUUGCCGUUCUUUUUUGUGUUUUUCUCUUUUUCUAAGUUUUUGUUUUGUUUUUGUUUUUUUUUUACGGGGGAGUGGAACUGAUUCUCGUCUCACAAACUGCAUCAGCAAAACUCAAUCAUGAUCGCUCACAGCACAUGCUUAAAAAUAUAACAAUAUAACCACAAGAACUCAAUGUUAAUCACCCCAAACAACUACAUUUACAAUCCUAAUUAAAGGAAAGCUAUGUCGGUAGGUAUACUCCGUAGUUUUUGCACAUGAAUGCACAUGAUGACAAUGACAUAAAAAUGCAUGUGGUAUGAAGAAUGGAUAGGGCUAAAGGUGUGGUAUUAGACUAAAGAUAGUCUAGCCAUUAAGAGUUUACAAAGAGUGGCAAAAUAACGCGGAUUAAACUCUGAAUGUAUGAUCCAUUACAUGAUUACCAACCCCCUAAGUGAGAUAUAAUAAGUCCAUAUUAAGUUCAGAUAAGCAAGACUAAGCUCAAAUCAUCCAAAUUUCGAAGUGAGGGAUUAUACUAGUGAUCUAGUCAUGAAUUUUCCUAAAGUUUCAAGUUAUCCUUAAACAAUGCUAAAUGGUCCCAAGGCAAUGAAAUCAAGCAAGGUGCAAUUCCCUAAGAAAAGUUCAUAGUUCUCAAACAAAAUUUUGACUCAAGAAAACAGACCCGAUUUGACUCGAUAAAACAAACUGACAGACUCAAAAAAACAUCAAAAUGAAACAUAAGAAAAGCAAACUGCAUCAGUAGACAAAUGACACCGCCCCAAGACUUACUUCACACCGUCUCGGUGUGAGAAUAAAUCCAAAAGAAGCGUCGGACUGACUCAAAGAGAAGCAAAAUAAAGAAAAGAAAAAUGGUAUAUAACAACGAAAAUAGAGAGUUUUACACUGCUCAGUGGUUAUGUGGUGGACUAGAGCUGUGCGCCUGGCCGGGCUCCCUCCUGCUUCUGCUGAGACGGACGUCUGCAGAACGUGCAGCUGUAUCACUCGGGCGAGCAACAUCCUGACUAUGCUUGCGGCGGUUCUCCUGUCCAAUGGCUAGCCCAGGUGUGGUCUGAGCUUAUGUGGCCUCUUCUUCUGCGUCUGCUAAGCUUUGAUCUCCUGAAGCCUCAGAACCGUCAUCCUCUGUAUCCUCUCCCUGUGUACGUGAACCAGAAGCACAAGAACAGGGUCUAAUCUUCAUCAUCGCUCUCCACAUCCGGCGCAUCAUAGAGUUGUUAGUCUUCUGAGACUCAACAACCCACUGCAACUGUGCAGACAUAUCUCCAGGUGGAGGUGUAGGCUGUAGCCGGUAUCGUCCAGGACUGUGAGGGAGGAGCCUAUGAGGUUGAGGAGAAUACUCAUGUGAGGGGUCCUCCUCGUCCAUAUCAUCAUCACUAGCCACUGCUGCCUGUGCAGGCUGGGAAACUCGUGUAGAUCCUCUGCGUCGAGUAGGUACAGGAGCAGCUGUCUGAGCAGGGUUGAGAAUCAAAUGUUCAGAACUAGGGAGAAGUACCAAGUUCUCCCGAGAGAGAUGCACAGUGAUAGCUGGACUAGGGAGGUUACAGUACAAUGGUAGUCCUUCAAGAUCCCAAAACUUGUAAACAUAUCUCUUGACCAUAAUAUGACAAUGCAUUAAGUAGUCUAUAUCCACUUGCACUAUGUUCUCAUUCACUUCUGUGGUUGACAGGUCAAUACCACAAUGAAUGAACAAAGGGGUGAGGAAGGUACCCAUGAACAGCUGCUUAGGAGGGUUGAGCUUCACUUUCACAAAUAUCUCGCACCGAAUGGCUGCAUAAUUCGUUGUAAGCGUAACGGGGCCGUUGUAUUCUUCCAACCGAUGUCUAACUCCAUGAAAUAGAAUCCACAGCUCAUCGUCCCGAACUGAGCCUGACUCAGCCUUGAAGAAAAUGGCGUUGCUGAUUAUCUUGACACAAAUGCGGAGAACCGGAUUGCGGAUGGCAGUAAUCUUUGCACCCCUUGACGUCUACUGUCCCUGGCCAAUCAAACCCCAGAAAUCACUUGAGUCUUGUCGAGAAAAGCGUGGGAAACGAAUAUCAUCCCCUUUGGGAAACUCAUAGACCUCACAAAACUCAAAGAGUGACAUAGAAAAGUGCUUCUUGUUGAAGAAGAAUGUGAGCGUUCCCUCACUCGCCACGGGGUCUUGAGGAUCACUGUAACGAAGACGACAUAUGGCUAAGAACUCCUUCACUAAUUUGGGAUAUGUUAAGUGUUCUAGGCUCCAAGCCUUCUCAAGGCCUAUGGUCUGAAACAAUGUCUCUGCAUCUUCAAGUAGUCCAAGGUGGCUCAAACCGUCUCGACAACCACAUCUAGUGGGAUGAACUUCGACCGAGCUCAGUGCAGCCAAACACUUAGUAUCAAUGGAAUCCCAUCUCUUCGAGAUAGGCCGAGUAGAAUCCCUUGUUCGCCCCAUCACCUACUAAACAAGAGAGUUGGCAUCAUGAACCAGUUUGCAACUUACAAUCCAACAAUUAAGCUCAAAAUCCCAAUUAUUUCAACAGUUAAGCUUAAAAACUCAAUUAAUUCAACAAUUAAGCACAAUUGAUAAUAUGAAAAUGCAAGAAUGAACUAGUGUUACUUAGUUAUAAGCAUAGCACAAGAAUCCAUCCACAAAUCCAUGAAAAUCGAAUUCCCUAACAAAUUUGAAGUUCAUACCCGAUUUUACCCAAAAGUCAAAAAAUCAAAGUCCCAAAUUUCCAAUAAUUUAGCAAUUAAGCACCAUAAACAAGCUUUCCAACCUAGUAUAGACUAGAAUCCAACAGAAUUUUACCAUUCAACAUAAAGAAGCUAGAAAUUUGGAGGUUUAGAGACAAACCAUGCAAAAUUCGGACUGUAAAUAGGGAAUUUCGAACUCAUACCUUUGUAGAUCGACCAAAACACCACCACCAACAGAAAGAGAGCAAAAAAUCGAGUGGUUUAGAGCCAAAAAUCGUCCAAAUCCGUUAAGAAUCGAGAGAGUUAUGAAAAUUUAAAUUUUGGGCUCAAAGUGUUCUUCAAGAGGAAGAAGAAGACCAAAAUCGAGUUUCUAAUGUGAAAUAGCUCUUGAAUUCUCGAGUUUUAAGGGUUUUAACCGGUUUAGAUCGGUUUAGUUUUUAAAAAAUUUUGGUUCAAUCCCGAUUUUUCACGAUUUAUGUUUGAAAACUAACAUGGGACCGAUCGGUCCGAUGAAACGACUGAUCCGUCUGUUUCCCUCUGGUCUGGCACGAUGUAAUCGAUCAAUCGAUCGACGUAUGGACCGAUCGAUCCGACUCUACGGAUCUUGAAGCGAUGAACGACCGAUCGAUCUGAUGAAACGACCGAUCGGUCAGUUGUUGCCGGGUUUUCCAGAACCAAAUGGAUCGAUCGAUCCUUAGAGGGACCGAUCGAUCCUCUUUUCCUGCACAUAGAAAACUAAAAAGCAGCAUGAAACAGCAUGGUUUGAUCGGCCUAGAGUUGGACCAAUCAAUCCGUCACUCCCAGCAGAGUGGAAUUGAAACAAAAAGAUGGAAAAAUAAGUUUGAAAACAAUAAAACCAAAAUAUAUACAAGAUACCUGGUGGGUUGCCUCCCAUAAAACGCUUUUUUAAGGUCUUUAGCUUUACCGUAAUGAUCUCUUAAGCUUGAUCGGGGUCUGUAAGAGGAACCGUAGUGACCUCUUCAGAAUUGGACUCUGCAAGAUACGGUUUCAGUCUCUGUCCAUUUGCAGCAAAUGGUUUACUGUCGUUACUCAAAAGCACCACAGAACCAUUAGACCUCACUUCCUUAACGACGAAAGGACCGGACCAUCUUGAACGAAGUUUUCCGGAGAAUAGCUUAAGCCUAGAGUUGAAUAGGAGCACCUUAUCACCUUCAUUGAACUUCUUCAAGAUUAUAUUUUUGUCAUGAAGAGCUUUGGUUCGUUCUUUGUAGAUGCGAGAGCUCUCAUAAGCAUUCAAACGAAUCUCAUCUAACUCAUUAAGCUGAACCAAGCGUCACUCUGCUGCAUGCUUAAUGUCGAAGUUCAUCAAUUUUGUUGCCCACAAAGCUUUGUACUCCAACUCUACCGGCAAUUGACAUGACUUCCCAUAGAUGAGGUUGAACGGUGUAGUUCCAAUGGGAGUUUUGAAGGCGGUUCUAUAUGCCCAAAGAGCAUCAUCGAGCUCUGUAGCCCAGUCUUUUCUAGAUUUACCUAGAAUCCCCUUAAUCUCCCGGUUGGAAAGUUCCACUGGGCCACAUGUUUGAGGAUGAUAAGGCGUGGCAACCUUGUGCUUAACACCAUGCUUCACCAACAAGUUUGCAAAAACUUUAUUGAUGAAAUGUUUUCCUCCAUCACUAAUCACCACUCUUGGAACCCCGAAUCUUGGAAAGAUGAUCUUCUUAAACAUUUUAAGCACCACUGUAGCAUCAUUCUUUGGACUGGCUAUGGCUUCAACCCAUUUAGAAACAUAAUCUACACGACCAAGAUAUACUCAUUCUCAUAGGAUGAUGGAAAAGGACCCAUGAAGUCAAUUCCCCACACGUCAAACACCUCCACUUCGAGAAUGAAAUUCUGAGGCAUUUCGUUUCUCUUGCUGAUAUUACCCUUGCGCUGGCAAGCAUCACACCUUGCAAUAAACCCAUGAGUGUCUCUGAACAAAGUGGGCCACCAAAAACCAACUUGGAGAACCUUAGUGGCAGUCUUGAAGGAAGCGAAGUGUCCUGCAUAAUUUGAGGCCUGACAAUGGUGAAGGAUGCCAUCAACUUCACUCUUUGGAAUACAUCUUCUAAAAAGGUUGUCAGCACACUUAUUGUAGAGAUAAGGAUCGUCCCAGUAGUAAUGUCGAACAUCUCUCAAAAACUUUUUCUUUUUGUAACCGGUGAAUUCAGGAGGUGGAACAUCACAAGUAAUUAGCAAAAUCAGCAUACCAUGGCAAAUUACUCUCUCCAGUGUGUAGUGUCAUGAGAUCAAAAGCGUUUGUAACAGUCUUCAAUUGAUGCUAGCUCUUCUUCUGGAAAGGUAUCCCUCAUUGGGAUGUCGUCCUCAACUCUUAAUCUUGACAAGUUAUCAGCUACCAUGUUCUCAAUACCUUUCUUGUCUUUGAUCUCCAAGUCAAACUCUUGCAACAAGAGUAUCCAUCUCAAUAAUCUCGGCUUGGCAUCUUUUUUAGACAAUAAGUAUCUCAAAGCAGCAUGAUCCGUGUGAACAAUGACUUUAGACCCAACCAGAUAUGAUCUAAACUUCUCAAAAGCAAACACAAUUGCAAGGAGCUCCUUCUCUGUGGUGGCAUAAUUUACUUGUGCUCCAUCAAGAGUGCGACUGGCAUAGUAAAUAGCAUGCAACUUCUUAUCUUUUCGCUGUCCCAAAACAGCACCCACAGCAUAGUCACUGGCAUCACACAUAACCUCAAAAGGCAGCUCCCAAUCUGGUGGUUGCACAAUGGGAGCACUCACCAAAGACUCUUUAAUAGUUUUGAAUGCCUGCAGACAGCUCUCAUUGAACUCAAACUUCUGUUCCUUGCACAACAACUGCGUGAGAGGUCUAGCAAUCUUGGAAAAAUCUUUGAUGAACCUCCUGUAGAACCCAGCAUGACCCAGAAAGCUCCUGACUCCUUUCACAGAAUUCGGUGGCUGCAUAUUCAUCAUGACUUCAAUCUUAGCUUGGUGAACCUCAAUACCCUUUUCUGAAAUCAUGUGCCCAAGUACAAUGCCAUCCCGCACCAUGAAAUGACACUUCUCCCAGUUUAAGACCAUGUGUUUGUCCUCGCAACGCUGAAUUACCAUGCAUAGAUUAGACAAACAAGCAGCAAAAGACAUACCAUGCACACAUAAAUCAUCCAUAAAAACCUCCAUAAAGUCCUCAAUCAUAUCAUUAAAGAUAGACAUCACGCAACGCUGAAAAGUAGCAGGGGAAUUACAUAAUCCAAAAGGCAUUCUACGAUAAGCAAAAGUACCAUAAGGACAAGUAAAUGUGGUUUUCUCUUGAUCAUCGGGAUGGAUCGGGAUUUGAAAGAAUCCCGAAUAUCCGUCAAGAAAGCAGUAAUAUGGAUGGUUUGACAGUCUUUCAAGCAUUUGAUCAAUAAAGGGUAGUGAAAAAUGAUCUUUACGGGUUGCAGAGUUAAGUUUUCGAUAAUCAAUACACAUAUGGUGUCAUGUGAUAGUUCUUGUUGGUAUUAGUUCAUUCUUUUCAUUUUUAAUCACAGUGACAUCGCCUUUCUUAGGCACAACAUGGACCGGGCUCACCCAAGUACUAUCAGAGAUAGGAUAGAUUACACCCGCAUCUAGAAGUUUCAUUAUCUCUUUCUUUACAACAUCUCUGAGAUUUGGGUUUAACCGUCUUUGAUGUUCUACAGAAGUCAUUGAUUCAUCUUCUAGAUAUAUCAUGUGCAUACAUAGAGUGGGAGAGAUGCAUGUGAUAUCAUCAAGAGAAUAGCCCAAGGCUUUUCUAUACUUUCUCAAUUCACACAACAGCAAGGCACUCUCCACAUUGUUCAACUCAGCAUUAAUUAUCACAGGGUAAGAGGAAUUAGGACCAAGAAACGCGUACCUUAGCCUAGUAGGAAGUGGUUUGAGUUCCACUUUUGGAGCUUUCAGCUCGCUCCAAUCAUCGCAGUUUUUUGCUGUUGGGUCUGCUGCAACGUUCUCUCCCUUAGUUAUCUCAAGCUCCGAAAUCUUCAUUUCUUUACUCAUUUGUGGAGCAGAAUCCAGCAGCUUAGCAAACCCAGUAGUUGCUUCACCAAGAUACCCAAACUGAUCUUCUUCCUUAACCAUGGCAAUCUGAAGAGGAUCAUCCAUACUCAACUCCUCAAGAAGCUCAUAUGCUAGCUCAUUUAUCAUAUCAACCCAUAAUGUUUGCCCUUCAAUGGUGGGUUUAGACAUCACUCUCUCCAUGUUAAACUCUUGGACAAAAUCACCAAUAUGAAGUUUAAUCUUGCUCUUUCUCACAUCUAUCAAGGCUCCAGCUGUGUUUAGGAAUGGUCUACCAAGAAUGACUGGGUCUCUUGGCUCCUCAUCAAGCUCAAUGAUGACAAAAUCAGUUGGAUUAUAGAAAUUUCCAACUCGUACAUGCACAUCCUCAGCCACACCAACAGGAAGCGAUCAACAAGUAUCAAAGACAUCUUGGUUGGGGUGAAAUUAGUGAGCCCCAAUCUUUUUGAAACCGAGAAUGACAUCAAACUCACUCCUGCUCCCAAAUCACAGAGACAUCUAUCAAAGGUGUGCUCUCCAAUCCUACCAGGCAACACAAAACUGCUAGGAUAUUCCAUCUUCUUAGGCACAAUAUUCUGGAGGAUAACACUACACUCAUAACUAAUCAAAACAGCUCCUUCUUCAAGAGUCUUCUUGUUAGUCAAAAUUUCUUACAAAUGUUUCCUGUAUGUAGGAACAUUCAUAACCAGCUCAAGGAAUGGAAGUUUAACUUGAAGCUCCUUCAUAAUCUCAUCACACCGACCAUACUCUUUUUCUCUCUGAAUCUUCCUCAAGCGACCCGGGAAAGGCAGCUUAGGCACAUAAGGAGGUAUUGCAGCUUUUUCAGUCUCUUCUUUCUCUGGAACUUCCUCCUCAGCUUCUACUUCUUCAACCAGUUGUUUAGCAACAGAUUUCUCUCCAGCAAUAUCCUUUUCUGAGUCAUCAGAGAUGGCUAUCGCCUUCUCCUUCUCCAGAAUUGGAUUGAGUUGUUUACCACUCCUCAGCGACAUGGCUUAGACAUACUCCUUACUACCGUUGUAGUCCUUCGGGUUCGCUACUGCUUUACCAGGAAGAACUCCCAUUGGCCUUGUAGAAGCAGAUGCUGUCUGGGCUACUUGAUUCUCAAGCGCCUUAACAUGUGAAGCUAGUGACUCAAAUUUCACAUGGAGAUCAUUGUACAUGCUAUCAACUUUGACAUUGAUAUCAGCUGCAUUCUUUUUCUGGCCCUUAAGAAUCUGUUGCAUCAUCUGUUUCAUCUCGUCAUCUCCUGAAGAGGUGUUUCCAGGUGCUUGGUAACCUCCCUGGAAGUUAGAGAACUGGGGUUUCUGCUGAAAACCGGAGUUUCUGCUAAAAACCGGAGUUUCUGCUGAAAACCACUUUGUCUAGCGACAUGUGGUUUUGGUACAAACACCUUGUUGCUGAAAUUUUCAUUCCCUGAUGGAAAAGGCUUAGGCUGAAACUGCUGACCCUGAAAUCCCAUCUACGCUGGAUAUACUGAUCCUGCGGAUUCUCCACAUUAGUGCUUCUGUAAGAUUUGUUAGGAUGACUCUUGUAGUUCUGAUUGAACCCCUUAUUCUGAUAGUUACCCUGAAAGUUAUUGACGUAGUUCAACUCAGCAUGAAAAUCUUCUGAACCGUCUCCACUGAACUCUUGGUAUGCCUGAGGUUCACCACUAUCAUCACAGUAGUUAACCAUUCUCUGAUCUCUCUUAAGAAGUUGCUCAACCUUGGCUGUCAACUAAACAAUCUGUUUUGAUUCACGUCCACCGCCUCUCUGGGACCUGUCGUAAUCAAUAUCCUGGCUGCUGUUGCUACCUGCAAGAUUUUCAAUCAACAACUCAACUUCUGUAUCAGACUUGGUCAUGAAGUUACUACCACUACCAUUAUCUAGUGCCAUCCUGUAAACCUUAUCACAUCCUCUGUAGAAUGUGUUGAUAAGCGUGGCAUGUGGAAAACCGUGAUGAGGACACUCCCUGUAGUAAUCUUUGAACAUCUCCCAAGCAUCAUGGAAAGACUCCGUACCACUUGCUGAAAGGUAGUGAUCUUAUUCCUCAGAAGAGCUGUCCUGGAUUGGGUGAAGUAAUAUGUUAAGAAAACAGCUUUGUAGUCCUCCCAUCUUCGUAGAUUAUCAAAAUUCAACGACCUGAACGUGCAUCGUUCCUGGGAAUAAGAGGAUACUGGAAUCUGUCCCGAUAAUGUUCAGCAUUAGGGGUAUCAUGAUCUCUCAGCGUUUGCCGAACAGGUACAGGUCUUUGGUUCUGUGCUGCUAAACGUGCAGCUUCAGCUUGUGCAGCAGCUUGUACAGCAGCAGCGUUCCUAGCAUAAGGUAUCUGAGGAAGUUCUUGAAACUGAUGUUGGUGACUUCAGCCAUUUCAACAACUCUUGCUUGUGCUUGCUUUUUCCUUCUGUUUGCUCUCUCAAACUUUCCAAUAUCAGCUUGGUAUUCUGCGAGAUAUGAUGAGCCUUCGCUACGGGUCAUACACCUGAAAACACCACAGAGAGAACAAAAGUGAUAAUUAGUAACUGUAAAAAAAUGCUCUAGACUAAAAACUAAUCCUAAAUCUUUAGGUAACGCAAUUUCUCCCCAGCAGCGGCGCCAACUUGAUUACUUGAGUAUUUAACCCGAUAACUUAACCGAAGUAAAGUAUAUGCGGGAUCGAUCACAAGGAGCACUGGUACACUAAAGACUUGCGAGACUCGUUCUUAGCUAAAGAUUAAGAACAUGUAUAUUGAAGAACCUAAAGAUUAAGAAUUCCCUAAUACAUCAAAUCUAUCAAAUCAUUGAAUUCUUCUACUUGAAACCUUAAAACCCAAUUAAGAGUCUACUCAGACAUAGCAAUUGAAACAAAGCAAAUAGAUAUGAAAGAAACCAUAAUGAAAUUGCAAAUAUAAUAAGAAAGGGUUUAGAAAUCUUCUCCAAGUGUCAAGAGGAUGGAUUCUUCUCCCUAAAUUGUUUAGAAAGCAAAGGACAAUGUUUAGAACUCAAAAAUAUGAAGGAUCCAUGCUAACAAGUCGAGCCUAGGGUAUAAUAACAAUAGGAGACGAGUUGGAUCUGUUUCGGAUCGAAUAUGCGCCAAAAUCUGCGUCAGAGGUAAGGGACGGAUCGAUCCAAAUGUAGACCGAUCGGUCUAAUGCUCCCAGGUUUUACUUCUCCAUCAGCUUCAACAACUCGUCAGAAUGACCUGUCUUCACGAAAUCGGGUGUAACUCUUGAAUGCACCGUUAGAUUUCCUUGAAAUCACUUUCAAAUGAAAGCUAACAUCUGUAUAUAUCUUGUGUCAAAAUAAGAGAAAGAUCUAACGGUGGAAAGGCAUCCAUAUGAUCCCAAACAUCUGACACUUCUACAUGAAUCUGCAUCUCCAAAUGUGUGUUUGCAUCCCAAAACAGCUCGUUUUAUUCCAAAGCAACCUAAAACCUGUGAAGACUCAAAAAUGUACUAAAAGACUCUAAAAACACACUUUGACUCAAUAAAAUUUAUAAAAUGAAAGAGGAAAGAAAGACUUAAAACUGAUAAAAACACAGUAUAUCAUGUACAUUUGCUCAUGCAAACUUAAUUUCACUCUCUGUAUAACAAAGAUGAAAUUCCAAUUUAUUACAACUGAAUGACAUGAGAAUUCUUAUAAAUAUGUGUUCAUUUCGUUUAACAAUGAUCAGCAUCUUUCAUUAAAUCAUUUACAAUGUGUUACAUUAAUAAAUUGGAACUACAUUACUUACAUAUUAAAGGUAAUAUAAUUCUAAUUCAAUUAAACUUGUUUUCCAAUAUUUUUUACAACUAUAAGUAAUUAGCAAACCAAAAAUAAAAAUUACAAAAGAAGGACGACUUUGGAUCUUGAUUCUUCGUUCCCUGGCUUCAUCUUCAUUCUUGAUUUCUAAAAUAAUGCCGAACAGCGAACUCGGAACUGUGAAUUGAAAGUUAGAUUAUUAUCAAAAUAUUAUCAUAAACAUAAAGAAACCAAUCAACACAUAAGAGAACUUACAUGGUACGAUGACUUUGGAGACCUUCUUCUUGAACAUUUAGGUAAAUCCUAGUUGCUCCACUACCAAUAUGUGGAUCAUUGGUAAUGCAAGGGACUCCUAUAUUGUUCAUGUGGGUUUAAAAACUGUAGUCAGUUAAAAACCUUAACAACAAUUGAAAUUAACAAACAAAAUAUACAAUACUUACCUUCAUACUUAGACACUCGCCAUAAACGAAAGAUACAAAACACAAGAUCCGUUUUGUAUGUCAGAUGGUACCCACCUUCUUGCCAAAGGUUGUUGAAGUAUUGAACAGCACCGCCAAUCAUAUGGCAUAGAAGUUGUUCAUUCCUGAAAAGAUGUAACAUUUUAACUAAGACUUCUCAUCAUCACUGAAUAAGUAAUCCAGAUGGUAAAUAAGUUACUACAAAUCUAACCUCCCAUUGAUCAAUUUGAUAACUAAUCCAUUGAUCUUUAUAGUCAUCGCAUCUUUACUGUCAGUAAAAUCCUCUUCUUUCACUUGACUAACAUCAACAAUGCAGCUAUAGAAAUCUAACAUAAUCACAAAAUCCAAUUUUAUGACUAAGUGCUAUUAAAUGUAAGGAUCAUAUAGUUGUACGAUUAUAUAUUUGUUUUGUAGAACUAAAAAGUAAAAAUCACUAACCGUAAGAGUUGUUAGAUGGAAGCAACUCUCUAGCAACAUGGUGGAAAUCUUCAAACCUGUAAAACUUCUUCAGUGAAUCUGGACUAAUCUCCAUCAUGUAGGUCUUCUCUGUUAGCUUUAUCUGGUAUGGAUAAAUUGUAUUCCUCUCUUUAAGAAUAGCAGGGAUGACUUUGAAGUCCCUUAUAAUAUACCACUCACCAUCAUAGACGUGUCGUGGUAUUUCAGGAUUCUUCAAACCGGGAGGAAUCGUUAACUCUAUUCUAUCACCCUACAAAAAUUGUUCCUUUUCUUAAUCUAAACUUAUUGACUAAGUAAUCUAUAAAUAUAAAUUUAAACGUCAAUUUAAGAAAGUGAAUUACCUUUAUAUCAGCGAGUACCAUAACCCUUUUCAUAAAGAAAUCACGAGCAUGCCAAGUACUUAAAACCUUGGCCCUUACGAUGGAACCAUUACUUCUUGGGGUUAAAUCAGCUAUUGCAUCGAUCUUCAUGGUUGACAUGAUUAAGUUUUUGAAAGAUUAAAUUUAAGGUUGGAGUUAGGGUUGAAUAGUUUCGUCUUCUUUGACGUUAUGUUAAUGGAAGUAAAAAAAAACGGUUUUUAAUAUAGUGAAUAUAUGCGACUUUUGAUCUGUAUCGUUCCGAAGGUUAAUAGGAAAAGAAUAAUGCCUUUUCGUAAUAUUAAAAUAUUUUAGAGUGAAUUGAGAUCAAUAUAGAAGAUAUUAGUGUCUUAUGGUUUCCAUAUCAAUCAUAUCAUAGACUUUAGCUUCUGUAUAAAUGUUGACUAUUUGGUAAACAUAUGUAAGAUAAGUUUAUAUGUAUUUUAUUAUUUCAAUGAUCUCUGAGCUGUCUAAUAAAUAUAUAAGGGUCUGCAUGAAAGUGAUUUUCAAAACAUAAGAAUAUUUGGUAAGUAUAAUAGUAAUAUAUCAUAAAAUGAUGUAUUCAAUAAUAAGGAUUUACAAAGAAAUACAAAUUACACUACAUAACUACAAUUUUCAAUUAUUUUCCUCAUUAUUUUUCGUCAAUUGUGAAUUUUUAAGAGAUGUAUUCAAUCGAUAAACUGAUCUAUGUAUAGGAUUGAGUAAUCAUAAUCAUGACUAAUUUUAUUUUUCCUAUGCAAAAAAAUUAUUGGAACUUGGUUUUUUCCUUUGUAUGCCCAUUUUAAGUAAUAAUUGUAUAAGCUAAUCAUAUUUAAAUUUGGGCUAAUUUUGGGCCUUCUUUUUUGGUUUAAUUUCAGUUAAACCCAUUACUUUUAAAAAUUUUAAAAUAUUAAAACCGAUCAAAAUAUAUAAAAGCAAUAGAUACUCGAAACUAAAUAAAUUAAACCAAACAAGGAAAUAGUUAUGAAAUAAAAAAAAAUAAAAAAAUCCUAGAAUGUUUGUAAAACCGAGACAGAAAAUUAGUCAAGUUUAUGUUUUUCCUUCUCUUCCUUUGUAGCAACCUUGACAUCAUCUACUUCACCCAUCUUCGAACAUUGCUUUUUGGAUGUUGAUGAUUGGACAUCUCCUUCUUUCAGGUUACUCGAAUCUCUUUUUGAUGAUGGAGUUGAGGAAGUAGAGAUACCAACUUCAGAGGUCUCAACACCAUUGCUUAUCAUCAGAGAACCCUAUAAAACUUAAAUUAUGUAAGAGAUGAUAUAUAAAUCCUAACCCUUGUGUAUAUAGAAUAAUUUGAUGACAUUACUAUUGAUAAAUUACCAUUUUAAAAUUACUAACCUGAUCAGCCGAGUAAAAUGAUGAUUGAUCAACAUAUGUAUCUGAUAAGGAAAUUUCAGGGACUGAUGAAAUUUUCCCAUCAGAAACUUGGGCAACCCUAAAAAUGUCACAUUUACCAUGAAUAUGUUUGGGCUCGAUGCAAAGAAGGAAAACAAAUGAUUUCCCAACUAAAGCUUUGAUCGGAUCUAGCAAAUCUGUGGGAUCUUCAAACUAUAUAAUCAUUGAGUUAGUAAUGUAUUCUGAUUAAAUUUUUAUUUGGUAUAAUGUUAAUAAAUAAUAUACCAAAUCAAAUGAUCCUUUAGGUAUAAUGUCAGUUGCAGCCGUCCCAACGAUUUCUUCAGCAAAACUGUCAAACAACAUAACUCUUGUCUCACCAAUAUGGUCCAUGACAUUAAGGUGAAUCCAGAACCUUAUUAUAUGAUAAUGACAACACAUAUCAAUACUAAAUAAAAUGAAUCAACUUUCAUCGGAAUAUAAAAAUAUUUUGUUUUAAAAAAACUCACUUUGGAGAGACGCCUUUAGCGUAAAUUUUACAGACCUCACACCAGAAUUUUGGUAUAGGUUUUGUUUUAACAUCUUCCAGCUUAAUGACGUCUUCCUUGUUAAUUUUUUGGUGCAUUUUUGACAUGCAUAUUAGAACCAAGAAUAGUCGGUAUCAUUUUCUUUAACCGUACAAAGAGUGCGACACGGUCCAACCUAAAAUUGGGUAAAUGGACAUGUGAGUAGAAUGGAUUGUAAGAUAAAACAUCUUCUUAAAAUAAGUAAACGAAAAUAUGAAACUUACCUCAGUUGCUUUCAGCAUUUCCUCAAUAGUCAUGAUAGGAUACUCAUCCAUGUCUUCUUUUUUAGUACGACCAAAAAAGACAAUUGUCUGUAAGUUACUCACGACCGUCAAUUCCAAACCAUCACUGGUAAGGCUGUUUACAUAAUAUUCAAAAUAAAAUGAUAUUAGUUAUAACAUUUAUAGAGUAAAUAAUUACUAAUUUUAAUCUUUUUCGGAAACAUACCUUUUCUUAAUGUCUUCAAACAUAGGUAUGGCCAUAUUAGUAAGCAAUUGUGAUGAGUCAUAAGAAUUAGAAACACUCCAAACAUCUGAAUUAGUGAAUAAAUAUUUAUGAUUGUAAUUGUGAAAGUCUUUUACUCUGUAUACAGGAUAUAUUUUUAUGUAAAACCAUAUAUCACGUAAAUUGUUAUGUUACCGUUGAAAACAUUGACUUUGGCAAAUCGUAUCAAACAAAAUACAAUACUAUCCGUCGAUUCUUGACAUGCUUGACUUAGUGAUUCAUCAUAUUUUCCCCACAGUGUACAUAACACUCGAGUACCCCUAUUAUAGCGAAUAAUUAAUAUUUGAAAAUAAUAGAAAUAUUUCCUACCAAGUAUUUUCAUGAAUUGUUAAUUUAAACUUGAAAAUUUGUAAGCUUACUCGUUGUUUCUCAAGUGAAAGUCGAUGUUCUUGGUAGGCUUAGUAGAAGUAGGAAUAUCUUGAAUCUUAGCACAAUUAUCGACUUGGCCCAAAAAGUCUGCAAUGUGAAAAGUAAGCAAAAUUAGUUAUAGAUUUUAACUAAACAUUUAAAAUAAUUUAAAACUAAUAAAAACAUAACUAACCAAAUAAAUAACUCUUGUUUUGUUUCCCAUUAAGAACGUCAUCAUAACUGGCCAAUUGAAGAAACAUAUCGUCGGAAAUGUUUUCAGAAGCGGUAACAAUUAUUUUCGACGUGAAACCAAUCUUAAACUUUAUGUCCGAUAUUUUCAAUGCACCAUAAAAAGGAGUUAAAGCAAAAAUAGAAAUAAUGAUCCAAGAAUUUGGGAUUAAAAUUUUUUCAAACUUUUUGAUAUGCUCCUUUUUGACUUUAGCAGCAAUCUAAUGACCCUAUGAAAAAUUCAAAGCAAAUAAAAUUUAAUAUCAAACUUAUAUAAUUAAAAUCAAUACUAUUAUAAUGAACAAUUAUUAUAAUUGUAACUUACAGAAAUGUCGACCAAAAACAUCUCAAUUGUUUCACCAAUUUUGGUGGAAUACUGCUUCCAAAUAUGCAAAACCUUCACUUGAAUACGCCAAUUAACUUUGUAUGGUUUUAGCGCAUUAAGAGAAGUGAUGGGGAGUGUAGCGGCUAACAUCUUAUGAUUCUCUAGUUUUAGUUAAUCGUUUAGUUAUGAUAGGUAUAAAUAAAAAUUGGUUUGUUUAUAGUGUUAUAGAUUAAAUAAAUUUUAAUGUUUAUAACACUUUUACAUUUUAUUUAUUUAAAUCAUACAAUAGAAGCAUACAUCCAUCUCUUUUGAAUUUAUUCGUUGAUUAAUUGUUCAAUUUUGAUAGUAAUUUUCUUUAGUGCUUUUAAGUAUUUUUUGAUAAAACAAUAAUAUUGUUAAUGAUAAAAAUAGGAAUUAUAUUGGGAGAAUUUAAAAAUACCCUUUUAAAAAUACCACUUUUUAAAUAUACCCCAUUUUGAAACUUUAUCAAAACAACCACUAAAAAUGUUAAAAUUUAUCCACAUAUAUGUGUAAACUUAUGAAUAUACACACAAAUUACCUUUAUUUGUGUAUAAAACUUUAUUUAUUUCAAUGUCUUACAAAUUGUUUUGAAUAUAACCAAAAAUUAUUUUGUUAAAAUAAUUACAUACUUUGAAAAUAAAAUAAAUAUACAUGAAUUUGUGAGAAAGAAAAAAACAUAUAAAGUAAAACAAUGAAGAUGGUUUAUUUAGCUUGAUUUUCUUAUGGUGCGAUGGUCAGAAAUCAAUAUUUUUGAAUCCCAUCGAUAAAGUAAUUUCCUUAUAGCCAUAAAAUAUUAUUAUACAUAUGUAUUAUAUAUUUAAUAGUAUAAAAACAAUGAAAAAUAAAAAAGUACAUAAAAUAAAGAAGAAAUAUAAUUGAAAACAAAAGUUUUAACCAAAUAUAUAAUCAAGCUCUUACAAUGAUAUCUUAAUUGAGCUUUCAACCCAUGCAAGAACUUUAAAAAUUAAACAAAGAAAAUAUUGAAAAUAUCAGAUAUGGUGGAGGAGGAUGUAAAAAUGAGUAUUUAUAGGAUAAAAUAUGAUGUAAGUUAUAAUUCUAAAAUAAUUAAAUUAGAGGAGUUAUAAUUAUAUUUUAUAGUGUGUUAAUUGAAAUUGAAUGGAGGAAACAAAUAGUCAAUUGAAAGGUUAUAUAAUUUAAGUUACAAUUUAAUAGUAAAGUGUGGAUUUCAAGUAUGAAUUAAAGUAUAUGACUAAAUGUGUUAGAUAUUUGGUCUAAUUAAAAAUAAAUAUUAUAAUUAAAAAAUAAAUGCUAAAUGGACCAAUAAGGAGAAACCUUAAAAAAAUUCCCAAAGAAUAAUUUUAUNNNNNNNNNNNNNNNNNNNNNNNNNNNNNNNNNNNNNNNNNNNNNNNNNNNNNNNNNNNNNNNNNNNNNNNNNNNNNNNNNNNNNNNNNNNNNNNNNNNNCUCUAAGUUUAAUUAUAUUUUUCAUCGUUGUAGUAUAUAUAAUAUAUAGAAAAUUGAAUAUCCAAUUGUUUUUUAUAUAGGAAAUCAAGUAUAAAAUUCAAAGUUAACAAAAAUUAUAAUGUUGUUUAUAUUAUUACAUGUUGAAUCACAAACUAUAUAUAAGGAUCAUUAUUCUUAAAAGAAUGUCUUACAAUUUGGUUUAAUAAUUAUAUAACAAAAAGUUUAUUUUGUUAAAAAAUUACAUACUUUUGAAAUUAAAAUAAAUAUACAUGAAUAUGUGUGAAAGAAACAAACAUCCAAUGUAAAAUAAUGAAGAUGGUUCUUUAGCUUGAUUUUCUUAUAACCAUAAAAUAUUAUUAUACAUAUGUAUUACAUUUAAAAAUAUAAAAAACAAUGAAUACAUAAAGAAAUACAUAAAAACAAAAAUAAAUAAAAUUGAAAACAAAAGUUUAAACUAAAUAAUUAAUCAAACUCUUACAAUGAUAUUUUAAAUAAGUUUUCACCCCAUGCAAGUAAAAAAAAAAAACAAAGAGAAUAAUGAAGAUAUGAGAUAUGGUAGAGAAGGAUGUGAGAAUGGCUAUUUAUAUGAUAAGAAGUGAUGUAAGUUACAUUUUUAAAAUAAUUAAAUUAGAGGAGUUAUAAUUAUAAUUUAUAGUGUGUUUAAUUGGAGUUCAAUAAAGAAAAGUGUGAAUUUAUAGUGUGUCUUUGGAAAUUUAUAUAAUAUUCAGUUUCAUUUUAGUAGUAAAGUGUGAAUUUAAACUAUGAAUUAAUGUAUAUAAUUAAAUAUGUAUUUUUGGUUUAACUAAAAAGAAAUAUUAUAUUUUAAAAAAUAAAUACAAAAUGGAACAAUAAAGAGAGUGAAACCUUACUUUUAUAUAUAUGAUUUUAAAUAAUUUUCCACCAAUAAGCCUUAUAAAAUUUGUUGAAUGAUAUAUGAUUAAGUCCUUUCAUUUUCUUUGCCAUUUGAUUAUAACUUAUAGUGUAAUUAAAUUUUGUAUUGAAUGAUUGUCAUAAACAUUUAUUUCUUUAUUUAUUUUGUUGAAUGAUAUAUGAUUAAGUCCUUUCAUUUUCUUUGUCAUUUGACUAUAAAUUAUAGUGUAAUUAAAUUUUGUAUUGAAUUAUUGUCAUAAAAAAUUAUUUAUUUAUUUAAAAAAAUAAAAUUAAAGCCUUAAAUAUUUUUCCACCAAUAAGGAGAGAGUGAAACCUUACUUUUAUAUAUAUGAUUUUUUUUGACAAAUGGGUUUUUUAUUAUAUACUAAAAACGGGCCUUUAUACAUAAGGGAAAAAAUUGGACCCUUUAACACUGAAAAUAAUAAAAUAAAAAAAUAAAACAAUUGGGCCCUCUUUCCCCUUAAAAUGUUUUUUUUCUUCACGGGCCAUUGGGCCGUCGCCCCUCUGCCCUACCCAUCCGAGCCGGGCAUGUUUGUGUGCUAAUAGUUCAUAAAAUAAAGAGUUAAUAGCAUUGUAAGUCACUUUUUGAAAAGUAAUACCAAGGAAAGUCACUUUCUCUUUUGCUCAUGAUAUAGUUAAAAUAUUGUGCACAAAUAGCCUUCAUUAUUAGGAUUUACCCCGUGGUACACCAUGGGUCCAUAAUUUAAUAUAUUUCUUUGGUUAAUCAUUUUUGUAGUUGCUUUAUGUAGUUUAUUUUUAUACGUGUUUAUUUCAUUUAACUUAAUAUAAUUUUAUGAAUUGGCAUUAUAAGAAGAUUCAAAGAUAUAUGUUGUUAACCCGUGGUACAUCGCGAGACGAUUUUGUUGUAAAUAAAAAAUUAUAUUUUAACUUAACCCGUAAAAGAUUCUAAAUAUAGACAGCCCGCAGAAAAAUAUAAUCAUAUUUAUGUAAACUUAAACCCGUUCAAUCAUAUAUGUACAAUAUUAUUAUAUUUUAAAUAUUUUUAGAGUUAAAGUAUUAAUAUAAUUUUAAUUUUUGUAGAGUUUAAAUAUUAUUCAUUAUUUUAAUAUUCUAUAAAACUGAAAUAAAUAUCAUAAUUAUCAGCUUGUUUAAAAAAUUAAAUUUUAUAAUAUUCUGAAACUUUAUAAAAUUUUUAUUUUUCUUAAAUAAAGAACCGGAUUAAACUAAUAAAAUUUUUAAUUUGGAUACUUGAGAAAUCAAAGUUCAUGCUCAUUUGUAGUUGUAAACAUAUUAGUCUUAUUUAUAAUGGUUUUGAACUAUUAUCUAAAUUUCUAUCUUAUAUAGACGUUGUACAUAUAUUUUUUCCUUUAUUGAUUGAGUUAAAUAUGUCUGUUUUCAAAAUUUUAAAUUGCAAAAUGUGUGGGAAUUUUUUUAUUUUUAUUAUAAAUAUAUUUCAUGUAAUGAUAUAAAUUUAAAACAAAUAUGAUGAUAUAAAUAUUUUGAAUAGAGAUUCAGUUUAUUAGAGAGAGAUUUUAGGAAAUUUUUGAUGUAAUAAAUAUUUGUAUCCAAUUUUGCGAUUUGCUUAUGAUUUAAUUACAAAAUUUACUUUUAAGUUUUGUUAUUUAUUCAAAUGGCAGGGGUUUGAUUUUGCAAAUAUUAAAAAAUAAAAAAUUAUAAGUCAAAAUAAAUUUUAAUAAAAAAUGUACUUCAAAAAUGUUAAGAUAGAUUCUCUAUAAUAUCUAAUUUGCCAUUGUAAUCAAAACAAAAUCCUCUCUCCUACCACUGUUAUAUGUAUCUUCUUCUUCCUUGUAACUCUUCUUCGGUGUCAUAUUCUCAUACAUAUUAACUUCUUUAUGUACUUUGAUGGGAUAGCAGUGUUAUUGAUUCAGUAUGAAUGGGAGAGACGGGUGUGGUUAAAUGCGAACAUAUUCUCAUACAUGAAUGGGAGAACUGGUUUAAAGCUUGUUCUCGUUGACGGUCAAAUAUUUUUCAUUUUAUUUACCGGGAGAAUCUACUACUUUUACUUCGCCACAGAAGAUACAUCAUACCCAAAGAUCGAAUCUGUUAUGUUUACCUAUGUCGUUGAAAUACUCUUACUUGUCCACAUCCACAUGUACUUGUCCAUAUAUCGUAACUUAUGACAGAGAAAUAGAAAGCCUUAAAUCAGUUAUUUUCUUCUUCUAAUGUCACCUAUAUCCACAAGUGCAUGUCCAUUUAUACAUACUCACCCAUAUCCACAAGUGCAUGCACAUUUUUUAAAACUUAUUUCUUUCGUUUAUAAAAUUGUCGUAAGGUUUUAGGGUAUAGGUUUGGACUUUUAUGUGAUUUUUAGUGUUUGUUGUUUAGUUUUAAAUUUUUCUUUAUUUACUUUUAUUAUCUAUAAAUAUGACCACAUUUACGUUCAAAUUCACCUUAACCUAAUUGUCAUGUGGACAUUUACGUUAGUCAACUUGUCCAAUAAAAUGACAUCAUGUGGAUAGUUACAUCUAUCAUUUGUGAGUUGUUUCUGAUUCAACUAGGGGUAAUUCAUCUGGACACAUUGUAUUGGUCAUUACAGAAAACUAUUCAUUCAACAACUCAAGCAUACUUUCUCAAUAGCCAUCUCGAAUUCCCGUACCACUGCUGCUCUACAUUCUAUUAGAUACAUACCAUUGUAAAUCGGAACCACCCUCAAAACUUUAUUACUGUCCAUAUCGAACUUCCAAUUCCCUUCUUUGCAACACCGCAUCUCCUGCAAAUCACUAUAGUGAAAUCAUCCAUUUGUUCCUGUCCAUUUUAACAUUUCAAAAACAUUGCCAAGAAUCAUAUAGGAUAACAUUUUGCUAGAUCCAUAUCAUUGGACGGUAUAGGUCAUCGAUAUCCAAAAAAACCUCAUUCAAAUGAUCGCUUUUUGCAACAUCAUACAUAUACAGAUCGUUCGUCCAUUUUCCUUCAACCAAUUGUUUACUUGUAGAUGGACAAAUUCUGACCAUGUGAGGAACGUGGUUGUUCAAAAGUAACCACUGUUCAAAAUUAAGAGCAUGGCCUAAUUAACUGCUCUUUCUACAAUUUAAAACCAGAAAUUUUUAUUUUUUUAAAUCAAAGAGACGGGAAAAGACCAUUGCAGACACAUUCGUGGUUAAAAAAAAAUUUAAGAAGCAACUUUGUUUCCUAUAAUAAAACUUUGAAUUGUAAGUAACGUUACUAAAAUAUAACUAAAAUCCAAACCUUUGUUACUUGUUGGAUUUAACUUUCCAGGGUUAUUUUAGCCCAUUUUGGGGACAAACAGUCCAAUAUUCUCCCACCGCUUAUAUACUUACCUUUUCCAAAUAUCACAACUUGAAAGUGACUUAUAUGGUAAAUCACUCUAAACUAAAUUGUCCUAUUUUUCCGAAAAUACCCUUCUCAAUUUAGAAAACUAUUUUCUCUUCAAUGUAAUUAAGGGUAAUUUUAGGAAUCAAAGCCAAUAUUAAUCAAUGAUUAAAUGUGUACUUCUCUUUUAAUAUAUAAGAGGAUAUAAGACAAUGUGGGUUACAAGGUUAUUUCGAAAGUCCUAUGUGAGAGACUAAAACCGGUUCUCCCAGGUAUCAUCUCGGAAACACAGUCUGCAUUUGUUGCAGGGCGGCUGAUAUCAGAUAAAAUUCUGAUUUUCAGGAAAUGUUUCAUGGACUUCGUACUAAUGCGUCUUGUAAAAGUAAAUUUAUGGCUGUGAAAACGGAGAUGAGUAAAACAUAUGAUAGAGUGGAAUAGGUGUUUAUUGAAAACUUGUUACGUAAAAUGAGGUUUGCGAAAAAAUGGAUUUCAUGGAUUUUAUUUUGUGUUUCUACAGUAGAAUAUAGUGUCUUGAUAAAUGGGGAUCCUAGAGGGUCGGUCAUCCCGGGAAGGGGGUUAAGGCCAUGGACAUUGCAAGGACUGCAUUUGGUCCCAAAAAGAAAAAAACUUUAAUUUUUUUUUACGAUUUACGAUUUAAAAACAAGACGACCAAUCGCAGGCCGCCACGUAUCAGUGGAGCCCUCGAAGAAGGCAGGGACCGUCCCUCUUGGACGUACGUCCCGCUUUUUCUUUUCUUUUUUUGAUUUUUUUUUGAUUUUUUGGGUGGGGACAGGGCAAGGACUAACAAUGCCCCUGCCCUAAGGUAGGGGUACCCUUUAUCCCCCAUAUUUGUUCAUUUUGUGUACUGUGGUAUUAAUUGCUAAGAUUCGAAGGGCGGAACAGGAUAAGUUACUCACUAGAAUAAAUUUGGCGAAUAAGGGUCCGUCUAUUUCACACUUAUUGUUUGCAGAUGAUAGUUUAUUCUUCUGCCAGGCGAACAAGGAACAUUGUACGGUUAUUUUGGGGAUUCUAAAGGAGUACGAGACCGUUUCUGUGCAGCAAAUAAAUUUUGCAAAAUCGUCCCUUCAGUAUGGUCAUAAGGUUGAUGGGACUAUUAGAGUGGAAUUACAGAAUAUCCUGGGAUAUCAAACCUGGGAGGAAUGGGGUCUUAUCUAGGUUUACCAGAAUGUUUGGGAGGAGCAAAGUCAAAUGUUUUCUCCUUUGUACGGGAUAGACUAAAUUAUCAUAUUCACGGUUGGUCUGCUAAAUUGCUUUCGAAGGGAGGAAAAGAAGUAAUAAUUAAGUUAGUGGUAUCGGCUUUGUCGACGUAUGUGAUGUCUUGAUUUCGGCUACCGAAGACAAUUACAUCAAAACUUACCAGCGCCGUAGCGAAUUUCUGGUGGAGUACGAACGGUAUAUCAUGCAGUAUGCAUUGGCGAGCAUGGGAGAAAUUGUGCUCUAGCAAACAGUCGGGUGGACUCGUUGUUAGGGAUGUCUAUGAUUUUAAUCCGUUGGAACCACUUAAAUCAUACUCUCCCUCAUAUGGGUGGAGGAGUAUUACUUCAGCUAGAUCUCUGGUUAAUAGAGGAUUUAUUUUACGGGUAGGAUCGGGUGACUCUGUGUCUGUCUGGACAUAUCCCUGGAUCCCUGCUCAAUUCCCGAGACCAGCCUUGAGUAAUGGGUCGCUUAUGGAUCCAUCUCUUCAGAUAUGACAUUUGAUUGAUUGUCAAACCAAUUCAUGGUGUUUGGAUACGCUUAAUAUGUAUUUUACUCCUGUUGAUGUUUCACUGAUCUAUGCUUUACUUAUUGGUAAUAGGCCUGCGCCAGAUGUUCUUGGAUGGCAUUUUACAAAAAAUGGGAAAUACACGGUUAGAUCUGGUUUUUCAUGUGGCUCGAAUGCCGGAUUCAAAAUUUUCUAUUAUAACGGUGGAGGGGCCUAACAUAAAUCCGCUUUUCAUGGAAAUUACAGUGCCCACCUAAAAUUCAACAUUUUCUAUGGCAGAUUCUGACAUGCUGCAUUUCGGUCUCAGCAAAUUUAAGGGCUCGAGGUUUACGUUGUGAUUCUAACUGUUUAAGGUGUGGUGAUCCAGCGGAGACAGUUAAUCACACUAUGUUUGAAUGUCCACCAGCUCGCCAAGCAUGGGUUUGGCGAAUAUCCCUGUGGGCCCGAAUAACUUUCCGACAAACUCGGUUUAUGCUAAUAUGGCUUAUCUAUUCGAUUUGCCUUUAAUUGACGAAUGGCUUCUAUCCUUGGUUAUUAUGGUAUAUAUGGAAGGCUAGAAAUGAAAAUGUGUUUAAUAGUGGGGAUGAGAGUCCGCUAGACGUGGUUAAGAUUGCGAAAGAUGAGGCAAAGACCUGGCAAGAGGCCCAAGUUGAAGAUGUGGAGCUCGAUCGGCACCCUUUAUCGGAAAUUCCUCGGAUACAACCUCGUGGACAUAGAUUAUCUUUGUAUUUUACAGGGUACAUGUGCUUCAUUGAUGGCUCCUGAAAGGACACAUGUAAAUUCUCAGGCUUACGAUGGUUCUGCCAGCACGCUGAGGAUGGCUCAACAACUAUGGGAGCAAAAAACUCUCAACGGAGACUUUCACCUUUACAUUUACAUUCUGAAGUAGAAUCUUUUGUGUGGGCGAUGCGAUGUAUGAUCGGGCAUAAUUUCAGAGAUGUUGCUUUCCUUACAAACUUUUCGGGUCUUGGGAAGAUGGUGUCUUCCCCGCUCGAGUGGCCGUCGUUUUCUGUAUAUCUUGAUGAUAUAACUGUCGACAAGGAGGAAUUUUCUACAUUUUCACUGUCUCUUAUUUCUCGAAAUGCAAAUGUCCAAGCGGAUAAGUUGGUACGGAAUGUCCGUUCCACUCCGCAUUCUGUUCUGUAUGUGAACAAUUUUUCCUCUAAUUGGCUUUUAUAAGCCAGUUCUAUAGUUAUUGUUGACAAAAAAAACAUGUAUAAUAAAAGUUAUUUUUUAAAAAUUGGUAUUAUGCAAUCUUAAUAUUUAUUAAAUAAACUCAAAAAACAAAUUAUGUUAAAUCCAAAAAAAACUAUAUCUAAAAGAUAAUUUUAAGCAAAUCAUAUAUAUAAAAGUAAGGUUUCAUUCUCUCCUUAUUGGUGGAAAAAUAUUUAAGGCUUUAAUUUUUUUUUUUAAAUAAAUAAAUAAAUGUUUAUGACAAUCAUUCAAUACAAAUUUUAAUUACACUAUAAGUUAUAAUCAAAUGGCAAAGAAAAUGAAAGGACUUAAUCAUAUAUCAUUCAACAAAAUAAAUAAAUAAAUAAAUGUUUAUGACAAUCAUUCAAUACAAAAUUUAAGCACACUAUAAGUUAUAAUCAAAUGGCAAAGAAAAUGAAAGGACUUAAUCAUAUAUCAUUCAACAAAAUAAAUAAAUAAAUAAAUGUUUAUGACAAUCAUUCAAUACAAAAUUUAAUUACAAUAUAAGUUAUAAUCAAAUGGCAAAGAAAAUGAAAGGACUUAAUCAUAUAUCAUACAACAAAUUUUAUAAGGCUUAUUGGUGGAAAAUUAUUUAAAAUCAUAUAUAUAUAAAAGUAAGGUUUCACUCUCUUUAUUGUUCCAUUUUGUAUUUAUUUUUUAAAGUAUAAUAUUUAUUUUUAAUUAAACCAAAAAAACAUAUUUAAUCAUAUACAUUACGUUUCACACUUUACUACUAAAAUGAAACUGAAAAUUAUAUAAAUUUCCAAAAACUAUUGGUUUUCUUUAUUGAAUUCCAAUUAAACACACUAUAAAUUAUAAUUAUAAGUUCUCUAAUUUAAUUAUUUUAAAAAUGUAACUUACAUCACUUCUUAUCAUAUAAAUAGCCAUUCUCACAUCCUUCUCUACCAUAUCUCAUAUCUUCAUUAUUUUCUUUGUUUUUUUUUUAAGUUCUUCCAUGGUGUGAAAACUCAUUUAAAAUAUCAUUGUAAGAGUUUGAUUAAUUAUUUAGUUUAAACUUUUUUUUCAAUUUUAUUUAUUUUUUGUUUUUAUGUAUUUCUUUAUGUCUUCAUUGUUUUUUAUAUUUUUAAAUGUAAUACAUAUGUAUAAUAAUAUUUUAUGGUUAUAAGAAAAUCAAGCUAAAGAAACCAGCUUCAUUAUUUUACAUUGGAUGUUUGUUUCUUUCUCACAUAUUCAUGUAUAUUUAUUUUAAUUUCAAAAGUAUGUAAUUUUUUAACAAAAUAAAAUUGGGAGAUUUGCACAACUAACCUUUAUUAUGAUACCCUUUUCUACAAAUACCCUCUCUAGGUGUUCAUUUUCAAUAAUACCCUCUUCAAUGUACAAAAUGACUAAAUUACCCUCCUUUAUUAUAACCCAUGAUGAAAAAGGAAUAUUCUUUCCAACAAAAAGAAUAUUCCUUCCGAAAAUUUUCCCGCCAAAUUUUCCCGCCAAAAAUUUUCGACAAAAAUUUUCCCGCCAAAAAUAUUUCGGCAAAAAUUUUCCCGCCAAAAAAAUUUCCCGCCAAAAAUUUUCCGCAAUUUCUUAAAAAAACCUUGUAAAUAUUUAUAAAUCCCUUAAAAAUCCUUUAAAAACCUUUGUAAAUCUUUUAAAAGUCAUUCAAAACCUUUCAAAACUUGAGUAAACCUUUUAAAACCAUUGUAAAUCAUUUUAUAACAUUUAUAAACACUUGUAAAUCCCUUUAAACCACUUAUAACCGUGAUAAAUCAUUUAAUAAAAACUUUUGUAAACUUAUAAAACCCGUUAAAAACCCUUGUAAAUCCUUAAAACCCAUUUUAAAGAACUUGUAAUACCUUUAAAAACUUUUGUAAACCCUUCAAAAACCUUUGUAAACUUCUAAAACCCUNNNNNNNNNNNNNNNNNNNNNNNNNNNNNNNNNNNNNNNNNNNNNNNNNNNNNNNNNNNNNNNNNNNNNNNNNNNNNNNNNNNNNNNNNNNNNNNNNNNNAACUUCUUGUAAAUCCUUUAAAACUAUUUUUAAAUCUUUGUAUGCCUUUAAAUAUACUUUUAAAUCCUUUUAAAAACACUUGUAAAUCCUUUUAAAAAACCUUGAAAAAUCCUUGUAAUUUUUUAAAAUCCUUUAAAAAUUCUUGUAAAUCCUUUUAAAACUGUUAUAAACUUAUAAAAACUUUUAAAAACCAUUGUAAAUCAUUUAAAAAUCAUUUAAAAACCUUUGUAGGCUUCUAAAACUCUUUAAAAACCAUUACAAAUCUUUUAAAAACCAUUUAAAAACUCUUGUAAAUACCUUUAAAAACCCUUGUAAACCCUUUAAAAGCCCCUUUAAAAAAUCUUGUAAACCCUUUAAAAAAAUUUGGCGGGAAAAUUUUGAAAAAAUAAAAAAAUUUUGCGGGAAAAUUUUUUGGCCGGAAAAUUUUCUCGGAAAAAUUUUUGGCGGGAAAAUUUUUUCUCAGAAACUUUUUUGGCGGGAAAUUUUUGGCGGGAAAUUUUUGGGGGAAAAAUUUUUUGAAGGAAUAUUCCUUCCCUUGGGAAAGAAUAUUCUUUCAAAUAGGGGUAAAAUAGCCAUUAAAAAUUAAGAGAGGACAAAAAUGAAAAUGGUAAAAAAAGAGGGUAUUUUUAAAAGAGGGUAUCAUAAAAAGGUUAUUGGUAUCAAUUUCUCAAUAAAAUUUUUGUUAUAUAAUUAUCAAACCAAUUUGUAAGACAUUCUUUUAAGAAUAAUGAUCCUUAUAUUUAGUUUGUGAUUCAACAUGUAAUAAUAUAAACAACAUUAUAAUUUUUGUUAACUUUGAAUUUUAUACUUGAUUUCCUAUAUAAAAAACAAUUUGAUAUUCAAUUUUCUAUAUAUUAUAUAUACUACAACGAUGAAAAAUAUAAUUAAACUUAGAGAUAUAGCUUAAAUUAAGAGGAAUAUAAAAUCAAAUUAAAAAAUAAAAUUAUUCUUUGGGAAUUUUUUAAGGUUUCUCCUUAUUGGUCCAUUUAGCAUUUAUUUUUAAUUAUAAUAUUUAUUUUUAAUUAAACCAAAUAUCUAACACAUUUAGUCAUAUACUUUAAUUAAUACUUGAAAUCCACGCUUUACUAUUAAAUUGUAACUUAAACUAUAUAACUUUUUCAAUUGACUAUUUGUUUCCUCCAUUCAAUUUCAAUUAACACACUAUAAAAUAUAAUUAUAACUCCUCUAAUUUAAUUAUUUUAGAAUUAUAACUUACAUCAUAUUUUAUCCUAUAAAUACUCAUUUUUACAUCCUCCUCCACCAUAUAUGAUAUUCUCAAUAUUUUCUUUGUUUAAUUUUUAAUGUUCUUGCAUGGGUUUAAAGCUCAAUUAAGAUAUCAUUGUAAGAGCUUGAUUAUAUAUUUGGUUAAAACUUUUGUUUUCAAUUAUAUUUCUUCUUUAUUUUAUGUACUUCUUCAUUUUUUCAUUGUUUUUUAUACUAUUAAAUAUAUAAUACAUUUGUAUAAUAAUAUUUUAUGGCUAUAAGGAAAUUACUUUAUCGAUGGGAUUCAAAAAUAUUGAUUUCUGACCAUCGCACCAUAAGAAAAUCAAGCUAAAUAAACCAUCUUCAUUGUUUUACUUUAUAUGUUUUUUUAUUUCUCACAAAUUCAUGUAUAGUUAUUUUAUUUUCAAAGUAUGUAAUUAUUUAAACAAAAUAUUUUUUGGUUAUAUUCAAACCAGAUAUUGAAAUAAAUAAAAUUUUAUACACAAAUAAAGGUAAUUUGUGUGUAUAUUUAUAAGUUUACACACAUAUAUGGAUAAAUUUUAACAAAUUUAGUGGUUGUUUUGAUAAAGUUUGAAAAUGGGGUAAAUUUAAAAAGUGGUAUUUUUAAAAGUGUAUUUUUUAAAUUCUCCCAAUAUCAUUCCUAUGUUUAUCAUUAACAAUAUUAUUGUUUUAUCAAAAAAUACUUAAAAGCACUAAAGAAAAUUACUAUCAAAAUUGAACAAUUAAUCAACGAAUAAAUUCAAAGAUAUGGAUGUAUGCUUCUAUUGUAUGAUUUAAAUAUAUAAAAUGUAAAAAUGUCAUAAACAUUAAAAUUUAUUUAAUCUAUUUUUUAUAAGUAAUAAAUAAAUUAAAAUAAUUAAAUAAAUAUACAACAACCCGCGCAUAUGCGCGGGACAUUACCUAGUUUUAGCAUAAUAAAAAAUGUUAAAUUUUAAAAUUAAACACACAGCAGUACUCUCAUUGUCAAAAUCCAGUAAACAUAUAAGAAAUUAGUAAAUUACAUAACUAGUUUCAAUUUUCCAAAUUUUGUUUCUUCUGAAAGUUCCCAACUAGUUCGCCGAGGUUUCCACUCCUCCACUUCCGAGGCCGAUGAGUAGAUAAGUCAAAUAAAGCCCCAAAACAACGAAACUGUCGUCGUCCCUUAUUAAACAAAUAUCAACUUUUUCUACUAUAUCAUUAAACAAUGCUCCAAUGGCCGAAUGAUAAAUUCCUGGAAAUUAUCUUUCGCAGGUCCGUGUAUAAAUAAGUCUUCUUGAGAUUGACCCUUACAAAGAUUCAUCUCUUCAAUUCAAUUCUUUCCAAAGAACACACAGGUACACUAAUCUUGGAAUCCAAACUUUUCUCUAUAUGGGUUUUUUUUUGUUUUGUCUUAAAGUCCAGUUUUUGUUUGGUUUUGUUUUUUCUCUUUUCGUGUAGCUGUUUUUGAUAAGAAGAGUGAUUGUAAUGGAUACUAGAGAGAUCUCUUUACUUGAAGGUGAGACUGAUAAUUACGAUGGUGUUACUGUAACUAUGGUGGAACCUAUGGAUCCUGAGGUUUUUACUGAAUGUCUUAAGGCUUCCCUUUCACAUUGGAGAGAUGAGGUAUUAACAAUGGUUCUUCUCUAUGGUUGUGUUUGUUAAAGAAGACUUAGUCAAGAUUUUUUUAUUCAUCAUAUACUGUUUCUUUUUAAAGCUUCGUUUUUGGAAUGAUUGUGUUGUUAAAGUUUUGAUUUUUAUGAUUUUUGUAGGGGAAGAAGGGAAUUUGGAUAAAGUUGCCUCUUGGGUUGGCUAAUCUUGUGGAAGCUGCAGUUAGUGUAAGUUGCUUUAUAUGUUGAUUGGAGUAUUAGUUGGUUUGACUUUAGUGAUUUUGAUGAGAUGAAGUAUAUUGUGUAUUGGUGAUUCUUCAGGAAGGAUUUAGAUAUCACCAUGCUGAGCCUGACUACUUGAUGCUUGUAUCUUGGAUCGCUAAUACCCCUGACACGAUCCCAGCCAAUGCUUCUCAUGUUGUAGGUGCUGGUGCGUUGGUCAUUAAAAAAAGUACUAGAGAGGUAACCAUACUUUCCCAUUUUUUUAAUCUUAAGGGACUGAAGAAGAGCAUAGAUAUGCAUUUGACUGAAUCGAGAUGAAACCACUUCGAUGAGCAGGUUCUCGUUGUUCAGGAAAGGAGUGGAUUUUUCAAAGAUAAAAAUGUGUGGAAGCUGCCUACUGGUGUAAUCAAUGAGGUGAUUUACAUAAUAGAAAUUUCUGUGAUCUUUGUUGUCUUAUUAAAUAUUUACAAUCCUGGUGAAUGAACUGAAGAGUUAAUCUUAGAAAGAGUUCUUGCUAUCUUGGUCAACGAAGCUCGUAAGAUCCUAUACCUUAUUGCCUUGUGACUAGUGACGGGUGAACUGCUAGUGAAGGUUUGGAUAAUAAAAGGUGUCAGCAUGUUGUUUAGGGUUGUACUUUCUAGUGCUCGGCAGGACAUUUAGUAGUUGGUGAGUUUGAUAAGAAGCAGUUUUUACAGCUUCUGUUUGUAACAGAACCAUAGAGUGUUUACAUUAACUAGGAUAAGCUCUUGCGACAUAAACAUUCUUUUCACAACUUAGGUAGUCAGCCUAGUAUUCAUUUUCGUGGUAGGACAAUGAUGUAAUGUCAAACAUUGGUCCCUGGAAAGAUGAUUGAUUAUAUCAAGUUUGGAAUACAAAGAGAAUGGUGGAAAUGAAGUUCUGAUUGUUUUUUCUGCUUCUAACUAAAACAUUCGAAUUUCCACAGGGUGAGGAUAUUUGGACUGGAGUAGCUAGGGAAGUUGAAGAAGAAACUGGUGUAAGUCUUUGUCUUUCAGAAAUAAAGCAUUUCAGUUAUAAUGAUCUUUUACUUGACAGUCUCAUCUAAAAUCUGUGUUUCACUUCAGAUUAUUGCAGAUUUUGUCGAAGUAUUGGCUUUCAGGUAAAUUACUUGCAUUGCUUUGAUUACAUUUGGUCAGGCUUACCGUAUCAGGUCAUGAUUGAUUUACCUUUUACUCGCAGGCAAAGCCAUAAAGCAAUCUUGAAAAAGAAAACGGAUUUGUUUUUCCUCUGUGUCUUAAGUCCGCGCUCGUAUGAUAUUACCGAACAAAAAUCUGAGAUCUUGGAAGCCAAAGUAAAACAUUUCUCUAACUUUCAAUGUUGAUAUAAUUAAGAAAAUUUUAAAGUAACUGUCACCUAACUGAUAUAUCAUAUUACAGUGGAUGCCUAUCCAAGAGUAUGUAGACCAACAAUGGAACAAGAAGAAUGAGAUGUUCAAGUUUAUGGCUAACAUCUGCCAAAAGAAAUGUGAAGAAGUAUACUUGGGAUUCUCUAUUGUUCCAACUACCACAUCAUCUGGUAAGGAGAGCUUUAUAUACUGCAAUGCUGAUCAUGCUAAUCGCCUUAAAGCAAUGUGUGACCAAGCCUCUGCGUCUCACUGAUAAUAUUCUCAUGUCUCAUCCGAUUAUGUUGGGCCUAACGCAUCUAUGUGUCCAGUGUGUGCACAAAAGGGAACUCUGUUAUAUUUUAUCCGAAUAUACUAAAUUGCGUGCAUGUAUUUGAACUAGGUUUUAACCCGUGGUGUGCCGCGAGACGAUUUCUUUUUAAUCAAAAAAUUUAUAUUUUAAGUUAACCCGUAAAAGAUUUUAAAUAUAGACAAUCUGUAAAAAAAUAAUUAUCAUAGUUAUGUAAAUAUCAAACCUGUUUAAUCAUAUUUAUGUUCAAUAUUAUUAUAUUUUGAGCAUAUUAGUCAUAUUUAUAAUGAUUUUCAACUAUUAUCUAAAUUUUUUAACCUUAUGUAGACAUUAUACAUACAUUUGUCCUUUAUAGAUUGAGUAAUAUACAUCCAUUUUAAAAAUUUUAAUUGCAAAAUAUGCGGAAAAUUGUAUUUUUAUUAUACAUAUGUUUUAUGUUAUAAUAUAAAUUAAAAACAAAUAAAAUUAUAUAAAUAUACUUGAAAGAGAUUCAGUUUAUUAGAGAGAGAUUUUAGGAAUUUUUUUUUGAUGUAAUAAACAUUUGUUAGAUUUUAACCCGCGGUACACCAUGGAGCCAAAUUUUAUAUUAUUAUUUUUAAAUUAAAAUAUUUCUGUUAUGCUUGAAAUCAUUUAAAGAUUAUUAAGAUUACAUAAUAUCAAACUUAAUUAAAUCGGUUUGAUUCGAUAUCUCUUAUAUUGAUGCUGUUAAAAAAAAGUAUGUAUAAAGCUUUAAUCAUUUCGAAGUAUAAAGUUUAAAUAUUGUAAUCUAUAUUAAUCUGUGUAUCAGAUAUUGAGUAGGAUUCAAAUUUGUCCCGUCAUACAAUCCGUCUAUAAAUGUUACUUUAAAAAAAUAGAAUUUGUAAUGAUUUCUUCCAGAUGUCUUUCGUACAACAAUUUAUUACCAAAAAUUAAAGGGAAAAUGUCAAAGAAUUCGCCAACUUUCAAAUUUGUGACGAAAAAUUUUCGAACUUUGAUGAUGCCAUUUUAAUCAACAACUUUGAGUUGACUUUUCUCUAAAAUUCCAAAGUUAUGUUGACCGGGCCAAUUUGUUCUUGGGGUUAAGUCUCUGUGACGAGCUUAUAAACAGGGUUAACUGCCCAUUAGUGGUUUCGGUAUGUGGUUAAACGCAACAUUUAAGAGAGACGAAGAAGAUCAAAAUCCCUAAAUCGAGUUCUUCUUUCAAAAUGGAAACCCUACAGAAUCCAAUUCUCUCUCAAAUCCCCAAAUCGAAAAUCAUGAGUUCCAGCUCCAUGUCAAUAGAUGAAGUGAAGCUCUAUGGCGAGCGUGGUGUGCCAUCGAAGUGUGUUUGUGGCUUAGGUGUGACUAUAUUCACAUCCGAAACUCAAGAGAACCAGGGGAGACCUUUCUUUCGUUGUGCAAGCAAACGAGAUGUGAAAUCUUGGACAAGCAAAAAAGAUGUAAGUAUAUGUGUGUAAUUAACAAGUUUGACUUGAAAAAUCUAUGUAAGCUAAAAAUGUGUCAUGUCUUUGUGCAUUAGACUCAUUUGUUUAAGUGGGUUGAGGAUGCCGUGUAUGAAGAAGUAGAAGAUGCUUUACCAAGACUAGCUAUCAUUGGUAAUGAGAUUAACAAAGCCAAAUUAGAGGUCAAUGAGUUAAAUGCUAUGCUAAGAGAAUUGAAGGAAGAGGAAAUGCUCAGCAAAAAGGAAAUCCAUAAGUGUAAAAUGUUUUUGAAGGUCUGUUUUAUGUGGCUUUGUUUCCUCACCACUGUGUUGGGUUAUGUAUGGUCUAGGCAAGGAAAUGAGAAGAAACUUCUGCUUGGUUAUUAAGUGUAUGCUUGUUGUCCUUGAUACCUUAUGUUGUAAACCUUUGUAUUUGUGUUUGUCAUGGGUGUUAAACUCAAAAAUGAAUGAAAACUGGCAUGCCUUGUUUGGAACAUGUUCUACUAAUACCUGGAAAAUGGUCUUAAUACAAUCUUAAACAAAUCCGCAAAUCCGAUCAUAAAACACAAGCAACAAUGUGAACAUACCAAAAAACAAGCAACAAUGUGAACAUGCCAAAAAACAAGUAACACAAAAUCUUUAUGUGACUUAAAACAGAUAAAGAGACGAUAAAACAUUUGUAAGCUUCCAAUGGUUGUACCCGAUGUAGUCACAAUCUCAAAAGCAAUCUCUGGAUUAGAUCGAAAGAUCUCAGCUUGAUAAUCCCAAAUCCGUUCAAAGUGAUCUUGAUGUGUCACUUUCUUUUCUUUCCUCACUAAUGUCUUUGCCUUUGCACAUUGAUCUUCAGUUACUGUGAAGUUGUACUCCCUCAAUAUCUUUGCAACCAUCUCUUGUUUGGUGAUUUUUGGAUUUUUUUUUGCAGCCUUUCUCUAUACAACCAAGCAAUUGUUGACCGCUUCAACAUCUACGAGUAACCUGACCUCACACAAGCAUGUUCUUCAUCAUAGAUCUUUACUUGCAUCUAAUGCUUCUUCUUCUCAUAUACACAAUAGCAUUGCCAUGGACAUUAUACAUCAGUCGCAGAACACUUCGCACCAAUCUUCAAACUAGUUGACUUAUAAAGCUUAAUGUCGUAUCUGGUUUUCAGAGAAUACCUCAAUACAACUAUCUUGAAUUUUUCUGGGCCACUGAAUGUUUUCCCUAACCUCAGAAGUUCUUCAGGAUCUUCAAUCUCUAGAGCACCAUUAUCUUCAUCAAAAUUGUCUUCAUCAUUGCUGUGUGACAACGGUUAUGGUAUCCUCUCAUCAUCCCAAAUCUCAUCUCCACUAUCAGCAUCAUCUCCAACGUCCUCUUCUCUCGCAGCUGUUCCAAAUUCAGCUUCAAAGUCUUCGCAAUUUUCUUCCACUACACCUACACCUUCUUCACAAUUUUCUUCUCCUACAUCUCCUUCACCAUCUCCACCUACAUUUGGCUCCCAAUUGUUUUGUACACCUACAUUUUCUUCCCUAUUGUCUUCUACACCUACAAAUGGUUCAGGAACAGCUACAAUCGUCGAUUGCUCUGAUUGAGGAAUUGCUUCACUGGUUCUGUUUUCCUCGUCUGCAUAACCAAUCUCAUCACAGUCUUCAUCGCCCGCUACUGCACAAUCAUCCCCACUAAACAGCCUCACGAUCUUCUUCAAUAUCUUGACCUCUCUUCCUUUUGUGAUUUUUCCUUUUCUCUUUAGGUUGACCAACCACCUCAGUCGCUGCUUCGGGUGGGUUUGAAACCGUCGAUGUCUCUGACGGAAUGCGAACCGCCUCACUGCCUUCUACUGGUGCAUUUUCCACCAGUUCACUCUCUGCUGGGUUAUUUUUCUCAGCCUCUGUUUCUAUCUCCAUUGUCGGUAUUGUCUCUGUCUCCAUCGCCUCUACUAUAUCUGUUGUCUGAACAGUCUCCACCGUUAAAGAGCAAAGAAAUAUUUUUGUGUUAAGGUCAAGCACAAAUAAUAUUUUUAGAAGAACAUUGAGAUGGUUACUAAAUCAGUAAGAGGAAGGAAAACCAGCAAAGAAGACAGUUAUAUUUUUCUUUAUGAAAAUAACCCACUGGGGAUAUUUUUAGCCGAUCAUCGAAAGGAAAAAUGAUUCGGUUAAAUUAUUUUGAGCUUGAAGUUUUGAAGAAUGAUUUUGGGAGUUAAAAUAGGAUUUUGUAUCAUGAAAAAUCUGAGUUUUCAUGAAGGAAUUGUUUUUAAGGCAAUGGCACAUGAAACUGGUCUCGACGGGGCUUUCCUGCAAGAAACGGUUACCGAAUUGUGUGUUUAAGGCUUAGAAUUGCUUAGUGAAGGAAUUAUUGGCCACGAGUGGGAAAAGUGUCUCAUCUUUAGCCAAUGAAUUAGGAUAGUUUCGCUCCUGCUGAGGACGGCCAUGUGUCUCCACGAAAAUGGGAUAUGGAUGGCCAAAACUCCCAUGUCUUGCUGCCAUUGGCUGGAGCUUUGUUAGACGACACUUGGUGGGUGAAAAAGCUGCUUCCAGCCGACUUUGGAAGGCUAUAAAUACCCAGCUUCGUCUCACUUCUUCCUCAGAGCAAAACGUUAAGAGAAAGACUAGUUAGAUUGUUUCGAUGGCCAAUAGCAUUUCGAGCAGCUUUAGGAAAGUUUUUGAGGUGGCAGGAAGGGUAGUAGGUAAGUAUCUUACUCUUAGUUUCUGUUUCAUCUUAGAAUUAUUUCUUUUAAGUUCCUAAACCUAAACGAAUCUUGGUAAUGCGGAUCUAGAGCUUGCGAGUUGUGCGGAUCUAGCAUUAUCGGAGAUUUUCUGUCCAAAACUUCAACCAAAACCGGUGAGUACCGAAAACAUGUGAAGUAGCACAUGUAAAGGGUUUGCUUAUUGCUGUAUUCUCUUGAGUAGUUUAGGAUCUAUUCCUUGAUUGAAUUCUUGAAUCGUUGUGUUGUCGUGUUUUACCUUAUCGUAAAUUUUUGCGGUAAUGUAUUAGAUCUGGUGAGGUUAGAUUCGUGUUCUGAUUUUAUCUUAGUUCAUGAUUGUUAUUGAUUAUGUUGUGGAGUAGAUAAAGCAUUUGAACGUUUGGUUAGGUUGUUAGUAUAGCCGUUAUGAUGUCGUUUAUUUUCUAAAUUGAUCAUUGUUAGAAAUUGUCGAGACUGGAUUUUUUUGUUUGAUCUUUGGUUGGUUAAGGUUAACUGAUUGUGCUAGCAAGUUUAUUAGGCUGUUGUGUGAUGAGUGUGUGGUUUUAUUAAUCAUUCUUAUGCAUGGCUAAAGGUUAAUUGUUGCUUGCUAGUAGAUAAUACAAGUAUUCUUGUAUAUUAUUGUUAUUGUUGUUGUUGUAGUUGUUAUUAUUGUGUGGCCGAGUUACUAGUUUCAUUCGGACUUAGCUAUUGUGGCGAUAAUGUGAUAUUCCCAAUAGUUCGGAGUGGUUAGCUACCACCGGGCACUACUUGACGAAGUAGUAAAACUCUGUUAUAAGAGACUAAGUCUCUUAUUUACUAAACAAUUCGAACGGGUGUGAUUUUUUUAGCCUUCGUGGCUAAGAGUCGGGAAAGCAUUGCCUAGUAGGGAAAAUCCGCAUCGUAGAAUUAAAGACCUUACGGUAAAUUUGUAUUAGUAUCGUAUCGGUGAGUGUUAUGUGUUUUAGCUGUACUUUUGGCUGAGUACUCUUAGCUUUCUUUAAGCUUCUACUGUUUGUGUUUCUCUGUUGUUGUUUGUACAUGCAUCUAAAUGGGCCCAAAAGCUAUACAUAAUUUGUUAACGAUUUAAGUACAAUACUAUAUAAGUAAAAAGUGGUUUUAGUAAAAACCCGGAAGCGCCAGCAAUGGUAUAUCAGUCAUGUCUGCGUUGACACAACUCACGACAAUAGUACGAGUUGCGAAGAUAAAAAUGUGUUGGGGUCGGUCGAUUUAGGCGAACAAAUGUGUUUCGGAAACCUUUCUCGACUGAUUACGGGCGUCAUCCGUGACGCCCUUGUUCUUUCUUAGUUUUAGGAAGGAUCGAAGGGGUGUUACAAGCGUGGUAUCAGAGCAUGGUUUAUCUAUGUUCAUUGGACUUCCGUUUUCAAUGUUUUAUCGAGUCAAAUGUGUCGCAAAAAGCUGUCUAGGAAAAAUAUUGUUGUGAUCAUCUGCAUUCUUUGGUUUGUUUAGAAUUUAGAAACUUACAUUUUGUGUUUGUGGUUUUGAGUGUAGAUGCCGAGAGGACGAGGACGUGGUAGGAUACAGAUGAGGGCUGAACUCCCUUGGGGACCACCGACCAGGACGAUGCUCGUCAUGCGUGGAGCGUAUGAAUGUGGUAGCCCGAGUGGUACGACUUGGCAUGCACGUGUUGACGGGUCACCGAGAGCGGCCCUGACACCACCUGUUGUGACAAACACUCGAGUUGGACUUAGAGUGAUGGACUUGGCAAGUCUGGGCAUUCGUACUGAGGCCAGGCCGAGCACUGUGGAUGCCAAUGGUGGACCUAAUGUUCCUAAGGCGAUUAUAUUGUCAAGUGUGGAUACUAAGAGUGCUGAUGGUGUUCUGAUGAGCACGGAUGGAUAUGACGUGAUCGGCCCAUAUACUCCGUCCGACUCAGAUCCUUACAAGUGUGAGGACGAGCAGAUCGUAGUUGAGGCUCCAGCACCAGCCGUUAAGCCAUACGUACCUGCUCCAGUCAAGACAGACGCUAUAUCGGCGCCUGACGCUCCAGCAGAUGUACCCACGUCCGUUGUACGUGCACCCACACCAGCAGACGACGACGAUGAUGAGGAUUGCGUGAUCGUUGAGGUCAUCCCCGAUAGUCCAGAGGUGGUCAUGGUCGAGGAUUACAUUAGUAUCUCCUCCGACUCAUGUCAUUCUAUUCUUGCCGAGAGUCCAAAGUCGCCUUUGGUGUUUUCUGGAUCAGUUCUUAACAUGCCUACCAUUCCCGAGUCGGAAAAUUUCGAGUUUGUGCCAUCUCCGCCAGCUUCACCGAUGUAUCCAUCACUCUCCACACCUACUUACAAUACUAUCUCUACCUUGUAGAGAGAGUCUUCGCCUAUGUAUGAGCCACCGAGUACGAGUGGAGGAGUAGUUAUCAGAUAGGAUGGUCCUAAAGGACGUGUCUCUGCACCGAGUGGUCGUGAGCCGUAUUGUUUGACUUGUGUACAGGUUUGACAUUAUCCGGGAAGUUGCAUGUAUUAUCGAGCGUACAUGCCUUCUGGCAUAGUGUGCAUAGCUUGUGGUGAGCGUGGUCAUUAUGCUACGUCUUGUCCCACUGCACGUCCAGGCCCUUUUGCCGGAGGAUCAAGCUUCUCUUUUGGAGCACCGUCCGCUGGAGCUUCCUCAUUUUACACUCGUCCAGGUCCAAACCCACAUGAUACCGUUCGUUUGGCGUUUCCCGACUGUACGUGCACUCGUUGCGCACUUGAUAAGUCUGUAUUUCAUCACUUUUUGAGCAUGUAUUCAUCAUCUUUUUCAGCAUCAUUCACUUGUUGAUUCACAUCAUAUUGAUCACUUUCUUCAUGUUUUACACACUUCAGUAGGUUUUAUGCAUAUCAUGCAUGUCUUGCAUACAUUCUGCAUAUUUGGAGUGUUUCAGGUACUUAGGAGACAUGCAGAGCGAAGCAGAGGAACAAGUGUUACUCGACAUGCAUAUGAUCGAGUGGGACAAUCGAGUGAGAAGCAGAGAUACGCUGCAGAAACAUACUUCACUCGAUGCACAUGACCGAGUAGGAUGAUCGCGUGAACGAAUGCGAAACAGAAUCAACUGUCACUCGAUGGGCAUACUCGAGUGACACGAUCGAGGAAAGCAGAGGAGUAGCAGAUGAUAUCACAUGUCACUCGACACGCUCACUCGAGAUACAUGGUCGAGUAUGUAAUGAUGCAGAGAAGAAAUUAUGUGUUACUCGACGCGCUCACUCGACCAACAGGGCACUACAACUUUUAACCGCUUUUUAUUUUGUCGUUUUAUGUCUUAAGGUUUUCCCAAACUUUACUAUAAAUAGGUCUCAUUUGGAUUGCCCAAGGGAUCGAGUUUUUAUCCUUAGGUUUUUAUUGUUAGCCACCAAACAAUCCAGAGAAUUGUAAUUCAGAUUUCUUUUAAGUUAUUAAGAUUUUGCACUUAGUUCUUGAAUCUUUAUUGUUUAUCUUCCUAUCAUCGUUAUUAUUAUGCAUGUUUUGAACGAUUCUGGGUUUAUGAUGUUUAACAUGAUUUAUGUGCCUGAGUAGUGUUAGGAUUUUUGAGGAUGGGAUAGAUUAGGUGGAGAAUGUUAGGUUGCUAGAGUGUUUAAGUUAGAUUCGUUUGUUCCCUUAUAGAUUAGUGUAUUCAUAACUAAUUCUUCUCUGAUCAAGUUGAAUUAGAUUCCAGACAUUUCAGCACCUACUAAGUGUUUGAUGAAAUUUCUGAACAACUAAUACCAGAGAUAUACUUGUUUAGCCUAAGAGAUUAGAUGUCUAAGAAGUUUAUUGACAUUAAUGGACAAUUUUUUCAUGCAUGGUUACUGCAUGUUUCAUCAAAGAGAUUUGAGAUUAGGAAGUGUUGUAAACAUGAUAGUUUCUGCUAAGAGAUUCGAUUAACUAGUAUUUGAUGUUCAUUGUCUAGGGAUUAGUAUGUUUGUCGUUUGUUUAACACUCAAAGUAGAUUAGCAUACUCCACCUACAUCAAUAACCUCAUCCUCAGGACCUUCUAUCCAUUUGUGCUUUAUGUUUAAUUCUCUUGUUAUUUACUUGUUCCGCUUUGUUUUCUUGCCAAUAUCAAUAAUCAUUACGUUUUAGUUAUGCAUGGUAAUGUUUUACAGCUUUACAUUUAUCGCAUGUUUAACAUGUUUGCUUAGAAUCACUCAAAACCAAAAUCCAUUUAUACUUCGCUUGACUUAAUCAUUUUUGAUACAUCUUGAUUGCUAACAUCGCACCUGACUGGACUGAUACAUAUUGUACUGCAAUGAAAUGAUAGUACUCUACGGUAAUUGGUAGUAAAAUCCUAGAAUCAAUUUGGCGCCGCUGCCAUUUAGAUGUUUGUUUGUUACAUUUGAGAUUUCAGAUUUGCUAAGAUCAAGUUCUUACUCAACAUUCACUACAGUUACUCACUUUGUUCUUUUUGGUUGUCUAUUGAUUCAGGUAUAACUCUUGCUCAACUGCUCCUACUCGACUGACAAACUCAACCAUCUCGCGAGCUAAGUUGAUUUGAGUUGUAUGCACACACGAUCGCAAAGCACAGAAAACUUGUUCCAGCCCUCCGACUUUAUUGAUCGCUUGGUACCUACAUCAAGACAGCAACGCAACAGAGUUACACCACCACAAGUGGAGAUGGGAAACUCUCAACAACAACCUCCACAACGGGCACCUACACGGAUUGGAGCUGGUGAUACUCCACGCAACCAUACCCAUCGUCAGGGUAUAGUGCCCCCAGCUGUGCAGAACAACAACUUUGAGAUCAAGAGUAGUCUGAUCUCCAUGGUCCAGGGCAACAAAUUCCAUGGUCUGCCUAUGGAGGAUCCCCUAGAUCAUCUUGACGAGUUUGAUCGCCUAUGCAGUCUCACAAAGAUCAAUGGUGACAGUGAGGAUGGUUUUAAGCUCCGACUCUUCCCAUUCUCUCUGGGUGACAAAGCGCAUCAAUGGGAGAAAACUCUACCACACGGAUCUAUUACCUCCUGGGAACAAUGCACGCAGUCAUUUCUUGCCAAGUCCUUCUCAAACUCCAGAACUGCACGUCUUCGCAAUGAGAUUUCUGGGAUCACUCAGAAGAAUGGUGAAACACUCUGUGAAGCAUGGGAGCACUUCAAAAGUUAUCAGUCUUAGUGUCCCCACCAUGGCUUCACCAAAGAGUCUCUCCUCAGUACUCUCUACCGAGGCGUUCUCCCAAAGAUCAAGAUGUUACUUGACACUGCUAGCAAUGACAACUUUAUGAACAAGGACGUCAACGAUGGUUGGGAGCUUGUUGAGAACCUAGUCCACUCUGAUGGCAACUACAAUGAAGACUAUGAUAGAACCAUCAGGGCAAGCAUAGAUCUUGAUGAGAGAAGUACAAGAAAGAGAUGAAAGUUGUGAAUGAUAAGCUGGACAGACUCUUGAUGAGCCAGCAAAGGAAUGUCCAUUUUGUCUCUAAAGAAGACCCUUUCCAGAUUCCAGAUGGGGAGGGAGAACAUUCUGAGGAGAUAAGCUAUAUCCAGAAUCAAGGUGGAUACAACACAUGAUACAACUCAUAUAAGCAAAACCCCAAUCUGUCUUAUAGGAGCACCAACGUUGCAAAUCCACAAGAUCAAGUAUAUCCACCUCCACCACAGCAGCAGGGGCAAAACAAGUCAUUUGUGCCUUACAACCAAGGUUAUGUGCCCAAACAACAGUUUCAGCAAGGUUACCAAACUCCAACUGGACCACCACCAGGAUUCCAACCUCAAAAAGCUCCGCCACUUCAGGCACCAUAUGCAGCAACAUUUAUUACAAGGACAGACAAGUGGAUCUAUAGAGUCUGCUAAGAAGUUUGCAGAGAUGAAUAAUAAGAUGGACUGCACAUAUAAUGCUCUCAAUCUCAAGAUUGAAGCUUUGACCUCUAGAAUGCUUCACCUGGAAAGCAAGAAUGCAUCUACUUCUUCAGGACAACUCUCAGGGAAAGCCAUCCACAACCCCAAAGUGUUUGCAACAGCCCAUGCCAUCACCUUAAGAGAGUUACCUAUUACAAAAGACUCUAUGGAUAUCACUGAGGAUAGUGAGGAUCUAGAUGGGGAGAAUUUUGCUCCAAAUGAAGAUUCCACACAACAAAUCAAAGUUGAUCAUGAUCCACCUGCCAUGGUAAAACAUGAUGUUCCAAAGAGUAAGGAACCACGUUACAUUCCUCCACCCUACACGCCUCCAUUACCAUUCCCUGAAAGAUUCAAGAAGAAAAUAAUGGAGAAGUAUAAAGGACUGCUCGACACACUCAAAGGGACUGAACUAACAAAAGCUUUGGUAGAUGCUCAUGCAAAGAUUCCGUCUUACAAUAAAAUCAUGAAAGAGGUCAUAUUGGGGAGGAUUCAAGAAAAGAAGGAAAUAACUAAAGAUGUUGAGCAGAAAGCUGAGGAAGAUGAGAGAGUAAAAUCACUUAACCAUGAGUGUUGUGCCAUUUUCCAUAAAGAGGUUAUCCCAAAGAAGGUAGAAGAUCCUGGUUCAUUUACUUUGCCUUGCACAAUAGGUCCAUUAUCUUUCAGUAGGUCUCUCUGUGACCUAGGAGCGUCAGUUAGUCUCAUGCCUCUCUCUGUGGCUAGAAGGUUAGGUUUUACACAAUACAAAUCGUGCAGCCUAUCCCUCAUCUUGGCAGACAGAACGGUUAGGGUUCCAUAUGGCUUGUUGGAAGAUCUCCCAGUAAAGAUUGGUGAAGUAGAAGUACCAACUGACUUCAUUGUUUUGGAGAUGGAUGAUGAGCCUCAAGAUCCACUUAUCCUAGGAAGACCAUUCUUAUCUAUAGCAGGAGCAAUCAUUGAUGUCGGGAAAGGGAUGAUUGAUCUCAAUCAUGGUAAGAACUUCAAGAUGAAGUUUGAUAUCAAGGAUGUCUUGAGUACGCCAACAGUUGAUGGGCACACCUUCUCCACUGAAGAUGAGUCAACUAAGAAAAUACUCCAGCAAGGUGUCAAAGAAUCUAUGGAUCCCUCAUCGGAUGGUUGUUUAGAACUUCGAAUUAUCAAUGUUUUGAAAGAUUCAAUGACAAGGCUAACAGCUAUGGUCAAGAAAAUGGGUGAGUUGAUGGGCACACCUUCUCCACUGAAGAUGAGUCAACUAAGAAAAUACUCCAGCAAGGUGUCAAAGAAUCUAUGGAUCCCUCAUCGGAUGGUUGUUUAGAACUUCGAAUUAUCAAUGUUUUGAAAGAUUCAGUGACAAGGUUAACAGCUAUGGUCAAGGAAAUGGGUGGGCAAAUCAAUAAACUCAAAAGAAAAAUCAAUGGUCCCUAUCCUAGGAGACAGAGUGUGAGUGUAAAGAUGAGCAGCACAUCCUGUGACAUGACCCAGGAAAAAGAGGAGGAAUGAGAUAUUUGAGAAUAGAGAGUGCUUCAACACCUCUCUAUGAGCCUCCUAAAGCCUAAAAGGUAUAAACAGUCAAGCUUAGUGACUUUAAACAAGCUCACUUGGGAGGAAUUCCCAAAGGUAUCCCUGUAAAUACUGCUUAGGAUUUCUUGUUAUUUUGGUUUUUGUUUUUGGUUUUAUUUGGUCAGGACGUCAAACAUGUUCAGAUAUGUUUCUCCACGAGUGAUGUACUAGCACGCAACAGAACUCCUUCUCCAUCAAGACAUUCCGCUUAUGACUAUAGGGCACAAUGUUUCUUUCUCUCCUCCAAGACAGUCUUCCCAUGAUCUUAGGGACAUCAAGAAGAAAGAAGAAGAAUGCAGCAAGGCGGAAAGCAAAGGUGAGCAUCACGUUGAGGAUUUGACUAAGGAUCCAGACAAGCAUCUCAAUGAAGACCGGAUUGUUGAUCUAGGAGCGUAUCAUUUUGAAGAUCUUACUAGGGAUCCGGUUGAACAUUAUGUUGAGGAUCCGGUCGAGCAGAACGUUGAGCAACUAGUAGAGGCUCCCCCUGCGCAGCCUGCACUAGGCGCUUAUACAAGCGAGUCCAUGACUGCAUACCUGGACUGCUAUUUUCAGUAAGGUACAACUCCAAACCUUCAUUCGUAUAUACCAUUGCAUUUUCAUAGUUUUGUUUGUUUGAUUCUCAAACUAGCUCUCAAAAUUUUAUUACACAAGGGAUUGUGUAAUUUAAGUUUGGGGGAGGGUUUGGGAUGACAUUUGAUGUUGUGUUCUCUUUUCUUAUUUCGAAUUUUUAGCAUAUACUCUGCAUUCAUAUAUGUGCAUUGAAAACCCUUAAAAAUUUGAAAAAGUUUCAGAAACAUCUUUAAAAACAGAGUAAUCAUGUAGCUUGCAUUUGCAUAUUAGGAUUGAGUCUAGAUUGUUUCAUGUAGGAUUGUUGCAUUAGCAUAGGGGGUGAUGAUGAUUUACACCUUGUUAACUUGCUAUGAUUCACGAGUUGAGAUCAAUGCCCUGGUUUUUAGCUCUUUGAUGCAUGAUGAUUGAACUUGAAGUAAGUCUGAAACAAACUUGGAAUUCAUGAAGAGCAUUCUUGAACUUGGUUGAAACAUGUUGUGAUAUGAUCUCAUUCCUUACCUUAUAAGAACUUAAUCUUGACUUGCAAAUAUUUGGUUGUGUUUUGCUUGCAUACUCAUGAUCACCAUAUACAUAUUUGGAUCAUCUUUCUCUUUUCACCACUCUUGUUGAUCCAAGUAGCUGAUCUUUCUUUUGAUCAGUUUGCCAUACCCACAGCCUAUCCUUUUCUUUCAAGCCAAUUGAUAAUUGUUGAGUGGUAGGUCUUUUACCGGAUUAUGCUUGGGGAGAACGUGUUAGGUAUGAGCCGACAAGAUUAAAAUCUUGAGUAGUUCUGAUUUUCAAUUUCAAAUCAGAUAGGAAUAGGUCUAGAUUCUUUGACACCUUGCUGGAGGAGAAUGUUUUUCAAGAAGUUUAUACUCUAGUGAUUGAAUUUUGUGGGGAUAGCAUGAUAUACAGAGAAUGGUUCUGGGAUGUAAAAAAAGAGAAAAAUUUUUGAUGUCUUAUAACGUAAGAAGAAAACAGAACCACAGUAAGGAAGAAACCCCAUAUCCACUAGUAUUGAUAAGAAACUUCUCCUAAGGCAAAAAGAAAAAAAUGGGAAUGAUGUUGAAGGGUAGACACAGGGAUCAUUCAGGGUUAGAUGAUUAAGAGUAAGCAGUUGGGAACCAUUGGGUAGUGAAGAUUUUAUUCAUGUAUGCAUUUGUCGGUCCUCACCUUUAGCAUUCUACCUAAAGCUCUUCAUUGAGAGAUCCUUGUCCUGAAAUUGUUUAAACCCUCUUAAUUCUCAAAAUCUUUUUCUGCCUAGCCAAGUGAAUUUGUUAAGCCUUGCAAAACCAAAUUCAUAUUCUUGAAUAAUGAAUGUUAAAAGGAGUGAAUGAUUUGAAUGCAUGUGUAGGUCAAGGGAUAGGAUCAGUUUCAGAUUAGAUGAGUUUAUCUUAAGUAUUUAAGUAAAGUUCUCUCAGCAUGCAUCAAAGACUUAGUAAUUAGGACAUUGAUUUUAACUGCUCUACCUUGCAAGUUACGGGUUCUGAGACCCCAUUUUCAAACCUCUCUUCCACUUUGUUUCUUUUGCUUUGCUUGAGGGCAAGCAAAGACUAAGUUUGGGGGAGUUGAUAAGUCUGUAUUUCAUCACUUUUUGAGCAUGUAUUCAUCAUCUUUUCAGCAUCAUUCACUUGUUGAUUCGCAUCAUAUUGAUCACUUUCUGCAUGUUUUACAUACUUCGGUAGGUUUUAUGCAUAUCAUGCAUGUCUUGCAUACAUUCUGCAUAUUUGGAGUGUUUCAGGUACUUAGGAGAAAUGCAGAGCGAAGCAGAGGAUCAAGCGUUACUCGACAUGCAUAUGAUCGAGUGGGACAAUCGAGUGAGAAGCAGAGAUACGCUGCAGAAACAUAAUUCACUCUAUGCACAUGACCGAGUAGGAUGAUCGCGUGAACCGAGGGAAUGCGAAACAGAAUCAACUGUCACUCGAUGGGCAUACUCGAGUGACACGAUCGAGCAAAGAAGAGGAGUAGCAGAUGAUUUCACAUGUCACUCGACACACUCACUCGAGAUACAUGGUCGAGUAUGUAAUGAUGCAGAGAAGAAAUUAUGUGUUACUCGACGCGCUCACUCGACCAACAGGGUUACUAUAACUUUUAAACCGUUUUUUACUUUGUCGUUUUAUGUUUUAAGGUUUUCCCAAACUUUGUUAUAAAUAGGUCUCAUUUGGAUUGCCCAAUGGAUUGAGUUUUUAUUCUUAGGUUUUUAUUGUUAGCCACUAAACAAUCCAGAGAAUUGUAAUUCAGAUUUCUUUUAAGUUAUUAAGAUUUUGCACUUAGUUCUUGAAUCAUUAUUGUUUAUCUUCCUAUCAUCGUUAUUAUUAUGCAUGUUCUGAACGAUUCUGGGUUUAUGAUGUUUAACAUGAUUUCUGUGUCUGAGUAGUGUUAGGAUUCUUGAGGAAGGAAUAAAUUAGGUGGUGAAUGUUAGUAUGCUAGAGUGUUUAAGUUAGAUUCGUUUGUUCCCUUCUGGAUUAAUGUAUUCAUAGCUAAUUCUUCUCUGAUCAAGUGGAAUUAGAUUCCAGACAUUUCAGCACCUACCAAGUGGUUGAUAAAAUGUCUGAACAACUAAUACCAGAGAUAUACUUGCUUAGCCUAAGAGAUUAGAUGUCUAAGAAGUUUAUUGACAUUAAUGGACUGUUUCUUCAUGCCUGUUUACUGCAUGUUUCAUCAAAGAGAUUUGAGAUUAGGAAGUGUUGUAAACAUGAUAGUUUCUGCCAAUAGAUUGGAUUAACUAGUAUUUGAUGUUCAUUGUCUAGAGAUUAGUAUGUUUGUCGUUUGUUAAACACUCAAAGUAGAUUAGCAUACUCCACCUACAUCAAUAACCUCAUCCUCAGGACCAUCUAUCAAUUUGUGCUUUCUGUUUAAUUCUCUUGUUAUUUACUUGUUCCGCUUUGUUUUCUUGCCAGUAUCAAUAAUCAUUACGUUUUAGUUUAUGCAUGGUAGUCUAUGUUUUACAGCUUACAUUUAUCGCAUGUUUAACAUGUUCGCUUAGGAUCACUGAAAACCAAAAUCCAUUUAUACUUCGCUUGACUUAAUCAUUUCUGAUACAUCUUGAUUGCUAGUAUCGCACAUGAAUCACAUGCUAGUACUCUAGGGUAAUUGGUAGUAAAAUCCUAGUAUCAACUACCGAAAGUAAACUAGCUUGGACUAGGAUUUCCACCAUUUUUCACAGAGACUAAUCGUUUCCCCACAAAUUCACUGUCCCAUGUAUAUCUAGUUAAAGCUUGUAAAAAAUGCAGCUUAUCUUCUGUGGUUCUCUCAGCUCGAUCAAUAAAAUAUUUACGCCAAAAUCUUUCUUCUUAAAAUGCAUGAAUGCAUGCCCAAUAAAAAUUCGUGUCACUCGGGAGAUCCAACGAUUCAAAUAUCUUGACAACAUCAUCAAAUUCUUCGUAAUCAUCUUGGAAUAUUUGGACGUAAUUGUUCUAAAAAUUGGCGCUCAAGCUCUCUGAACCCAUUCAUUGUAUCUGUUAGAGUUAACUCAAAUAACUGUUUUCUGCGAUUUCCUCUUGAACCACUCCCAAUAGAGAUUUGUGAGGUUCUUGCCCCUCUUUGUGAACUAUUUCCACGUCUUAAUCCACCUUGUUGUUGAACUCUUGAAGCUGGAGUAUGAAACGGAGGAGCAUGUGGAGAAUUCUGAUGUAAAUGAUUCUGGGUGAACUCAUUUGAGGGACGUGUUUCAUCGCUGAUAUUAACGCGAUACACUUCUUCAUUUUCUUGUGUCUCGGGAACUUGAUUUUCAUCAUCAUUUAUGCCCUCAUUCAUUAACUCUUCUCGUCUUUGGUGCAUAGAGUAUUGAGACUGUGAUUGUACAUCUUGUAAGAUGAAACAACGUUGCAUCACAUCCCAACUGUCAGGCGGCUUUCGUUUAAAUGAUCUUACAAUCCUACAUCUCUGUUAAUAAGUUUAUUAAAUUUUAGUAUACAAGUUUAAUGUAUACCAAAAUUACUAAACAUAUUUUGGCUGUGAAAGAUAUUUUUAAUGCUUACAGCUUCACGAACUUUCCACCAAGUAUUAGACGCAGAUAUGACGGAUCUCACAGGGUCAACUGAAAUUCCCGUAGAAUUUUGCAUAAGUUGCUUGUACUUCUUGUACUUUCUUUUCAGUUGAUUGAAUUUUUCAACCAAAAACUCUCUUCCUAGGGGUGAUGGAUCUUUGAAGCGGUAAUUAUUCAUGGCAAUUGCUUGUUCGUAAAGAUCAAUAAAUAGUCUUUCCUGACUAGGAGUCCAUUUAAAAUUUUCUUCGCUCUAAAAAUUUAAAAAAACUCUCAAUUUAUAAUUUACUUAAAUUAAAAGGUAAAAUUUUGUAAAAUUAGGUGUAACUACAUACCCGUGUCGACGUUUCUGUAGGCAAAUUUGUAUUGUUUUGCACAAAAGAACUUUCAUUUUGCCGGCGGUUAGACAUACCUACAAAUACAAUUCAAAAAUAAUUUCUGGAAAUUUGUAUCGUCUUUCACAAAAAAACUUUCAUUGUAUAACUUACGAAUUAAAAAUGCAUCUAAUUUCUGGAAAACUAAGAUCUACAUCUUUAAUUAAACUACUUAUAAUUUUUGGACUUUGUUCUCAGUGGUUAAGUCACUUUUAUCAUAAAAAUAGUACGCGAAGUUAAUUAGACAAAGUAUAAUGAUAAAUAUAUGUUAAAAAUCACUAUACAAAUUAUUCAUGAUGUGUGGGAGUUAGAUUAGGACUUUUUAAAUAUACAAAUUAUUGACUUGUUUGCUAUAUGCAUUUUUCAAGAUAGCAUUAAACUAUAAGUUGUUAAUUUCUCGUAAUAUAUGUUAAAUGGCAGAUACUUUUUUGUUUUUGUUUUUGUAUUAUUAAUAAUUUUUUUAAAUUGAAGGUACUUUUGUUAAGAUGUUCAAUUGGAUUUUUUAGUUUGUCGAACAUGCUCUUCUUUUUCAUUUUUCUUCUUCUUUUUAGCAUUAAAGUGUUCUUUUUUGGAAAUAAAUAUAUUUAUUAACCUGUGAUUAAUUCAUAGUUUUGUCCAAUCUUAUUUAAAUAUAUAUUUUCAAAUUAUAUGGUGGAAAUGUAUAAUAUAAUAAUUAAAUAAAUUAACCGAACACUAUAUAUAUAAACAUAUAAAAUUAACAUACAUAUUACAUAAUUGGUAGAAAACGCAUGUUUUAAACAAAAAUUUAAAUACCUUUAUUUUAUAACUACUAAUAUAUUAUAUAAUGUAACUACAUUUAUUUAACAGGAAAAAUAUAUAUACCUUUAAGCAGGAAAUUAUAGAAACAAGAGGUGUAAAGUUGAAGCUUGGAUAGUAUUUUGAAUUGUGUAAGAAAUAAAAUACAUAUGUUAGUGUAUAGAAAAAUUUUAAUGUAUGUAACUGAAGAAAAAAAAAACACCUUUGCAAAAAAAAAAGGGUUAGAACACGAGAGAGAAAGUGUAAUUAUAUAGAAAAAAAGAAAAGGUAUUUUGGUGUAAUUAUUUUAUUAAAAAAAUAAAAAUGCAUGAAAACACAAAUAAAAAACAUCAAAAGAAGCGUGAAUAACUUCCCCCACAGAUGUUCUGUCUUUAUCACAAAAAGACAAAAAAAAAAGAAAUGAACUACAUACAGCUUUUUCGUUUUUGUUUAAAGAAAAUUAAAAAUAGUGAAUGGUUUAUUGGUAACAGGAGAUCUACAUGCAUGGGUCAAUUGCUCUUUUCCUGUCUCCCCAUUCAAUAGCCUAAAGGGAGAUCUCUUCCGUAUAACUGCAUCAGCACUACUCACUUGUGUAGGCCCUAAUGAGGUUGACGAUGUACUGCGAGAAGUCCACGAAGGCGCGGGCAUAAAGCACUCUGGCGGCAAAGCUCUUGCGUUACAGAUUUGCAAAACUGGCCAUUUCUGAUUGACAAUGAAUGCGAAAAACUGGCCAUUCAUGCUCCAAUCGAACUCCUUUGUACAGCCUCGCAGCCUUACCCAUUCAUGCGUUGGGCGAUGGAUAUUGUCGGUCCUCUACCCGUCUCCCGUUAAAAGAAAUAUAUCCUCAUUAUGACAGAUUAUUUCACCAAAUGAGUUGAAGUAGAAUCUUACGCAAGAAUCCAAUCAAAGGUUGUUUGGAAGAACAUAAUUUGUAGGAACGAACUCCCAUACGAGAUCGUCACCGAUAACGGCACCCAGUUCACAUCACUACAAUUUGAAGGUUUAUGCUCUCAUUGGCGGAUACGCUUGAGCAAGUCGACUCCCCGAUAUCCGCAGGGAAACGGUCAAACCGAAGCAAGUAACAAAACUAUUAUUGUUGGCAUCAAGGAGCGACUCGAAGGUCACAUCACACCUCCCCACGCCGCUCUUGUCUACGGGAUGGAACCACUCGCCCAUGCCGAAGUCGAGAUACCAACCCUUCGUUGUUCGAUGCUCGUGCACAACCCAACUCUGAAUCACACAAUGAUGCAUGAUAUUCUAGACUGUAUCGAGGAAGAGCGAGACAAAGCGCUGUUCAUAUACAAAACUAUCAGCAAGCUGCAGCCAAGCUUUACAACGAGAAGGUGAAAGCCCGACAUUAUGUCGAAGGAGACUUGGUUUUACGUAUUUUUUUCGAGAAUACCGCCGAGCUCAAAGCCGGAAAAUUAGGCGCGCAAUGGGAAGGACCUUACCUUAUCUCUCAGAUUGUAGAGCCCGGCGUUUACGAACUCAUAACCAUGGAGGGUUAUUACUACUAAGCGCUAACGCGUAAACAAGUUAAGAAAAAAAAACGCUCGUACUACCAAGCUCCUCUUCUGUAAUAUGAACUACGAAUGGUUUGAUCCCUCCAAAAGGGUACGUAGGCAGCCUCUCACAAGGCAGAUAUAUAGCUUUUUUUUUUUGAAGUAAUCUCCUAUACAGUAUACUUUGACGAGCUCGGCCAGCUCACCCACUGUCUCCCUGGCCAGAAGUACGGUUAUUAAACGUGUUCCACAUGGAUGUAUUGGCGAAAUAAUCUAUACUUUUGCCUCGGCGAAAGAUAAAGCCAAGCCCAGUCUUGCACAAUAGCAAGCAAGCGGGGAAACGAUAAGCCAACCUCCGGCUUGCUCUUCUGGCCGAUCUCAAAGCACGUACAGGAUAAGCUGGUCACCCCCACUGCACCCUAAAAAGUACAUUGAGUCCGCCUCGACUGCUUCCUCAGCUCUGCAUUUAGAGGAUAAUGCGGGAGACGUCUGACACAACAAAAUACGUCCUAAAAGCAAGCAAAUAACUGCCAAGGAUUCCUCGCACAAAAUAAGCCGAGAUACUUUGCAAAAUUCGUUUUAUUGAAAUUCAUUGUCAUGACAAACGCAACAUGCACAUACGCUGACCUGACAAACGAACAGAAAGCGCUCAUACCGAUAAUCAGACUAAAGAAUUCAAGGAAGACUUACAAACAAACACGAAAAAGGUCAAGCCAUAACCAAAAGAGAAUAUCCUCAUAACGAAAGUCAAAAGCAAAUAUCCGAAACAAACCAAAAGUACAAACACCCAUAGGGCCCGAUAACAUCCGCUACAAAACGGGAUAAUAGUCUCAAAGAGAGAAUAUUGUUUAAAAAGAAUGUCUCUGGUCGGCAAAAGCGCGAGCUCCCGCCAGGACCUGCAUAUCUGCGUCAAACACACAAAGUGUCUCCAUAUUCUGGAAGAACCUCGGUAACCGCACCUAAAACUUGGGAAACACGAUAAGAUCACCAUUAGCGAGGUCGGUAAUAUCAAAACUCUCAACAAUAUCUGUCCACUUCACCGCAACAACUAUGCCUUAAGUAAUCAUCUCCUUAACACAGCCAUGUGUACCUAUAACCUGACUCAACAUGAGAAGCAGGUCGUUGGAAGCUCGGGUAUCGAUGAUAUGCUUCCUCAUUCGUUCUAUCAAUGCUCGAUUCCUGCCGAUCUUUGCUUCGAAAGUAGCCGAUCAUCAACUGCAAGUAAUUCAGAUCUCAAGCCUCAAGAGCUGCCUUGAGAUCACCGACCUCCCUCUCUAAAGCAGCUGAUCGUUUCUUCUUCCCGCCUAAGUUCUUCUUAAGAGCCAGAGCCUCUAUAUGAGCAGACGACUCAGUCCUCUGCUGACUCGCCAAACAUUUCCUGACAUCCUUAAGUCGACGCUCAUAUCCAACAAUAGUCCCUCCUCCCAAGCGGUUAACAAGAGCAAUUCCUUGAAAGAUAAAUAUCCACACACUUGAAAAAAGAAUCGCAAAGUAACAAAAUCAAAGAGACCAAGAAAUGAUCAUAAACCUACAUCUCUCUACGAGCCUAGGUCCCAUAAUAAUCUUUCUCCGCAAGACAAGAGAAGAGUUGAAAGAUCGCAUGAUCUCCACAGAUCCGUCAAGCAAGGUCGGCACAAGCUCCCGCAUUCUUGACAAACAUCUUCUCAUUCACCGAAUCCUUCUCAUUAUAGGAAAAGGAAAACAAAGUAUCCCAUCCCAAUACCUCGUCAUUAGGACGCUUGAUACUAGGAUUUUUCUAUCAAUUACCCUAGAGUACUAUCAUGUCAUUGCAGUAUAAUAGGUAUCAAUCCAAUCAGGUGUGAUGCUAGCAAUCAAGAUAUAUCAGAAAUGAUUAAGUCAAGCAAGCAUAAAUGAUUUUCUGUUUUCAGUGAUCCUAAGCGAACAUGUUAGACAUGCGAUAAAUGUAAGGCUGUAAAACAUAGACUACCAUGCAUAAACUAAAACGUAACGAUUAUUGAUACUGGCAAGAAAACAAAGCAGACCAAGUAAAUAACAAGAGAAUUAAACAGAAAGCACAAAUGGAUAGAAGAUCACGAGGAUGAGGUUAUUGAUGUAGGUGGAGUAUGCUAAUCUACUUCGAGUGUUUAUCAAACUGCAAACAUUCUAAUUCCUAGACAAUGAACUUCUAAUACUAGUCAAUCCAAUCUCUUGGCAGAAACUAUCAAGUUUACAACACUUCCUAAUCUCAAUUCUCAUUGAUGAAACAUGUAGUAAGCAUGCAUAAAGAAACAGCUCAUUAAUGUCAAUAAACAUGUUAGACAACCAAUCUUUUGGGCUAAGCAUGUAAAUCUCUGGCACUAGUUGGUUCAGACAUUUCAUCAUAUACCUUUCGGGUAUGAAAUGUCUAUGACCCAGUUCCAAUUGAUCAGAGAAGAACUAGCUAAUAGAACUCUAGUCCAGAAGGGAAACAAAACGAAUCUAACAUAAACAGUCUAGCAAACUAACAUCCUCCACCUAAUCUAUCCCAUCCUCAAGAACCCUAACACUACUCAGACGCAGAAAUCAUGUUAAACAUCAUGAAACAAGAAUCGUUCAAAACAUGCAUAAUAAUAAAGAUGAUAGGAAGAGUAACAACUAGGGCUGGGCGUUCGGAUAUCGGAUCGGGUUCGGUUCGGAUUUUUCGGUUUUCGGAUUUUUUGGAUAUUGAUUCUAACAUCCAUUCGGAUAUUUACAAAAUUCGGUUCGGUUUCGGUUUGGAUAUUUCGGAUUUCGGUUCGGUUUGGAUAUAAUUGUGAUAAUUAAAUUUUAACCAAAAUUUAUUGGAUUCGGUUUUAUUCGGAUAUUUUUAAAUCUAAUUAUACUCAAAUAAUCCAUACUAUCCAAGUAUAUAUAAAAAUAGAAAUGAGGCAAAUGACAAGUUCAAAGAACCAACUAACAUAAUACCAUACCAAUAUAUAAAAUUGAAGCAUAAAACUGUGUCGAUGCAUGAAAGCUUUAAAUAAACCAAACUAAAUCAUAAAUUCAUAAUGAAAAAGUAGCAAAAUUCAGUGACAUCCUAAAUCAAUUAAAAAUAAUUUUUCAUCCGUUAUGCGGCAAACGUAUAUAUCCUAAGGAUAUUAAAGUAUAUAUAUCCUAAAGAUACUAAAGUAUAUAUUAUAAGUUCGGUUAUAUAUGGAUAUCUAUUGGAUAUCGGUUCGGAUCGGGUUUAAUCCGAUAUCCAAAAAUAAUGAAAGCUAACAACCGAUCGGUUAUUUUUCCAAUAUCGGUUCGGUUUUAAUCCAAUUUUUUCGGUUCGGUUCGGUUCGGAUUUUCGGAUUCGGAUUUUAUGCCCAGGCCUAGUAACAACAAUGAUUCAAGAACUAACUGCAAAAUAUCAAUAACUCCAAAGAAAUCACGAUUACAAUUCUCAGGAUCGUUUGGUGGCUAACAACAAAAACCUAAUAAAAUAAUACUCGAUCCCUUCGGCAAUCCAAAUGAGACCUAUUUAUAACAAUGUUUGGGAAAACCUUAAAACAUAAAACGACAACGUAAAAGCGGUUUAAAAGUUGUAAUGGUCAUGUCGGUCGAGUGAGCGUGUCGAGUAACGCUUACUUUCUUCUCUGCAUCAUUUCAUACUCGACCCAGUACCUCGAGUGAUCGUGUCGAGUGACCUGUGAAACCAUCAGCUACUUCUUUGCUUUGCUCGAUCACGUCACUCGAGUGAGAGAAUCGAGUGAUAGGUGGUUCUGCUUCGCUUCCCUUCUGCUCGAUCUGCUACUCGAUCGUAUACGUCCGCUGCUCACUCGAUCGUCGAUGUAACUGCAAUUCAUCCUUGCUUCUCACUCGAUCAUCCCACUCGAUCGUGUGCACGUCGAGUAACGCUUGUUCCUCUGCUUCGCUCUGCAUGUCUCCUAAGUACCUGAAACACUCCAAAUAUGCACAAUGUAUGCAAGAUAUGCAUGAUAUGCAUAAAACCUACCUAAGUAUGCAUCAAUAUGAUGCGAAUCAACAAGUGAAUGAUGCUGAAAAGAUGAUGAAUGCAUGCUCAAAAAGCGAUGAAAUACAGACUUAUCAACGCUCUUGUGCAGUACAAGCCUGCAUCGGCUUCUUAGCCUCUCCUGAAACAACCAAGGGAAGAUCGCCGCUGGACGGCCUCUUCCUUACCUUGAUUCUCUACUGAGAACUCAUCCAACUUCACAAAGAAGUAACGGCGAUGCCAAUUGUGGAUCUUCUUAGCUGCUCUAACGACAAUCUUAUGCCCUGAUCAGGCAUUAACAUAAAAUGUACCCAGAGAAACUUUGAUCCUUGAGAAAAUGGUGGCUUCUUGUAGAACGUUAAAAUCAAUUUCAACGCCACAUUCAGUCCCCGAUAUAGUCAAGCCGACCACGUUACGAAUAGCUGCAACAUAUAUUUGCAAGAUAGUAAUUUGUCGACGAGCGCAAUAGGUAGUAAAUAAUUCAAGGAUUGGAAGCCAAAGACCGAAUUUAAAGAAGAAAGAUUUACACAAGUAGAUAAAUCCCUUCAGAGGAGUCUGGGACGAUCACUAGUCUCUGGCAAACGGGUAGUCACUCUCUCCGGGACUCUACUAAAUAUAAGCAUUUCUAUCAACGAUUUCUCGGUAGACCUUGACAAGCCGUAUUCUUCCAGAGCUAGAACCUCGUCGGCUUCGGGGUCGUCGUCCGAAUCAACAUCCUCAUCUGGAGCCGUAGCGGUAACCUUGAGACUAUCAUCCGGAUCACUAGCCUCGGGAACAAAUGGCAAGCUGCUUUGAAUCUAACGCUUACCUACCUCGCUAAAACCGGCCGCCCGUAGACCCAUAACCAAUACUUGGCGAUCUUCCUUUUUUCCUUAGGUAUUUGGUUUCCGGCAGACACAAAAUCUAAGUAAUCGUCGUCACAAUCACUUGCGUACUGCUUUUCAAAACCUAGAAGAUCACCGAAAUCGUGUUUGCCAGCCAACUCCUUUCUAACGUCGAACUCAAGUUUUUCGAAACUAUCUUUCAAGCUAUUUCGAAUGUCGAAUUCGCCGGCCUCAUCAAUAGGGCCAACCUCGUCAUUCUCAUCAGAAGUGCCGACCUCACAACGUCCACAAACCGUAUCAACAGAAUCAGUCUCGUUUUCAUCGACUCGACCCAUGAGACGAGAGAGUUGCGCAAAAAUAUUCCGACCACAAGAACCCGAGAAUGAAGUGCCACUCACGCAAAGCGCCGAACCAACAACCUCACAACUAUCCCCAACCAAGCGGUCUAUCUCCAUGGCGUCGUCUCUCCAAUCUGCCGAGCUACUACCACCGACCUCUCCACCAUAACCCCUCCUCAAUGAGCCGGGCGCGUCAUCUCCUGAAGGGCACAGCUAACUUAUGCUUCUAGUCAAUUCUGACCAACAAACCAUCUUUAUAAGAUGGCUUUCAUCAACGGCACAGUUGUGACCAUGAGUGAUCUGGUUUCUGAUUCCAACUAUAUAUAUUUUAUAAUUUAUUUUUAAACAAACCCUUGUUAUUUCCAAUACAAAAGUGAUGAAGAACUCUAUUGACCUAAGAUCAGAUUCUAGGUUGCUUUCACUACUCCAGAACAAAUUAACUACAAUCUAGAUGAAAAACUCUAUUGAUUCAAUCCUAACAAUCUUACAACCUAACAAUUCAUGAAUUCCUUUGAAAAUCCUAAACCUAACAAGAAAUCUACUCAGACAUGGUGAAUGAAACAAACAUCAUGAAUAGAAUAGAUUGCAUAAAGGAAAGUAUUAGAAGAAGUAAAGGAGUUUUGAAUCUUCUCUGAAGGAGGUUUUGAUUCUUCUCUCCCAGCUCUCUACAAAUCUCUCUUUCCAAAAUAAAACUGAAGUCUUAACAAAACCCUAAAAAUACAAUAUAUAUGUCUAAACCACGAACUGGGCUUAAUUGCAAAUAAGGGAAACUUUUGGGCCGAAUCUGCAAAUCUUCCGAACUUCAAUUAAACGCGAAAUUCAAUUGCCGUCAGAUAUUGGUGUCGAUCGACACUAGAAGUUGUGACGCUCGACACGCACACCCUAUAUGUUCUUCCGUACGUUCCUUUCGGCACAUCUUUUCCGAAUGCUCCCAAAUGCUCCAAAAAGCUCCAAUCCAUGCCAAAUAGAUCCUAAUCUUGAAAUAACUCUAAAAGACUCGAAAACACUAUAAAAGCUCUAUAAAUAAGACUUAUAUCAUGGCCAAAAACCAUGAUAUAUCAUGUACGCUCUCAAUGGUUGUCCUGAUGAACAUACAUCAACCUCUAAAAAGGUGUAUUCCCAACUUGGCAAAUCUGAGCAAGCAGAAGGCGACAUCAGUUUGACAACUCAAACUCUUGAUUUUGACAACGCUGAGGGUAAAAUCGAUCAUGUGACUCCACCUUCUGUCAAUUGUGAAGAAUCAAUCAAGAUUGAUGAAAACAAAGUUCAAUAUGUCCCUAAUAGCAAAACUGUUGCGGUCAACAAACCAAAACUUGUGAAGGUUAAAGUUGAGAAGAAGUAGUUGAUUUACCUCUUUAUCAUUGAAGGGUAAUAAUGGUUUCGCUGAAACCUUUUUAGUUCCGUUUUAUUUGCCCUUAUGUUUUAAUGGAUUCGGCUUAGACCAAUCUAAAGUUGCUACAAUAAGGAUAUUUCCAAAUCCUUAAUUUUGAGUAUUAAUAAACUAUCUACUCCAUUUCUAUCAAUUCACGUGUGGAGAAUAUUCUAAGAACACUUUUGGGAAAAAGAUAGUUAUUGGCCAUGAAUGGAUGUUGGUUUUUAAUUCAGAUUUUGGAUUUGUUUUUUAGUUUUUAUAUUUUAGAUUUUAGUUUUAGAGUUUUCCAUUAUGUUUUUGUUUCAAAAAUCUCAAAAAAUUGGUUUUUGGUUUUUGCAAAAAUUAACGUAGUAUGGAUGAAAAACUAGAUUCCCUAAAUUAUAGGAAACUUCAAAAUCCAAAAUCUUGAAUGGAAGCUUACACCAAAAUUUUUUUACUAAAUUUUAGGGAAUCCAAAACUUUAAAAUCUUGAUUGGUUAAAAAUGGAUUUUUGAAAAACAAAAGCCAAAAUCUCUCUGAAAAUCUACAAAACAUUCAAGGCCAUUAUAUUAAGGUUUCUUAAAAAUAUAUGCUCCUUCGACAAUGGACUCACUGUGUAUGCUAUACAUUGUAAGGAUUCUUCCACUAUUUUUUGAAUUAAAAAGGCACUAUAUCAAAAAUCACAACAUUGUAAUGAAUAUAUUUCCGAAAGACAAACCCUUGAUAACCCUUGCUAAUAUUAAAUAAAACAUUAAAUCCCGGUUUAUACUUGCGAAAUAUACGGAAAAAGAAUCACAUACCAAAUUUUAAAUAUUACAGGAACUAUAUUAUGUAAAGUAAUGUCAAUUAUGCUAUAGAAUAAUAGAUCAAGAAUAUUCUCCAAUAUAAUUUAAAUAGAGCAUACUUCCAAAAAGUGAUAACUAUAUAUUAUGAGUAAUCCAAUAUAAGGAAAUAUGAAGAAUCUUCAAAAUUAUUUUGGAUUAAGACAAAAGUUUUGAAAAUAUAUAUGUCACGGAAUUUUAAUUUUAUUUAAUAUUCAUAUAAUAAACUAUUGCAUUCGACUUAUAAAUUAAGUGACCUAAACGGCGCAAUUAUAAGAUAGAUAUGGUAAUGUUUUAGAUGGUUGUUUUGCUGCUCGCAACAUAUGCUUAGGUAAAGUCCAUUUAUAUUUAUGCUUAUUUUAAUUGUAUUAGUAUUGAGAUAUAUAUAUUAAUUAAUAGAGGUUUGUAAAAGAUGUUAUGGGUCAAGAUGUUCGGGUGAAACCAAUCAUCCAGGUUAACUGUCCAAGUGCUGUUUGCCACAAUAGAAGUACGAGGCUUCUUUGUUUUUCCUUGCGGAUCUUAGAGUAAGAUUUUUAUUAGUAUUCGAUGAUAUCAAUUGGAACAUAUACAUAGUAACUUCCAUGUUAACGUACUAUAAAAUCUUCUUCUUAAGAGGGCAUGAAGUACCCUGUGUGGCAUACAAUGAACAUGCGGCUUCACCAAUGGAGGCGUUCAAACACCAACAUGGUCGUCGCUGUUUUGCGAUUCUGGAGGGCUAAGUACAAGGCUGGAGAUAUAUUCAUGUUUAAACAUAUUGGCGUUACGUGAUGCAAAUAGUAACUAUAUUUUCGUUGAUAGGUAAAGGAAUAGAAUUACGGAGCCAACCAAUUGUUUCCACCAUUUACUUUGAUCCCCUUUUUCCAGAGGUCCACGACUACAAGAUGAAGUGAAUACGUUUUGUAUAUAUUUUUUCAAUAUUUCAAAUUCCUUUGUAUAUGAUAUAUUUCCUCAUGUUUUCUUUUGUUUCUUGGUAUGGAUAUUGGUGUUCAAUCAGGACAAUGAUGAAGCAGGAAGCGACUAGGCUCAGUUCAUAUGGACUACGGAUAAGAGAUGCUAUCUCAUGCUUAUGUUAUUUGUUGCUUAAUAUCGUAGUUGUUUCUGUCAUGAGGAGUUUUUCUCAAUAAUUACGAUCGUCUAAAGUAUUGUUUUAUACAAACUAAUAAGUUUAAAAUUAUUAAAAUUAUGAAUUUAUGAAAUUUUAUGCUGGAUAUUUUAUACAUUUAUACAUGUGAUGAUAUAAUUUAUAAUUCGAAAAUAAAUAUUUUAUACACUUAUACAUGUGAUGGUAUAGUUUAUAUUUUGAAAAUAAACAUAUAUGGCAUCGAAGGAUCCAGUAUCUUUAGACACUUAUUGAAAGAAAUUUUUUGUAUAAUAUAUGAUAGUAAUCCAAUGUAAAAAUCUAUAAUUUCAAUCUUGAAUCAUAUAGUUAUAAUCGUAUAAAAUCAGAGAUUUACCGUAAUAUUCUCCACAAAAAUGGCAAUUUUGUUCCAUCAAUUAUCUUAUAUCUAACAUAAAUUUUAACUAAUAAUUUAAAUGCCUGAAAUUAGGCCUAAUAAUUGUUUCCUAAAUUUUUGCCUACAUCAAUGGACAAAAGACGUAUUAUAUAGAUUAAACAAAACCGAGUUUUUAUAACUAUGUUUUUACCUAAUCAGUGAAAACAUCACUACUCUUACUAAAAAUCGGUUACCAGCACUAUACUCCAGAAAUUAUUCUAUGUUGUGCAAACCACGAACUCAGCAUACUACUAUGAGGAAAACGACAAUCAACCCAAAUCGGUUCUAUUCCAUUAAGGGUAGUAUUCACAUGGAUUUUAGGCGAACUAAACAACGUAACUAGCGAAAACAAUGUUAGGAGAAACGAGCAAGUGCACUUCCAGCAAAGUGAAAAAUCUACUUUGGGUCUUAGAGAUCAUGAAUCUAAGUAAUGAUUCAGUGUCUGAUUGGAAAAAUAUAAACUACACCAUCUGACUCUAAUACAAACUUUCUCCAUUUUAGCAAUCUCAAAAAGAAGUAAUCAUAGUGUUCUUAAUGACAUUACAAAUACGACUCCAACCGAGACCUUGACUCAACUCUCAAACCAUAAUUUCCCAUUACAGCUUCCAGCCAAAGGUAACCAUACUAAUUACCAAAUGUAUGGACUAUUUACUUCUAAUUGUCACCGAAGAAACGUGAAAUCAAAGUAGGUGAUAAAGUAGCUGGAAGACAUGGAAAUAAAGGUAUCAUUUCCAAAAUUUUGCCUAGACAGGAUAUCAUUUCUAAAAAUUUUCCAAAAUUCACAUCUAUCGUAAUUUUAUACAUUAGCACCCUUCAUUUUUUGAUAGAUAAGAACUAUUAACCUACUCCGACAGCGUCACCUCCAAACAUUCAUGGAAAUACUUUGCUAAAGCGUGAGUUAAGUUUCGGUACUAAAUAAACCAUUAAACACACCUGCUUGGCAAGGUUACAAACUCCUUCUACACCAGAAGUAUUGCCGAAUAACUUUCCAUUUAUACUCAGAAAUAUCACCAACCUAAGGACCACUCAUGUAAGCCAACAGAAGAUUCCUAUGUUUUCCAAUCUGGUUGCAAAUAUGCAUACAAAUGGUAUGUGUUUCAAUAAUUAUAUAUUGUGUAAGAUCAUUACUAAUGUUCACUAUCAUAAUACCAUUUCUAAUAAGAUAUACCGUUUACCUCUUACUAAUAAUCAGUUCCUCAAACUACCGGUGGUACUUCAUGUGUGACACGACUUAAAUAAGCAACGUUUAUCGAGGGAAGAAGUAUUCUACCGACCAGAAAUUUGCUUGGACAGUUCCAAGAAGCUAACAACAGAAGAGCAUCAAAAGGUACCGUCUAUCUUCAAAUGUAAAUUUCUGAGCCCAAUUUAUUGACUAAUGUUUUUGCGUUCAUGUAGAUGGAAAGGCUUGCAGUAGUCAGGAUUCUGACUACUUUAACAAGGAGCAAUUUGCUGAUCAACUUUUCGAUUUAGACAAUGGCGAUAGUCCAUUAGGACAAAAAUAUGAUGAUUUUAGCCAUGAUGAUGAUACAAGCGGUAUGAAUACAGAUGUUGAUUUUGAUGAAGUAGCUGAUUAGAGUAAUGGUGAAAAUGUAGAUGCGGUUUUGUUAGACUUGCUAACCGUAGGAACCACCAAAAGAAAGGCCAAUCGAGAGUUAACAGAAGGUCUAAAUUAGCGACUGAGCCACCAAAUAAACCAAUUCAAAGAUCAAAGAAAGGCAUCAAACUAUCAAAAACAGGUGGGUAAAUCAUUUCCAAAGUGAUUUACAUUAGUUCCAUAAUAUUAGUCUAAUUAUUGAUAAAAUAUUGAUUAGCUUGAUUCACAUGUCUUUGCAGUCUAUUUAGAUCAUGGUGAUGUGACGUAUCCCUGUAAGUUUUGUGGUGCGUUGAUGUGGUAUGAUGAACAGAUAAACAAGAGAAGGAAGCAAAAGAAUCCAAUCUUUACUCUCUAGUGUGGCCAGGGGACUAUUAAAAUACCAUUACUCAAGGAAUCACCUGAUCUUUUAAAUAAAUUUAUGACUGGUAAUGAUGCACUCAGCAGAAAUUACCGACAACACCAAAAGAUUAUGACUGGUAAUGAUGCACUCAGCAGAAAUUACCGAUAACACCAAAAGAUUUAUAACAUGGUUUUAGCUAUGACAUCCCUUGGAGGGAAAGUUGAUCGUUCUGUUCCUAAAGGUGUUGGUCCUAAUAUGUUUCUAUUACAAGGGGGUAAUUAUCAUCUUAUAGGCAGUUUACAGCCUGAGGAAGGUGAUUAUGCAAAAUAUUCACAGCUCUAUAUCGUUGAUACUGAAACAGAAGUUGACAACAUAGUCUGUAUAAUUAGGUAACACCUUUAUCGUCAACAUAUAUUAAUUUUCUUAGAUCUCAUUAAUAAGUUAAGUAUAUGUCUCACGUAAUAGCAUUAUAAAUUUGUAUUUUGUACUCACGUUACAGCAAAGGGAACAAAUCAUAUCAUGGCUUUGGGAAGCAAAAGUUGAAAAAGGAAGUUAUCGAAGCAAUUAUUCUUUAGACUGCAGGAUAGGGAAAAUGAGUUUCAUACACUGCUUCGGUCGAAGAGAUUAUUCCAGCAGUUUUCGUGUGAUGCGUACACAACUAUUGAAUGAAACGGGUUAUCAUAUAUAAAGCAUAAGCAGUCAAAGUUGAGAUGUGAAAACCUUGCUACAAUCAGAGAAGCUCUAGGAUCUGGAAAUAGCAAUUUGAGUGAAAAAGGUAAUCUUCUUAUUCCAGCAUUGUUCACUGGCGGACCACGUUAUAUGGUCCAAAGUUACUAUGAUGCAAUGGCCAUAUGCAAACAAUAUAGUUUUCCAGAUUUAUUCAUCACAUUUACGUAAGCUUAAGUGGCCAAAGAUCACAAGGUAUGUUAAAAAAAGAGGGUUAACGGGACUUGAUCGACCCGACAUUGUUGCUAGAAUCUUCAAAAUCAAGCUGGACUCUCUAAUGCAAAAUUUGAUAGAGAAACGAUUGCUUGGUAAAACUGUAGCAGGUAUCCUAUGUAAGUUUUAUGUAACAUUUCCCCUAUAGCAAGGUAAAUAUCGUUUACAAUAUUGUAUUGAGGUUUAGUAAUUUCUUUGAACAAAAUGACAGCUAUGUAUACAGUGGAAUUCCAGAAGAGAGGACUUCGACAUGCACAUAUCCUAUUGUUCAUGGAUGAUAAAAGCAAAAUGCCUACUGCCGAUGACAUUGAUAAGAUUAUAUAACCUGAGAUCCCCGAUAAAAAACAGUUCUGAAAACUAUAUGAAGUCAUCAACGAAUCCAUGAUUCAUGGAUCAUAUGGUGCAACAAAUCUAAACUCGCCAUGUAUGGUAAAUAAAAAGUGUUCAAAACAGUAUCCUAAGAAGUUCCAGCUUCUUAAAGUUGGUAGUGAUGGUUAUCAAAUAUAUAGGAGGCAAAAUUCAGCUACAAAUUAUGUUGAAAAAUGUUGUACCAUACAAUAUUCUGUUGUCUACUCGAUAUCGAGCGCAUAUCAAUCUCGAAUGUUAUCGAGAUACUUGAAAAAAUUCUGACUGCCUUUAGACCUUGUGUGCAUAAACGGACUCGAUCAUGAGCUCGAUCAAUGCAGUUGAUUGGUUGGUCGAGUGCAGUGGUCAGAUGUUGUGGUUGAGUGGUACCUGAAAAAGAAAACAGAAAAGCAGAAAAGCAAACCAAAUCAGUAUUCAAAGUGAAAGUGAUAUAUAACUUAAUCUUGCUAAAUUGAAAUCCAAACUGGAACAACUUAAACUUCCAAAUGGCAGCGACGCCAAAUUGAUAACAAAUUUCUGAUGGUAAUGGUAUCAAUCACCCAGUAUAAUUGUAGUAUAAAUGACGCGUGCAAGUAGUUUAGAUGCAAUCAAUGUUUAACAAGUUAAGCCAAGCAAGAAAUGUUUUAAACUACCAACUACUAAAUUAAAAACAAGCAAUAGCUAAGCAAAAGACAACAUUAAACUAAAACAGAAAUGAAACUACAGAAACAAUAACAUGCAGCGAACUAGAAUUGCAAGAACAUAAAUGAAGCAAGGUAAAUCAAUCAAUUAAAGGGAGGUUCUGGGGAUGAGAUGGUGACUUCAGUGGAGAUCUUUCACUUCACUAGGUUGCUAAAUCAAUCAACGCUAACAAUGAUGUGUCCUAGACAACAAGCUCAUAAGCUAACCAGUUCAAUCUCUUGACAAAGGCUAUCAAAUUCAAAUCACUUCCUAAUCUCAACUUCUGGUUGAUGAAACAUGAAAUGAAUAGGAAUUAAGACUCAUGUCAUUAAUUUCAAAUAACACCCUAGACAACCAAUCUCUUGGGCUAAACAUGAAAUUCUCUGGUAUUAGAUUAUCCGGCAUUCCAUCGAACACCUCUCGGGCGUGGAAGCCUGAAAGCUCAUCACCACUUGAUCAGAAUGAGAUUAGUGUUAUAUACACUAAUCCAUAAGGAAAUCUAAACAUUUCUACCUAUGGGCAACCUAACUACCUAAAGCUCUCCACCUACACAUCUAACUCAUCCCCAAAACCUAACGAAUCUACUCAGAUAUGAGAUUCAUCAUCAAGAACACAAACCCAGAAAUCUCUAAAUCAUGCAUAACUAGAUAGAUCUAAGAAAGAUAAGCAAAAUAAUACAAAAAACCAACACCAAAUACUCAAUGGCUCAAAAGAUAUGGAGUUUACAAGAUUCUGGAAAUUCUAAAGCAAAAUAAAGAUAAACCCUAAUACCACUCGAUCCUUCAGUCAUUAGACAAAGGGCCCUUUUAUAGCAAGCUUAGCUAGCCCUAAAAUACCUGCUCGGUCGUGCACUCGAUCGGUUUGGUUCGAUGGCUCGAUCGAAUGCUUAGUCGAUUGCUUCUGUGGUUCACUUGAACACUCGAUCGUUUCCACUGCUCGGAUCCUUAUGCUCGAUCGGAUGAACCUCUACUCUUGUUCCAUUCGUCCUGAUUUGCUUCUUUUCCAAUGGGUAAACACCUAUAUAUGCACAAAAACUACAAUGCAUGCAAUCAAGACCUAGAUUCUACAAGUGGAGAAAAACAAGAUAAAUAUGCAUAAAAGAUCAAGUGAUGAGACCUAUAAUGAAAAAAACAAUGCGUAAAACUAGUGCUAAAAUGACUAAAACCAGACACGCCAAUUGUUUCAAUGGUACCAUAACAAUAUACGUGACAUAAUCUUUUACAUUAAAAACUUAUUGUCAAUAGUCUAGGGAUGAUCACUAGUCUCCGGCAAACGGGUAGUCACUCUCUCAGGGACUUUGCUGAAUUUAAGGUAAGAACACAAUGAUGCAUGAUAGUCUGGACUGUCUCGAGGAAGAGCGAGACAAAGCGAUGUUCUUAUACAAAAUUAUCAGAAAGCUGCAGCCAAGUUUUACAACAAGAAGGUGAAACCCGACAUUUUGCCGAAGGAGACUUGGUUUUACGUAAAGUCUUCGAGAAUACCGCCGAGCUCAACGCCAGAAAAUUAGGCACGCAAUGGGAAGGACCUUACCUUAUCUCUCGGAUUGUAAAACCCGACGUUUACGAACUCAUAACCAUGGACGGCACUCCAAUUCCUUGUUCAUGAAACUCCGCCAACCUGGAGGUUUAUUACUACUAAGCGCCAACGCGCAAAUAAGAUAACAAAAAAAUGCUCGUACUGCCAAGCUCAUCUUUGGUAAUAUGAACUAUGAAUGGUUUGAUCCCUCCAAAAAGGUAUGUAGGCAGCCUCUCACAAGGCACAUCUAUACUUAAAAAAAAAAGUAUUUUUCUAUACACAAUACUUUGACGAGCUCGGCCAGCUCACCCACUGUCUCCGUGGCCAGAAGUACGGUUAUUAAUCGCGUUCCACAUGGAUGCAGUGGGGAAAGAUAAAGCCAAGCCCAGUCUUGCACAAUAGCAAGCAGGCGGAGAAAACGAUAAGCCAAGCUCCGGCUUGCUCUUCUGGCCGACCUCAAAGCACGUACAGGAUAAACCGGUCACCCGCUCCUAAAAACUACAUUGAGGUCGCCUCGACUGCUUGUUCAGCACUGCAUUUUGGGAUCAUGUAUAUAGGAUAAGGCGGGAGACGUCUCGCAGAACAAAAAACGUCCUAAUAGCAAGCAAAUAACCGCCUAGGAUCCCUCGCACAAAAUAAGCCAAGAUACUUUGCAAAAUUAGUUUUAUUGAAAUUUAUUGUCAUGACAAACGAACAUAAAGCGCACAUACCGAUAAUUGGACUAACGAAUUCUAGGAAGACUUACGUACCAACACGAAAAGAGGUCAAGCCAUAACCAAAAGAGAAUAUCCUCAUAAUGAAAGUCAAAAGCAAAUAUCCGAAACAAACCAAAAGUACAAACACCCACAUGGCCCGAUAACAUCCGCUACAAAACGGGAUAAUAGUCUCAAAGAGAGAAGACUUUUAAAAAAGAAUGUCACUGGUUGGCAAAAGUGCGAGCUCCCGCCAGGACAUGCAUAUCCGCGUCUGACAUACGAAGUGUCUUCGUAACAACAACUCCAUAUUCUGGAAAAACCUUGGUAACCACACCUCAAACUCAGGAAACACGACAAGAUCACCGUCAGCAAAGACGGUAAUAUCAGAACUCUGAACAAUCUCUGUCCACUUCACCUGAUUAGCCUUCAAGCCAGAUAUCAUGGUCGGCGGAACAACAAUGCCUUAGGUAAUCAACAUGAGAAGCGGGUCGUUUGAAGCUCGGAUAUCGAUGAUAUGCUUCCUCUUUCGUUCUAUUCACGCUCGAUUCCUGCCGAUCUCUGCUUCGAAAGCAGCCGAUCAUCAGGCUGCAAGUAAUUCAGAUCUCAAGCCUAUAGAGCUUCCUUGAGAUCGCCGACCUCCCUCUCUAAGCAGUCGAUCUUUUCUUCUUCCCGCGUAAGUCGUUCUUAAGAGCCAGAGCCUCUAUAUAAGCAGACGACUCAGUCCCCUGCUGACUCGCCAAACAUUUCUUGGCAUCCUUAAGUCGAUACUCAUAUCCAACAAUAGUCCCUCCUCCCAAGCAGUUAACAAGAGCAAUUCCUUGAAAGAUAAGUAUCCACACACUUAAAGAACGAAUCGCAAAGUAACAAAAUCAAAGAGACAAAGAGAUGAUCACAAACCUACAUCUCUCUGCAAGCCUAGCUGCCAUAGUAAUCUUUAUCCGCAAGACAAGAGAAGUGUGAAAAGAUCGCAUGAUCUCCACGGAUCCGUCCAGCUAGGUCGGCACAAGCUCCCGCAUUCUCGACAAACAUCUUCUCUUUCACUGAAUCCUUCUCAUUAUAGGAAAAGGAAAACAAAGUAUUCCAUCACAAUAUCUCGUCAACUGGACGCUUUCGUACUGUACAAGCGUGCCUCGGCUUCUUAGCCUCUCCUAAAACAACCAAGGGAAGAUCGCCGCUGGACGGCCUCUUCCUUGCCUUGAUUCUGCCAUUAGCUUAAAAAGUACCUAGAGAAUCUUGGAUCCUUGAGAAAAUGGUGGCUUCUUCGAGAACGUUGAAAUCAAUUUCAACGCCACAUUCACUCCUUGAUGUAGUCAAGCUGACCGCGUUACGAAUAGCUGCAACAUAUAGCUGCAAGAUACCAAUUUGUUGAUGAGCGCAAUAGCACAAGAACGCAUUCAAAGAAGAAAGAUCACACAAGUAGAUAAAUCCCUUCGGAGGAGUCUGGGACGAUCACUAGUCUCUGGCAAUAGGGUAGUCACUCUCUCGAGGACUGUGCUAAAUUUAAACAUUUCUAUCAACGAUUUCUCGGUAGACCUUGAGAAGCCGUGAUUUACCAGAGCUAGAACCUCGUCAGCUUUGGGUUCGUCGUCCGAAUCGACAUCCUCAUCUAGAGCCGUAGCGGUAAACUCGAGAUUAUCAUCUGGAUCACUAGCCUCGGGAAGAACUGGCAAGAUGCUUUGAAUCUGACGCUUACCUACCUCGCUAAAACCGGCCGCCCAUAGACCCAUAACCAAUACUAGGCGAUCUUCUUUAUACUCCUUGGAUAUUUGGUUUCUGGCAGAAAUGAAAUCAAAGUAAUCGUCGUCACAAUCACUUGCAUACUACUUUUCAAACUCUAGAAGAUUGUCGAAAUCGUGUUUGCCAGCCAACUCCUUUCUAACGUCGAAAUCAAGUUUUUGGAAACUAUCUUUGAAGCUAUUUCGAAUGUCGAAUUCACCGGCCUUAUCAAUAGUGCUGACCUCAUCAUUUUCGUUAGAGGUGCUGACAUCACGACUUCCACAAACCGUAUCAACAGAAUCGGUCUCGUUCUCAUCAUCUCGACCCAUGAGACGAGAGAGUUGCGCAAAACUCUUCCUACCACAAGAACCCGAGAGUGAAGUGCCACUCACGUAGAGCGCCUAACCAACGACCUCACAACUAUCCCCAACCAAGCGAUCUAUCUCCAUGGUGUCGUCUCUCCGAUCUACCGAUCUACUACCACCAAACUCUCCACCAUAACCCCUCCUCAAUGAGCCGGGCGCGUCAUCUCCUAACGGGCGGGAUUCUUCUUCCCUUAAUAGGCCUAAAUCCGGCCUCUUGUUACAACCAAGUGGCGCACUCGACACCAUGCCAACCUCCGAGCGCCACCGGGAUCAAUCGCCGACCUUACAAUUUUGGAACCAAAGAAUCUACUCUCUGCCUCGUCUCCUCCGUUAGAUCGAUCCAAACCUCCCGUAAAACGCUCGUCUCGCAUCACUGUCCAUCAACAAAUCGAUUUGCCGAUCGCUGACCUCGCUUUCUCCAACAGUUGCCGACUUCAUAAUAUCUUUAACACCACCGUCGAUCUCUUUCACACCCGGUCGCCGAGCGCCAAAAACGACCUCAGCCCUCAAUUAAACGGUCAUCUAAAUCACCACCAACCGCCAAGCUCUCCAUCGCAAAAGUAAAACCGGCGAACAACGUAGUCGGCGGCUAGGGUUUUUGAUAGCGACAAGUAAAACAAAAUCUAGAGUGAAGGGAGAGAAAAAGACAAAAAAUAAAAGCUAGAGAGAAAGAGUUUACCUUUUAUGAGGAGGCAGAGCAAGUGAAGGAGUAAAAAGAAAUGAUACAUAUAAAUAGGAAACCCUAAACGCAGACCGUGGUAUAGAAAAGCAAUACCCGACGGACUUACUUUUUCAGGUCGGCCGGCCGUCAAGCUGAAUAAUGCCUCAAAAAGUGUGUCUAUCAUACAAAGGCUUUAAAUAAUCUAUGCGUUCUCGAAAAAUGUGCCCGACGCACAGAAAUCAUAAGAGAUUCGUUAUCGCGAGUAAUCAAGAAGCGCUAGGUCAUGCCGAACUGACAAGCUCUUGAGAACAAAGACAUCCGCCGACCUACAAAAUAGCUCUCGUCCGCCAAACUAGGGGACUAUUGUUGAUAUGGGCCUUGCCCAUCUUGAGAAUUCGGCCCAAACGGAUGAAAAGUCACCCUCAAAUUAACUCUGUUACCAACUUGCGGCAUGUUAAGCGACAACAAUGAGUCUGUCCCGUCAAGCCUCAUGGGCCGACCUCCCAGGAGGAAACCGAGAUUUUGCACAGGAGACAAAAGGAGCUCUAGGUUUUCGAGCCAGUCCUAUAAAUAGCAAAGAGCACUGUUGAGAAUAGGAUCCGGACUUUUAGUCUUUACCCUUAGAGAAAUAGAAUUGUCUACAUUUAUUAGCUUGUUGUUUCCCUGCUAUUGACUUUUCCGAUCUGUACGAUCGACGGUUUACCAAAUCCACCGACCUCGGACUCGCAUUUCUGUAAACGUGUUCUUUCGAUAAAAGAUAACAAAAAGAUUCGUUCAACUAUUCCCACAAAAUGUCUUGUAUUAGUGUUAUGAGACCUCAACACAAACAAUGGUUUCAAAAAAAAAAAUUUAAUAACCAAACAAUGAAACAACGAUCCUAAAUCAUCGCCCUCUUUCCUGCCUUGAUUCCACAAUCACACUUUAUCUUUGUCUGGAUCACAGAAACAAUGUGAUGCGUGAGUAUUAUCACAAAUACUCAGUGAAGCAGUCCUCCCAUCUAUCGGGUUAUACACAUGCAUAAUAAGACCAUUAAUUAUGCAUAAGAUCUAUCAAAACAACCAAACCAGGCAUAAACAGACAUCGAUUAUUCGCUGUCCAAAAAUAAAUUGCUUACCUUAAAUCUGUCCAGAAAUUCCUGAAAUUGCAUCUCCUCUCCCUAUAGAUGAAUUCAAACAUUUCCAGGCUCCAAACUUGGAUCCUAACCAUAAAUAGAAUCAAAACAACAUCCACAUCACACAAACAAGCCAAAACACAACACUUCCAGCCACUCAAUUCAAUCAAACACACAUCACAAGGUCUUAUAUGCCCAAUUCAACAAUGGUCACGGAACCAUAGUAGAUACAGCCAAUAUUCAUCAAACUAAACACCUUCAAAAAAAUAUAAGCAAAAUAUAUAUAUCCUUCAAAUGGCUACUCAGUUCGCUUACUUAAGGGACGUCUGGCCUUACAAAACUGCAUGGAUAGUCCAGGUUAAACUGCUACAUUCUUGGAGAUAGUACACUAGCAUGACUGGCGAGACCUUGGAGUAAAUUGUGUCUAAUGAUAAGGUUACUAUAUUAAUACACAUAUUAUUUCUUCUUAUGUUCGAUAAACCACUUCUAUCAUCCCCUAAUAUUUGUUUUCACCUCAUUUGCAGAGUGUGAAGAUUCAUGCUUCAGUGAAGAAAGACAUGGUGAACCAUUAUGUCAAUAUUCUCCCCAUUGGUGAUUAAAGGUUCUUUAUAAGAUGGCUUUCAUCAACGGCACAGUUGUGACCAUGAGUGAUAUGUUUUCUGAUUCCAACUAUAUAUAAAAUUUUAUAAUGUAUUUUUAAACAAACCCUUGUGAUUUCUAAUACAAAAGUGAUGAUCGAAUUCCAUGCACUUUGUAGGGUGCAUUCACGACACAAGUUUACUAUGCAUGUGAUGAGUCGAAUGGAGUUAUGAUUGUCUGUGUGCUUCGAUUUGCUAAAAUCAAAACUUACAACGAUAUUUCUUUCAAAUGUGUUUGCACACUUGAAUGUAGACGAAUUUACUAUUAACAAAGCUGUAUCUAUUAUGAACGAAACAAGAGUGUCUCCAAUUCAUUUGAUGCUUCCUAGAUCCAUAUUAGUCCUCCUUUUCCUCAACUCGAUGUGUUUACUCAAUAGUUAGUUUUUUGUUAUCUCUAUACGGAAUUUAAUACAUAUAGCUAAAUCAAAUUUUAAUAUCAUUUGACUUUAUGAGGUAACGGUUUGGACACUUGAAUGUAGACGAAUUUACUAUUAAUAAAGCUGUAUCUAUUAUGAACGAAACAAGAGUGUCUCCAAUUCAUUUGAUGCUUCCUAGAUCCAUAUUAAUCCUCCUUUUCCUCAAGUCGAUGUGUUUACUCAAUAGUUAGUAUUUCGUUAUCUUUAUACGGAAUUUAAUACAUAUAGCUAAAUCAAUACUUUAAUAUCAUUUGACUUUAUGAUGUAACGGUUUGGGUGCUUGUUACAAUUUUCCAUAUCCGUGUCCAUUAAACUGUCGAAAUAAUUCAGCAAACUAUCAAUCUUCUUAACCUCAUACCAUGUAAUCCACAAGAGGAUAAAGCAAGGUAUUACUUACAGUUGUGUCAAUUGUAAACAGGAAUUAAGAAACAGUCCAUUAAUGUCAAUAAACUUCUUAGAUAUCUAAUCUGUUAGGCUAAGCAAGUAUAUCUCUGGUAUUAGUUGUUCAGACAUUUCAUCAAACACUUGGUAUGUGCUGAAAUGUCUGGGAUCUAAUUCCACUUAAUCAGAGAAGAAUUAGCUAUGAAUACACUAAUCCAGAAGGGAACAAACGAAUCUAACUUAAACACUCUAGCAAACUAACAUUCUCCACCUAAUCUAUCCCAUCCUCAAGAAUCCUAACACUACUCAGACAUAGAAAUCAUGUUAAACAUCAUAAACCCAGAAUGGUUCAAAACAUGCAUAUUAAUAACGAUGACAAGAAGAUAAGCAAUAAUGAUUCAAGAACUAAGGUGCAAAAUUUUAAUAACUUCAAAGAAAUCUGAAUUAUAAUUCUGUGGAUUGUUUGGUGGCUAACAAUAAAAACUCGAUCCCUUGGGCAAUGCCAAAAGAGACCUAUUUAUAGCAAUGUUUGGGAAAACUUAAAACAUAAAACGACAAUGUAAAAAGCGGUUUACAGGUUGUAGUGACCUUGUUGGUCGAGUGAGCGUCUCGAGUGAGCAUCUCGAGUGACAUGUAUAUAUGUUGCUCUUCAUUCUAGCUUACUCGAUCGUCUCACUCGAUCGCGCUCAUCGAGUAGUCAGUUGAUUUUUUUUUGCAUUCCCUCAGUUCACUCGAUCGCCUUACUCGAUCCACCACUCGAUCGGCUACUCCAUCACCCUACUCGAUCACGUCCAUCGAGUGAAGUAUGUAUCGGAAACGUAUCUCUGUUUCUCACUCGAUUAUUCGAAUGUCUAGUAACGCUUGUUCCUAUGCUUUGCUCCGCAUGUCACUUGAGUACCUGAAACACUCCAAAUAUGCAGAAUGUAUGCAAGACAUGCAUGAUAUGCAUACAAACUACCUAAGUAUGCAAAACAUGCAGAAAGUGAUCAAUAUGAUGCGAACCAACAAGUAAAUGAUGCGGGAAAGACGAUGAAUACAUGCUCAAAAAGUGAUGAAAUACAGACUUAUCAGUUGGUUCCGAGCAGAGCUAGAAAACUUGCUCAGGGAUGGAAGAGGAAGUCGGAUGACACUUCAAGGACGGGUCAGGGUGAUCGGAUGUGCUUCAGGUGUGGGAGCACGGAUCACAGGGUGGCGAGCUGCCCGCAAAAAGGCGAGCCAUGGGUGGACACUCGUGUCUAUUACCACUGCAGAGAGACGAGGCACGUCAAGAAGAAGUAUCCUAAGAUGCAGCAUAUGGAUGUAGUAGCGAUGCAGUCGGUGAUGCAGUCAGUGGUGCAGAAAUGGGUGCAGCUAGGAGUGUAGUAGGGAGGGUAGCCUUUGGUUCAGUUAGGAGCACCGCUGGUGGCUCAGAUCGAGGGAUCGCGGGGUUACUCGACCGUGGAGACAGGAGAGACAAGCACUGGACGGCCGAUCAAAGGUUUAAUUCUACGACUCAGUCUAUUUCCUUCUGUUGUUUUAGAAUUUGUUUUCUUUUCCUAAGAUUUUGGGGUAGGCGGGCUUAGUGAAAAGGGUUUGUGUGCCCAAGGAUGAAGAUUUGAGACGGGAGAUCUUGUGCGAGUAGGUUCUCUAUUCAUACAUGAGCGACCAAGAUGUACAGAGAUCUGAAGAGGUACUAUCAUUGGGUUGGGCUGAAGAAGUACGUGGUAAGUGGGUAUCUGAGUGUGAUGCGUGUCAGCUAGUGAAUGUUGAGCAUCAGGUGCCAAGUGGUCUAAUGCGGAGUCUUCCCAUUCCAGAGUGGAAGUGGGAUAUGAUCACGAUGGAUUUCAUGGUGGUUUACCAAUGUCUCGGUUGAAGGAUGUCAUUUGGGUUAUUGUGGACCGUUUGACCAAGUCUUCACAUUUCUUGGCUAUAAAGAAAACUUAUGGAGCGACAAUUUUAGCUAAGAAGUAUGUGUAGGAGAUUGUGAGACUUCAUUGAAUACCGGUCAAUAUUGUGUCAGACCGGGAUUCAAAGUUCACUUCUACGUUCUAAAGGGCAUUCAAGAAGGAGAUCGGCACUAAGGUGCAUACGAGUACAACUUACCAUCCUCAGACAUACGAGCAGUCAGAGCGGACCAUUCAUACACUUGAGGAUAUGUUGAGGAUGUGUGUGUUGGAUUGGGGUGGUCAGUGGGCAAAUCACUUGAGCUUGGUGGAGUUUGCCUAUAAUAAUAGCUACCAGGCUAGAAUUAGGAUGACUCCUUACGAGGCAUUGUAUGGGAGGCCAUUUUGGACACCUCUAUGCAGGACUCAGGUGGGGGAGAGGAGCAUUUAUGAUGAGGUGUUGGCUAAUAUUCCGGCAGAUCUUAAGCCUAGUAUGACUUUAAAGGCGAGACUAAUGAGGGUUCUCGAGAGGCGGGUAAAGGAACUUCGGCGUAAGAAGAUUCCUUUGAUAAGAGUCCAGUAGGACUGUGAUGGACUUUUGGAGGAGACUUGGGAGCCAGUGGCCAGGAUGAAGGCAAGGUUCCAGAAGUGGUUUGACAAGCAAGUCGAGGAGUAGACCGUUGGCUUGUUUUGUUUUGAGUUUGUUAUUGGUUGUAUUUCGAUUUUGGUUUAAUGAUUAUGACAUUUGAGAUUAAUAAGAUGAGUAUUUCUUGGAUUUAACUUGUUAUGUCAUGUGUAAGAGAAAUAUGUGCGAGUUUCUAAAAAUAGAAAGUGAUGGGUUUGACGGUUCUAUUUUUGGAAAGUUUUGGGAUUGUGGUUAGUAUAGCAUUGCGAUGCUAUAAGGGAACCAUAUGAGGUAUAUCUGAUCUAGAGAUAUGCUCGGGGGCAUUUAGACUUAUUUGCUCGGGUGUUAUGUGAUGGCUUUAGAUGACGAUUCGAGAGCACGCUUAAUGGUGACGACCCAAGAGCGAGCGUGAGACUUCUAGGAUACCGUAGCUUGAAGGCUGGUGGCCUAAUAGUGAGCCGGUAUGACUUGAAGGUUGCGACCUGAGAGCAGGGGGAGUGGUGAGACUUCCUGGAUACCGUAGUUUAAGGCUGAGGCCUGAGGAUGAGCCGGUAUGAUUCAUGGGUUGCAACCUAUUGACGGGGGAGGUGGGUGUGUAUGAGCAAAUAGGGUCUGGAACGUGAGUAUAUAGAUUAGAUAGGGGCUUCGUAAAAGUCAGUUGUGGGUUGACGGAAGUUGUUGAAGGAUUUGAGGACGAAUCCAUGUUAGUGGGGGAGAAUUGUAACACCCGUGUCUGGAAAACCGAGUGGGUGUCGAUUGACACCAAGGAAGGGUGUCGAUCGACACUAGUAAUUUUUGGUCGACAGUUUAAAUUUUAAAUGUUCAGUUCAGUUGAGGGUUGGUUUGGGGGGGGGAACCUAGGUUGUCUUUAUAAGUUUUGAAGCGCUGUUUCUCUCUUUAUUCUUCACUAUGUCGCUUUGUGAGUUUGAGAGAGAACAGAGAGUGAGUUUGAUCCUUUUGGUACCUUUGAGUGGGUUUUUGGAGAGAUCAAAGCUUAUUCUUGGUGGUUCAAGGCUAGAGAAGGGUUGAUCCGUGGUGUUUGGUGUCUGUGGAGAUUGUUUUCACCCUUGCAAGCCCCUGUUCUUUGCUGUUCUUUCUUGUUUAAGAGGUGAGUGCAUGACCAAGGCUUAUCUAAGCAUGUUUGAUCAUUAUUUUGGGUGUUUUGAUGAUUGUUUGAUUGAUUUCUUUGCUUGUUUGGCUGUCUAUAUGUUGAAUGAUCCCUGUGAAACCCCUUGGAGACUUGCUCAUAUCAUGGAGGUGAUUUGGAGAGGAGAUCCAGUGAGAAACGUUAGCUGGAGCGACUGCAGAGUGUCGAUGUUGAUCGCCACCAGUGGUGGGUGUCGCUCGACACCAAUGUUUUGUUCCGCGAGGAUAGCUGCGACUCGCGAAUGCAGUUUCGAGCCCAAUGUCGAUUGACACCGAGUGUCGAUCGACACCGAUAGUUAGCAGUGAUUCUAGUUUGUCUUUUAUUGGUUAUUUGGUUCUUUUCCUUGAAUGAUGGUUGAAUUUGCAUACGUGUAUAGCCAGUAGUGGGAUGAUUGCCUCACUAAGUAUUUAUGAAAUACUUAUGCAUCUCUUUUUGUGAUGCAGGUAAAGCAAAAGUGUGAUCCGUGGAAUCAUGGUGAGGAGAGGAGAAUGAUCUACGCGCUCAUUGGUGUUAUAAAUUAUUGUUAGAAUUGUUAGGGUGUUAAAACGGAAUUUAGAGGCAUGUUAGGGUGUUUAUUUUUCUGAAAUAAUGUUUUGUUGAACUUGCUGGUUGAAUGAAAUUGUUUUAAUGGAUUUCUGGUUAAGUCUUCUGCUGGUUAUGUUUUGUUCGGUUUAAUUGCUUUGAAUUAAUUAGGGCUGGUUUAGCUUGUUUAAAUUAAUGGGGUUUAGCCGGUCUGCAUGUUAAAAAAAACGGGAUGGAUUCUUUUAGUAUGUCACCACCUAUAUUGUCGUAUGUUCUACCACUCUCUUGUGACCACACCCCACUUAUCCAUCGUAUAAACUUGUAUAUUGUUGUUUAUGUACUUGUGUGCACACUCUUAUCUGAUGUUGCAAUCUACUAUAAAUUGUUUGGGCUUUUGAAAUGUACUUUUCCAAUUGUAAAUACAUGUUCUAUUUGUCAUUUUCAACAUGGCAUUCUACUAUAAAACAAACAUCCACAUGGGCAGAAAAAUCUGGAUAGGUAACCAUUUGGACUUCAACUAUAAAACCACCAUAUGUAGAUAUACAUUCUCACAACUAUUGCAAAUAUUAUAACUUAUUUUUAUAGAUUAUUUCUAUAAAUUUGAAAUAUUUUUUUCCAAUUCUAAAUACAUGUUCAUUUUUAGCAUUCUUUUUUCAAUAUGGCCUUCUACUAUUAAACGAUCCACAUGGACACCACAUCGACAGUAUCAUAAUAUAUCCAUGGAAUUCAGCUAUAAAACCUUGGGAACUUACCAUAUAAAUUCUAGUCUCUGGAUUCAACUGAUGUGUACGACAAGGCAUCAUAUGUAUCUUUUUCCCAUUUACUUUAACAACAUGGACGCUAAUUCGUGGAUAACAAAGACUAUCCCUCUAAAUAUUCCAUUUAUUUUCACCAACAUUUGAGUAUGAACUAUUAAUAACAUCCAAUUCCCAGAAUGAUUACAUUUCCACGUGGAUGGACAUAUGUGGACAGUCGCACUAUAAACAUACUCAAACUCCUCCAGCUUUAGUUGGUAUUAUGAGAAGCUUCAACAUCUCAAUAUUUCAAUUACAAUCCAUGGCUCAUUUAUCCGUAUGGAAAUCAUUAACCUUCCUCAACAGCCAACGUUGUAAAAGAUAAUAUAUAGACAUAAUAUAAUAAUAUAUAGCCUCAUUUGAUGAUAUAAGUAUUGAGAAAUUAACAUUUUAAAACUACUAACAUGAUCAGCAGAGUAAAAUGAUGAUUGAUCAACAUAUGUAUCCGAUAAAGAAAUUUCAGUGACAGAUUUUUUCCCAUCAAAGAUGUGCAACCCUAUAAAUGUGACAUUUACCAUAAAUAUGUUUGGACUCGAUCCAAAGGAGGAAAAUAUAUCAUUUCUCAACUAAAGCUUUUGAUCGGAUCUGGGAAAUCUGUGGGAUCUUCACCCGCACUGCAUCUAAAAAGUACAUUGAGUCCCCCUCGACGGCUUCCUCAGCUCUGCAUUUCGGGAUCAUGUAUAUAGAAUAAGGCAGGAGACCUUGAUGAUCUCCCUGAGCCAUUAAAAAAUAUGGUUGGAAAUACAUACCUAUUCUUACUGACUGUCCGGAAGAAUUACAUGGGGGGGGGGGGAAGGAUUUAUAUAAAGUGUCCACGGUCUUCCAAAAGAAUGGACUCAAACUCUUGAUUUUGACAACGCUGAGAGUAAAAUCGAUCUUGUGACUCCACCUUCUGUCAAUUAUGAUGAGUCAAUCAAGAUUGAUGAAAAGAAAGUUCAAUAUGUCCCUAAUAGCAAAACUAUUGCGGUCAAAAAACCAAAACUUGUGAAGGUUAAAGUUGAGAAGAAGUUGUUGAUUUACCUCUUUAUCAUUGAAGGGUAAUAAUGGUUUCGCUGAAACCUUUUUAACUCCGUUUAAUUUGCUCUUAUGUUUCAAUGGUUUCGGCUUAGACCAAUCUAAAAUUGCUUCAAUAAGGAUAUUUCAAAAUCCUUAAUUUUGAGUAUUGAUUGACUAUCUACUCUGUUUCUCUCAAUUCACGUGUGGAGAAUAUUCUAAGAACAUUUUUGGGGAAAAGAUAGUUAUUAUAUUAAGGUUUCUUAAAAAUAUAUGAUCAUUCGACAAUGGACUCACUGUGUAUGCUAUACAUUGUAAGGAUUCUUCCACUAUUUUUUGAACUAAAAAAGGCAGUAUAUCAGAAAUCACAACAUUGUAAUGAAUAUAUUUCCGAGAGACAAACCCUUGAUAACCCUUGCUAAUAUUAAAUAAAACAUUAAAUUCCGGUUUAUACUUGCGAAAUAGACGGAAAAAAAAUCACAUACCAAAUCUUAAAUAUUACAGGAACUAUAUUAUUAAAGUAAUGUCAAUUAUUCUAUAGAAUAAUAGACCAAGAAUAUUCUCCAAUAUCAUCUAAAUAGAGCAUACUUCCAAAGAGUGAUAACUAUAUAUUAUGAGUAAUCCAAUAUAAGGAAAUAUGAAGAAUCUUCAAAAUUAUUUCGGAUUAAGCCGAAAGUUUUUAAAAUAUGUAUGUCACGUAAUUUUAAUUUUAUUUAAUAUUCAUAAAAUAAACUAUUGCAUUCGACUGAUAAAUUAAGUGAAAUAAACGGCGCAAUUAUAAGAUAGAUAUGGUAAUGUUAAACGGCGCAAUAUUUGUAACCUAACACGCAUUCACUCCAUUAUAUAAUGAGAGGAAAUCCUUCAACAAAAACACAAAACAAAUCCAAAAAAAACAUAAGAAAAAAUAAAUUCUCUUCACUUCCAACGAACUUCUGAAAAAUGGUUCAUUUCGAUCGAGUGAAAGAUGUCUAUUUGAGGAGAUCCUAGUGGAAGAUUUUUGUUAGGGUCAUUCGGAAGUGGAGGAAGAUUGACAUCAAUGAUGAUACAUUUGAGUUCAUCUUCAGCGACAUAUUUGUGAUUACUUCUUCAUCUUUCAAUAAUUACGAUCGUCUGAAGUAUUGUUUUAAACAAAGUAAUAAAUUUGAAAUUUUUAAAAUUAUGAAUUUAUGAAAUUUUAUGCUGAAUAAUUUAUACAUUUAUACAUGUGAUGGUAUAAUUUAUAAUUCGAAAAUAAAUAUUUUAUACACUUAUACAUGUGAUGGUAUAGUUUAUAUUUCGAAAAUAAACAUAUAUGGCAUCGAAGAUCUAGUAUAUCUUUAGACACUUAUUGAAAGAACUUUUUGUAUACUAUAUGAUAGUUAUCCAAUGUAAAAAUCUAUAAUUUCAAUCUUGAAUCAUAUAGUUAUAAGCGUAUGAAAUCAGAGAUUUACCGUAAUAUUCUCCACAAAAAUGGCAAUUUUGUUCCAUCAAUUAUCUUAUAUCUAAACAUAACUCUUAACUACCUGAAAUUAGGCCUAAUAAUUUUUUCCUAAAGUUAUGCCUACAACAAUGCACAAAAGAUGUAUUAUACAGAUUAAACAAAACCGAGUUUUUAUAACUAUGUUUUUACCUAAUCAGUGAAAACAUCACUACUCCUACUAAGAAUUGGCUACCAGCACUAUACUCCAGACAUUAUUCUAUAUUGUGCAAACCAAGAACUCAGUAUACUACUAUGAGGAAAACUAGAGAAGGGGGCAAGCAUGAAUUUUUUACACAGAAACCAUCAAAGAGAAUUCAUAUGGACAGAACUUCCAUUCCAAUUCGCUGAUCUGACCGACUACAAUCAACCCAAAUCGGUUCUAUUCCAUUAAGGGCAGUAUUCACAUGGAUUUAAGGCGAACUAAAAAACGUAACUAGCGAAAACAAUUUUAUGAGAAACGAGCAAGUGCACUUCCAGCGAAGUGAAAAAUCUACUCUGGGUCUUAGAGAUCGUGAAUGUAAGAAAUGAUUCAAUGUCUGAUUGGAAAAAUAUAAACUACACCAUCUGACUCUAAUACAAACUUUCUCCAUUGUAGCCAUCUCAAAAAGAAGUAAUCAUCGUGUUCUUAAUGACAUUACAAAUACAACUCCAACCGAGACCUUAACUCAACUCUCAACCCAUAAUUUCCCAUUACAGCUUCCUGCCAAAGGUAACCAUACUAAUUACCAAAUGUAUGGACUAUUUACAACUAAUUGAUACAUUGAAUUGGAAGAAGAAAAGUUGGCACGUGUAACAAACGAGGGUAUCCAACCCAAAAGUAAAAGUCCCGGACACUAAAGCUCAAGAUGAGUAUUUCUAGACGCGCCAACAUUACGAUCAGGAAUAUGCACGAUGCGAUAGAAUAAAAAAAGCGUCCCAAAAAAAACAAACGUCAAUAAACCAUGGAAAAAGUGGAACCCCGACACUAGUUCGGUGCCCUAGAAACGUGGAUAUUGCAACUUUUACAAGUGCGCUGUUGCCAACAGCAGGCGCUGCUCCUUGAAAACUUUAAAAAAGGUGCAAGCGCUGUUAGACAGACACAACGCGUAAGGUGGAGUUGAUCUACAACAACACCAAUGCGUCGACAUGCCGGAUGACGAGGCACUACGCGCACUCCCACAAGCAGCUUGGUUUCCACCUUCUCCAAAGCGAAAAAAUGAUUACCACCGAUUGACGGUUAUACCGACCGACAAGGAGUAACAAUGAUAAUGGGCGGCCUAACGAGGUGCAACGACUCGGUUCACUCAAUACAGGCGUAAUGCCAGCAAGGUGAAAAUAGACGCAACUGGCUCACAAGAAGUAUCCCGGAGGUUGAAUAUUACGAUCCUAUCUAUUUCACUGAGGGCGAUGCUCUGCAAGCAUGUUUCUCGUCGAAAUGGUUAUUGGAGAUAGUGUAGUCACCAAGAUCCUAAUCGACACUGGAAGCUCAGUCAUUGUAAUUUCAAAAGAUGUAUUGAUUCAAAUGGGGGUCGACUUGCGCCUCGCCGAACAUUACACGCAGCCCCAACGAUGGAGAUACCGUUAUGAUAGUGGGUACAAUAAUGUUGCCGAUCUACGUUGGAGGGACAAUGCAGUGCUUUAACUUCGCAAUUGUCGACAAACCAAUAGUGUACAACGUCUUGAAUUGAAAUCUGUCCCAUCAAUGUACCAUCAGUGUGUCAAGUUCCAUACACAGCAAAGAAUCUACACUUUGCAUGGCGACCCAUUGGUACCCAGCACGGCCCGUCGGGUUAGGUGCCGACCUGCCACACCCUUUGAAAGACGAACUCGUAAAAUUUUUGAAGCAGAAUUCUUUGACCUUCGCUUGGACCCUUGAUGACAUGCCCGGCAUAGACCCUAAUGUCACAUGUCAAGAACUCAAUGUAGAUCCCACCUACAAGCCGGUCAACCAAAAGCGAAGAAAGGUAGGCCAUGAUCGUGCUACUACUGUCAACGAGGAAAUCCGAAAGCUGUUUGACGCUGAUUCUAAUAUGGAAGUUCGAUACCCUGAGUAGAUAAGCAACUCCGUUGUCAUUAAAAAGAAGAAGAACAAGUGGAGGGUCUGCGUCGAUUAGACCGACCUCAAUAAGGCGUGUCCGAAAGCUACGGCUAGGAACGAGCUACUCUCCUUUAUAAACGCUAUUUCUGGUUACAGCCAAAAAUGAUCAUGAGAAAACAUCAUUCAUCACCGAGCAAGCCAGCUUGGUCUGGAGCUGGAGCUACGUACCAACGCCAAACAAUGUAAUCCCCUUCGGGCUGGAGCUACGUACCAACGCCUUUUCAAUCAAAUGUUCGCAAGCCAGCUUGGUCGAACAAUAAAGGUAUAUAUCGACGACAUGCUCGUUAUAUCUGCCCACACCGCCAACCACGUUUCUCAUCAACAACAAUAGUAUUUAAAUACUAAAAGAGUACUGAAUGAUGUUAAGUCUUGCUAAGUGCUCCUUCGGCUCGGAAACUAUUUCCAAUUAGAUUCCGUCGAAAUCCUUACAAAUCAACCGCUGCAAACGAUUUUCCACAGCUCGAGCCAAUCUGUCCGACUAGCAAAAUGGCCUGUCGAUCUCGAUGAAGUUAAAGCCAAAAAUGAAACAAUUUCCAAUCACAUUAUGUAGAAGUCCCAAGUACUCGCUGACUUUCUCGUUGAACUAUCGCUGGAACUCGAUCAAGGAGUGUCGGAGGACGAUAAGUGAACACUGCACGUAGACGGCGCAUCUUUAAAACAUGUUUCAGGGGUCGGCAUUCACUUGCAAUUCUUUACAGGAGAAGUUUUAGAACAAUCUUUUCGAUUAACGUUUACAGCCUCAAACAACGAGGAAGAAUACGAGGCGCUUAUCGCCGGCCUUCGGCUAGCACACGGCAUUGGCAUCAAAAGAAUUCAGAAAUACUGCGACUCACAGCUUGUUGUUAACCUGUUCAGCGGCAAUUAUGAAGCUAAGGAUGAUAUAAUGGAUGCAUAUCUCAAGGUCGUCCGUGAUCUCUCUAAAGUGCUCAAACAUUUCGAAACUUGAAAUUCCAUUGGAAUAAAGAAAAAAAAAAGAACAAACAAAAAAACUUAAAAAAUGGCAAAAUCGUUAAUUGAAUUUUAGAAAACUUGCAGAUUUGACUGCGAUCCAAGAGAGGAAAACGCCUAUUUCCUACAUGGACCUUCUCAUAAGCGCUGAUUUAUAUUUUUACAAACUAGUAGUGCCAAUUUAUACAUGUUCUCUAAUAAAAUUUAAGAUACAUAACGUACGAUUCAAAUCAAGCCAAAAUUGGAGUCCACGUUAACAUAUGCUGACUCAGACUGCACGUGUCUAAUGAUGUAGGACCGUCUUCCAUAAAAGACGUCGUUUCGCUUUUUUUUUAUUUACAAAAAUAAAUGUUGAAAAUAUAGACCGUCAUGACUCGAACCCGUUUCCUUGUACAAGUGUAGAAUAUACAUAACCAAUUAAUCCCACAACCAUAUUUAGAAGUAACUCACACAUUUUCAAUUAUAAACUAAAAACAGACGUAAUUCUAGAAAAUAGAAUUGGGUAGGGUUCUUUAGCGAUUUGAUUCUCCCAUUUGGGAUUCAUUUGCUAUUUUUCUUCUCUGAAAUCGAUGAUUAGAGACCGAAUAUAGUGAUUAAAUUUAGUGCCAUUCUACGGUAUGCUUGCGAUUUGAUUCUCCCAUUUGGGUUUCGAUUCGAGUGGAUAGCGAUUAAGAAUGGGUUUUACCCCAUUAUUUGCAGAGUUUUUUUUUAUCUAUAUAAAUUCUUCUUCACUUACGUCUUCCCUCUUUGUCACACUCUACUAUCUCAUGAAACCUUCUUCGUCACUCUCAAUGUUUUAAUUUCACCCUCUUCGUCAAUCUCAAGUCAUCGAUUUCAUGGAAGAAGAAAAACAUAAAUUCCAAAUUCCAAAUGAAAUUUUUUUAUUUUACCCAGAACUAGAUGUCUUAAAAGGUUAUAAUCAUAACUGGUUACGUCCUAUUCUACACUUGUACGAGUACACAGUGAUAUGUCUAGAUUUUACUCAUUUUAACAAGUGUUUUAUGCAUUGUUCUUGUCAUUGUAGGUCUCAUCACUUGAUCAUUUAUGCAUAUUUCCUUUCUUUUGCUUCACUUGUAGAGUACAUGCCUUGCAUUGCAUGCAUUGUAUUUUUUGUGUCCAAACAGGUGUUUCUGAAAGGGAAAAGGAGCCAAACGACCGAGUGAUGGUGAUGCAUCCGAUCGAACACAUGGAUCUGAGCUGAGAAAUCGAGUGAAGACUCGAGUGGAACAGAAAGCAGCUCGAGCGAGCAUCCAAAUCAAGACACUCGACUAGACCGAUCAAGUGCAAAACCAAGAUAACUGAUCGAGCAUUCUAUUUUGUCUUUUUGUGUUUUAGGGCUUCUUAAGCUUUGUAUAAAUAGGUCUCUUGGCACAUGACUGAAAAAGAGAGUUUUGUUCUAGGUCACCCACAAAUUAACUGUGUUACCAACUUGUGGCAUGUUAAGCGCAUACUAGGCACUCUACUCGGCCCGACAUCAAUGAGUCCGGCCCGUCAAGGCUCGUGGGCUGACCUCCCAGAACAAAACUGAGAUUUCGCACAGGGGAUAAAAGGAACUCUAGGUUUUUGAGCCAGUCCUAUAAAUAGCAAAGAGUCUUCUUGAGAACAGGAUCCAAACUUUUAGUCAUUACCCGUAGAGAAUUAGCAUUGUCUACAUUUAUUAGCUAGUUGUUCCCCAGCUGUUGUCUUUUUCGAUCUGUACGAUCGGCAGUUAACCAAAACCCAUAACCUCGGACUCGCAUUUCUGUAAAUAUGUUCUUUAGAUAAAAGAUAACAAAAGGAUUCGGUCAACUAUUCCCACAAAAAUUCUCGUACUAUUGUUAUUGAGACCUCAACAAAAACAAUAGGCGCCCACCGUGGGGCAAGUUUAGAGCUUUCCUUUUCUUGACAAAAAGACUCGAUACGACAUGGCGGACUCGGAAUCAUCAAGCGCCCAUCCGACCAUCGCCAGGCACACCUGUCCUACCUCUUGAGCAACACUUGUGGGGAAGACGACGAGCUCGUACGCUCAAACCACAAAAUCUCAAAGGAGCAACAGGAGACGGCGCCACCCUGGAGAAUAGCGACUUGCAGAAUGCCAACCAAGCGAAUACAGACCAGGCGACUAUAACCCAAGUGAAUGCCGACCAGAGAAAUGCUGACCAGAGAAAUGCCGAUCAGAAGAAUACUAAUCAGGUGAAUGCCGACCAGAGGAAUACCCACCAGGUGAGUGCCGACCGGUCGAACGCCGACCUUGUGAAUGAUCUACCCAACAACACCGGAGUCAAUCUUGCCGCUCCAAAUAACACAUCCACUACCGACCACGACACCCACCUUGACGAUUUAGUCCAAACCAUUCUUGACCGCCUCGAUGGUCAGGACGUGCGGACAACCGAAAGAAUAAACGCACUCGCCACGGCGCAUGCUGCCACUAGAAGUAGCUUGGACCGACUUAACGGUGAAGACGUAGUUCUCGAAACCAAAAAGACCGAUUGAAAGAAACGUCGCCACCCUCCAACACCAGUAGGCAAACGUACCGAAAGCCGAGGACGCCGACCUACUUCUAUCAUCGUUGGAUCCAUCAAAGCUACAAUUAGGAUAGAGCUACUCUCCUUUAUGGACGCUAUUUCUGGUUACAACAAAAAAUGAUCGACAGAAAACAUCAUUCAUCACCGAGCAAGAGACAUAUUGUUACAACGUAAUCCCCUUCGGGUUGGAGCUACGUACCAACACCUUUUCAAUCGAAUGUUUGCAAGCCAACUUGACCGAACAAUGGAGGUGUUUAUCGUUGACAUGCUCGUUAAGUCUGCCUACACCGCCAACCAAGUUUCUCAUCUACAAUAAUGUUUUCAAGUACUAAAAGAGUACGGAAUGAAGUUAAGUCUUGCUAAGUGCGCCUUCGAUGUGAAAUCUGGCAAAUUCUUGGGAUACCGCAUCACCCAGAGAGGCAUUGAAGCAAAUCCCAAAAACAUUUCCGCAGUUAUCAACCUGUCGUCCCCAAAAAAUACUCGCGAGGUACAACGUCUUACCGGGCACGUUGUCGUGCUGAACAGAUCUAUAUUGCCGUCUCUAGCUCGGCUGUGAGCGGUUUUCUUGUCACAGAUGAUUAAGGUGAACAACACCCGAUCUUUUAUGUAAGUAAGACCCUUGACGGUGCCGAAGUUUGCUACCCUAUGUCGGUGGAGCUCGUAUAUGCAGUAGUUAUCUCGGCUCAGAAACUAUUUCCAGUCACAUUCAGUCGAAGUCCUUACAAAUCAACCGCUGCAAACAAUUCUAAACAGCGCGAGCCAAUCUGGCCGACUAGCAAAAUCGGCCGUCGAGCUCGGCAAAGUUUAAGCGGAAAUGAAACUAUUUCCAAUCACAUUAUGUAGAAGUCCCAAGUUCUCGAUGACUUUCUCGUUGAACUAACGCUGGAACUCGAUCAAGGAGUGUCCGAGGACGAGAAGUGGACACUGCACGUAGAUGGUGCAUCUUUAAAACAUGUUUCAGGGGUCGGCAUUCACUUGCAAUUCUCGACAGGAGAAGUGUUAGAAAAAUCUUGCUGAUAAACGUUUACAGCCUCAAAAAACGAGGAAGAAUUCGAGGCGAUGAUCGCCAGCCUUCGGCUAGCACACGACAUUGGCAUCAAAAGAAUUCAAGCAUAUGGCGACUCACAGCUCGUUGCUAACCAGUUCAACGGCAAUUAUGAAGCUAAGAAAUACAUAUUGGAUGCAUAUCUCAAGGUCGUCCGUGAUCUCUCCAAAGUGUUCAAACAUUUUGAGCUAACGAAGAUUCCUCGUAAUGACAACGCUCCAGUAGAUGCACUCGCAACGCUCGUUUCCACAUCUAAUCCUGACCUCCGCCGAGUCAAACCUGUCGAAAGCAUCGACCAGCCAAGCAUUGGCCUCAGUCUGCUAGCAUAGAUUGGUAUUACUCAUGUUACCGCGCCGACUUUGAAUGAUGUCGCGCCUCAUACUAUGGAAUCUGCCACCCUGGUUGUCGAUCCAACCCAUGUACAAUCAAUUCCUUUCGUUGUCGAUUCGACCUUGGCCUAGCCAGCUGCUAUGUCAACCGCGAAAGUGGCGUCCUAGCAAACGAUGUGAACUCGGUGCAUCAAGUGGCGAGCAAACUCCCAAACUUAUCUUUUUGGUACCAACGAGUGCAUUACCACCGUCUACACAAAUUCUCGCAAUACCUCUACCGAUAGGCGACACCGACCUCGCCAACGGCGCCAAACUCGCUAGCAACACCAACCUCACUAACAAUGAUAAUAUGCCAGCGCGCAGUCCGUCCGCUACCUCGCAAGAUCCUUCUUCGAACUCAGAGGCUGUCGUCAAGACUCCACAAUCAGCCGACAUGCGAUUUCGACCAAUUGGCGCUCUGAAAUAAUCAACUUUAUCGUCGAUGGCAUUGUACCAUCAGAUAAGUGGGAAUGCCGAUGUUUAAGAACACGAAGCGCCUAAUACACAAUGUUAAGGCUUCGAAUGGUAAAAGCAGAUCAAGCGUUGCAGAUCAAGCGUUGGAGAUCAUGCAUAUCAUAUGGAACAAAUGCAGAUCAGGCAGAACAAGUGCAGAUCUUGCUGAUUGUGCAGUCUAUAUUAUAUGUUUGAAUGAUAAAAGCAGAUCAAACAGUGUAGCUCAUAUAUGCAGAUAAAAUAUUAAACAGUAAAUUAUAUAAAAACACAUAAAAUUCAAUAAAACUAUUUAAAAAAAUAAUCAAUGUAUUUAGCGUAGAUUAUUUUCUAAAUAUUUUUACAAUCUGAAAACAUUAGAAACAAAUAUCUAAAUAAAACAAAAAUUAAACUAAGAAUAUAUUAAUGCGGAGUAUUUUGAUUUGCCCAUAACAUAUCAACAAUAUUUUGUCUAAUAUUUUUUCAUUUGAUCUCCAUCAGCUAUAGCCGUAGUUUCCAUGUCACCUUCGUCAUUCUCUGAAUUUGUGUUGCUAGUAUCAGUAUGCUCCAUUACUUCAGCAAAAUCUUCAUCAAAAUAAUUUGAAAUUCUGAUAAAAUUAUGUAAUCCCAUUGUAGCCAUCACCACUCUUUUUUGAACAUGUGUGUUAUAUCUAGGAAACUCAUAAAGAAUCCUCCAUUUCUUCUUUCAAACUCCAAAUGUUCUUUCAAUAACAGAACAUAGUGAUGCAUGACAACGAUUAAAUAGUUCUUGUAUGUUCCUAGGAAGAGGACUGAUACUAGGAUUUUUCUAUCAAUUACCCUAGAGUACUAUCAUGUCAUUGCAGUACAAUAGGUAUCAAUCCAAUCAGGUGUGAUGCUAGCAAUCAAGAUAUAUCAGAGAUGAUUAAGUCAAACAAGCAUAAAUGAUUUUUGGUUUUCAGCGAUCCUAAGCGAACAUGUUAAACAUGCAAUAAAUGUAAAGCUGUAAAACAUAGACUACCAUGCAUAAACUAAAACGUAACGAUUAUUGAUACUGGCAAGAAAACAAAGCAGACCAAGUAAAUAACAAGAGAAUUAAACAGAAAGCACAAAUGGAUAGAAGAUCCCGAGGAUGAGGUUAUUGAUAUAGGUGGAGUAUGCUAAUCUACUUCGAGUGUUUAUCAAACUGCAAACAUUCUAAUCGCUAGACAAUGAACUUCUAAUACUAGUCAAUCCAAUCUCUUGGCAGAAACUAUCAAGUUUACAACACUUCCUAAUCUCAAUUCUCAUUGAUGAAACAUGCAGUAAAUAGGCAUAAAGAAACAGCUCAUUAAUGUCAAUAAACAUCUUAGACAACCAAUCUCUUGGGCUAAGCAUGUAAAUCUCUGGCACUAGUUGGUUCAGACAUUUCAUCAUAUACCUUUCGGGUAUGAAAUGUCUAUGACCUAGUUCCAAUUGAUCAGAGAAGAACUAGCUAAUAAAACUCUAGUCCAGAAGGGAAACAAAAUGAAUCUAACAUAAACACUCUAGCAAACUAACAUCCUCCACCUAAUCUAUCCCAUCCUCAAGAACCCUAACACUACUCAGACGCAGAAAUCAUGUUAAACAUCAUGAAACAAGAAUCGUUCAAAACNNNNNNNNNNNNNNNNNNNNNNNNNNNNNNNNNNNNNNNNNNNNNNNNNNNNNNNNNNNNNNNNNNNNNNNNNNNNNNNNNNNNNNNNNNNNNNNNNNNNNNNNNNNNNNNNNNNNNNNNNNNNNNNNNNNNNNNNNNNNNNNNNNNNNNNNNNNNNNNNNNNNNNNNNNNNNNNNNNNNNNNNNNNNNNNNNNNNNNNNNNNNNNNNNNNNNNNNNGCGGUUCAAAGGUUGUUUUGACUAAGUUGGUCGAGUGAGCACCUCGAGUGACCAUCUUCUCUGCUUUACUCGAUCGUGUCACUCGAGUGAUCGUGUCGAGUGACCUGUAAAACCAUCAGCUACUUCUUUGCUUUGCUCGAUCAUGUGACUCGAGUGAGUGCAUCGAGUGACAGGUAGUUCUGCUUCGCUUCCCAUCUGCUCGAUCUGCCACUCGAUCGUAUACGUCUGCUGCUCACUCGAUCGUCGAUGUAACUGCAACGCAUCCUUGCUUCUCACUCGAUCGUCCCACUCGAUCGUUUGCAUGUCGAGUAACGCUUGUUCCUCUGCUUCGCUCUGCAUGUCUCCUAAGUACCUGAAACACUCCAAAUAUGCACAAUGUAUGCAAGAUAUGCAUGAUAUGCAUAAAACCUACCUAAGUAUGUAAAACAUUCAGAAAGGGAUCAAUAUGAUGCGAAUCAACAAGUGAAUGAUGCUGAAAAGAUGAUGAAUGCAUGCUAGAAAAGCGAUGAAAUGCAGACUUAUCAACUCCCCCAAACUUAGUCUUUGCUUGCCCUCAAGCAAAACAAAAAGAAACAAAGUGGAAGAGAGGUUUGAAAAUGGGGUCUCAGAACCUGUAACUUGCAAGAUAGAGCAGUUAAAAUCAAUGUCCUGGUUGCUAAGUCUUUGAUGCAUGCUGAGAGAACUUUACUUAACGACUUUAGACAAACUCAUCAAAUCCGAAACUGAUUCUAUCCCUUGAUCUACACAUGCAUUCAAAUCAUUCAUUCCUUUUAACAUUCAUUACUCAAGUAUAUGAAUCUGGUUGUGCAAGGCUUAACAAACUCACUUGGCUAGGCAGAAAAAGGUUUUGAGAAUCAUGAGGGUUUAAACAAUUUCAGGACAAGGAUCUCUCAAUGAAUGGAUUGAGCUUUAGGGAGAAUGCUAAAGGUAAGGACCAACAAAUGCAUACAGGAAUAAAACCUUGACUACCCAAUGGUUCCCAAGUGCUUACUCCUAAUCAUCUAAACCCGGAUGAUCCCUAUGUCUACCCUUCAACAUCAAUCCCAUUUUUUUCUUUUUGCUUUUUGCCUUAGGAGAAGUUUCUUAUCAAUACUAGUAGAUAGGGGAUUUCUUCUUAACUAUGGUUUUGUUUUCUUCUUACGUUAUAAGACAUCAAAACUUUUUCACUUUCUUAACAUCCCAGAACCAUUCUCCGUAUAUCAUGCUAACCCCACAAAAAUCAAUCACUAGAUUAUAAACUUCUAGAAAACAUUCUCCUCCUAAGGACACAACUUUUUCUGUUUCUCUUCUUUCUUUCCAGAAUCAUCCCAAUCCCAAACCCAAGUAAGAAUCCCGACCUAGUCCUAUCUGAUUUGAAACUGAAAAUCAGAACUACUCAAGAUUUUAAUCCUGUCGGCUCAUACCUAACACGUUCUCCCCAAGCAUAAUCCGGUAAAAGACCUACCACUCAAAAAUUAUCAAUUGGCUUGAAAGAAAAGGAUAGGCUGUGGGUGUGGCAAACUGAUCAAAAGAAAGAUCAGCUAUUUGGAUCAACAAGAGUGGUGAAAGGAGGAAAAUGAUCCAAAUAUGUAUAUGGUGACCAUGAGCAUGCAAGCAAAACACAACCAGAUAUUUGCAAGUCAAGAUUAAGUUCUUAUAGGAUAAGGAAUGAGAUCAUAUCACAACAUGUUUCAACCAAGUUCAAGAAUGCUCUUCAUGAAUUCCAAGUUUGUUUCAGACUUACUUCAAGUUCAAUCAUCAUGCAUCAAAAAGCUAACAACCAGGGCAUUGAUCUCAACUGGUG
rnacentral:lncRNA from 1 species